rnacentral:lncRNA from 1 species
UUAGCAAGAAUUGGCCCAUACGCUACAAAAUAAUUAAGGGAAUCUGCGAGGGUCUACAGUACCUUCACAAGAUUCCCAUUUUCCAUUUUGACUUAAAACCUGAUAAUAUACUGCUAGAUGAGAAGAUGUUGCCAAAAAUCACCGAUUUUGGUUUAUCUAGGCUCAUUGGUGAAGGGAACACCAAAAAGACAAUGACGCCUCUAGGGACAGUGUAAGAUUAUUGUCUCAUGUGAACUUUUGGUCUGCUAAAUUGUAGUUAUUCCUUAGUCUCACUUUGCUAUGUCAUUUAUGUUCUGCUGCAGUGGAUACUUGCCUCCAGAGUUCAUUGACAAUCAAAUAAUCUCCAGGGAAUAUGACAUAUAUAGUUUAGGUGUUAUAAUUAUGCAGAUAAUCACUGGUGUUACAAGCUUCUCUGAUUUUGCUGACAUGGAGCCCCAAGAAUUUAUUGAACAUGUAAGAAUAAUUUAAUUAAUCUUAAUUUAUAAGCCUCUUAGAUACUAGCUAGAACAUGUAAGAAUAAUUUAAAUAAUCUUGAGCGGGUUACGUAUAAUGGAUCGAUUGAUUGUUAUUGCAUUGAGCCUCUUGGCUGGUACAUAUUAAGUACAAGAUUUGGAGGGCAAGACUCCUCUGGAUACAUGUGGCAGUCUACGACACGUAUAUCUACAACUACCAAAUAUACUCGUUUUGGAGAUUCUUAUUGUAUAUAAAGUUGGCAGCACGCCAUGUUGAUAGUCCUGUUGGAACAAUAUCCAUGAAUUUAUCACCAUUUAAUAGCAGAUGCAUGCAAGUAGAGUGUCACUCCAUCAGCUUUCAACCACUUUAGAUUCAAGGGAGAUCUUUCUGUAAAUCACACUGUGGACUCUACAUGUUGUGGUUAUUAUUUCACUCAUCACAUUUGGUCAGAACUCUAAAGUUCAUUAUAGUGCAACGAGCCUAAACGUGACAGUUCAUAUCGAUUUACUGUUACAAUCAAUUCCGAUAUUCAAAACAAAACAACAUGUAUUUGCAAUAGGGCGGAGUACUAAAUUCCAUAAUAUUAACCGCCCUUGUACUUGUUUUACUCCGUGUUUUAACUUCAAAGGUACAUGACAACUGGAAAAGAAGUCUAGAAGAGAUCCCAGAGUAUGCGUCACUUGAAGCGGAUUGCAAACAAGUGAAAAGAUGUAUGGAAAUUGCAAUAAACUGCAGGAAGAAGAAGCGUCAUGAAAGGCCUACAAUAGAGGAUAUUGUCAGCAAAUUAGAUGAGAUGGAAAGCAAAUUAGAUGAGAUGGAAACUGUUAAAAUUGACACGCAGUUGUCAAUUAAAAAGGUACAACCUAUCAUUCAUCUUAUGUAUGUAAAAAAUAUAGAACCCAUAGUUUAUUUGUCCCUAAAUAUUACCAGUGGUCGAAAAUACUUGGCUCUUUAUACGUCCACGUGGCAACUUUCACUAUGUUUGUUUUUAAAUAUUUAAGUUGGAAACAGGGAAAAUAAAUUGCUUGAUUUGUGUCGGAAAGAUGCAUAUAUCGGAUAUAAAAGUGAGCAAAAUACUCAUAUGACUCUCAGUAUAUUAAUGUCUCUCUUUCUUGCCACUGUUAAUUUUAUGUAUGCUGUAAUUCUAACUAGAGGUGUGCGCGCGCGUUAGGACUGCAGUUUAAUUUCCCAACCAAACAGCACCUUAGUUCUCUGAUAUAAAAUAAGUCUACAACAGAUCCCAGAGUAUGCCAUCAUGUGAAUUCAUACCGACACAAGUCGAUGAGAUAAACGAGAGGCCGACGUCUCUCGAAUUAGCCACCGUCUCCUAGGAGAAGGAAUGAACCAUGACGAAACAUGAUUAGUCUGUGCAAAAUCACUAACAAUGUGCCAAAACUAAAUUAAUUAGCUUUAGGAUCCGUGCUAUUUUUUCAAAGGAGCACCGGAGCAAAAUCCACAAUGUAAUUUUUACUUCAUUUCGUAGGAUGAGCAAACACCAUUUUCCUAAGAUUUCCCAUUUGUUUUUAUUGACAGGGUUACUUUGAAGAAUCUAGUGGCAUCCUGGGCAGGCCAUGUCAAUGUUAGUAAUGUUACAUUUAAAAUAGAUCCCUUCAUUUACUAAAUAUUUUAUUUAUUUUUAUUGAAGUUUGAUAUUGAUAUAAUGUAGCAUGCUGUGUGUUGGUGUAAUUGUGUUGUUCAGUACAAUCGGCUGGAGCGGUACUCCUUGCUGUCACGAAGAUUGGUUCCAUUUUAGGAGAUGAAACCUCCAAGGCUGUUAUAUAUAAGCUGUCUGGAAAAGUUCAUUCUCUGAAGGAGCUGCCAUGGAAAGUCGAUCAAAUAAGGAAGAAACUGACAUUCAUGAGCCAAAUUAUACAGCAGAUUGGAACAGUUUACCUCACAGAUGAGCUUGUCAAUAAUUGGAUCGGGGAGGUCCGGAAGGUGGCUUACCGUGUUGAAGAUGUAGUAGACAAAUACUCAUACCAUGUUUUUCAACUGAUGCAAGAAGGGUUCCUGAAGAAGUUCUUCAUCAAGGGAACCCAUUAUUCCAUUGUUUUCAGCGCAAUUACAGAUGAGAUAGCUGAUAUAGAAGAGGAGAUUAACCAAGUUAUUCAUAUGAAGGAUAAUUGGUUACACGAAACACAGCUUGUCUCUAACCAACAACAACUUGCUGAGAUUGAAAGACAUCGCUCGGAAGAACAAAUGGCAAAAGCUGUACUCCUUGUUGUUAUUCACGAUGAUCUUGUGGGAAUUGAAGAAAACAGGAGACUGCUGACUGGAUGGUUGAACUCAGACGAGCAAAUUACCAGAUUAAUAACAGUAUCUGGUAUGGGUGGAUUGGGGAAAACCACCCUUGUCACAAAUGUGUACGAGCGGGAGAAGAACAAUUUCACCACUCAUGCUUGGAUCGUUGUAUCUCAGAAUUAUGAUGUGGUUAAAUUGCUGAGGAAACUGCUGAGGAAGAUUGGGGAGCCAGAACAGUCACAGCUAGUGGAUUUGGAUGCCCGUGACUUGAAAGCAAAAGUAAAGGAAAGACUAGCUGGUAGGAAGUGCUUGAUUGUACUGGAUGAUGUAUGGAAUCAAGAAGCAUACACUCAGAUAAGGGAUGCAUUCCAGAACCUCCAAGCAAGUUGUGUUAUCAUCACGACGCGACAGGAACAGGUCGCAGUCCUUGCUCACCCCACUCGUCAACUCAAACUCAAGCCAUUGGAUCACGGUGAUGCACACGUGCUGUUUUGCAGAAAGGCUUUCUAUAACACCAUAAAUUGCAGCUGCCCCGAUGAACUUGAGAAGCUGGCCAACAAUAUAGUGGAUAGGUGUCAAGGACUUCCACUUGCAAUCGUAACCAUGGGUGGCCUGCUGUCUGCACUGCCACCAAUUAAACAAGUUUGGAACGAAACAUACAAGCAAUUUCAGGAUGAGCUGACGAACAAUGAUCAUGUUCGUGCAAUUCUAAAUCUGAGCUACCACGACUUACCUGGAAAUCUUAGAAACUGCUUCCUUUAUUGUAGCUUGUACCCUGAGGAUCACCUAAUGUCACGAGAGAGCCUUGUUUGGCUAUGGGUUGCAGAAGGUUUUGCGCUUCAAAAUGAACAAAGCACACCAGAGGAGGUGGCCGACAGAUACCUACGGGAACUGAUCCAAAGGAAUAUGCUGGAAGCUGUUGAGAACGAUGAGCUAGGAAGGGUCCGCACCUGUAAGAUGCAUGACCUUGUACGUGACCUGGCACUUUCUGUUGCUAAAGAGGAGAAGUUUGGUUUUGCGUAUGAUUUUGGCACAUUGGUGAAGAUGGACAAGGGUGUUCGUCGCCUGUCUUCCUGUGGAUGGCAGGACAAAACUUCACUGAAAGUUAAAAUUCAACUGCCACGCCUUCGAACCGCAGUUGCACUCGGAAUAAUUGGAUCCUCCCCUCAGUUGUUAUCUUCAGUUCUUUCUGAAUCCACGUACCUGACAGUUCUCGAGUUGCAAGAUUCUGAAAUAAGUGAAGUGCCAGCAUCCAUAGGAAAUAUGUUUAAUCUACGCUACAUUGGUCUGCGUCGCACAAGAGUUAAAUCACUCCCAGAAUCGAUUGGAAAGCUCUCCAACCUCCAAACACUGGACAUAAAGGCAACAAAAAUAGAGAAGCUACCAAGAGGUGUUGUUAAAAUCAAGAAGUUACGGCACCUUCUGGCAGACAGAUUUGCAGAUGAGAAGCAGUCAGAGUUCCGAUACUUCAUUGGAGUGCAAGCACCAAAAGAGCUAUCCAACUUGGAAGAACUUCAGACUCUAGAAACUUUGGAAGCCAACAAGGACCUGGCUGAGCAGCUGAUAAAACUUACGAAACUAAGGAGUGUGUGGAUUGACAACAUAAGUGCAGCGGAUUGCGCAAACCUUUUCUCUAUACUGUCAAAGAUGCCUCUUCUUUCCAGCUUGCUUCUCUCUACAAGUGAUGAGAACGAGACACUUCAUUUGGAAAAUCUGAAGCCAGCAUCUGAAAACUUCCACAGAUUGAUAAUCAGAGGGUGCUGGGCAGAUAAGACACUUGAGUGCCCUGUAUUCCGUGACAGUGGCAGAAAUCUCAAAUAUCUAGCUAUUAGCUGGUGCCACCUUCAGGAAGAUCCACUGCAGCUGCUUGCACCUUACGUGCCGAAUCUCACCUAUCUUAGUCUUAACAGGGUGAGUACUGCAGACACCUUAGUUCUUUCUAAAGGGUGCUUCCCACAGCUGAAGACGCUUGUCUUGAAGCGCAUGCCCAAUGUUGACAAGGUGGAGAUCAGAGUCGGUGCCCUUCAACAGAUCGAGGGUUUAUAUGUUUUGUCACUUCUAAAGCUCGACAAGGUCCCCCAAGGUAUUGAAUCCCUUCGUUCUCUUAAGAAACUGUGGCUGCUGAGUUUGCACAAGGACUUCAGAGGUCAUUGGGAUAGCAAAAAGAUGCAGCAGAAGAUGCAGUAUGUUCAAGAGCUCCGCAUCUGAAGUGGCACACGUGUACCACAGGAGUAGAAAUGCACUUCACAUCUGCUCGCAGCAACGUCAGGCGUUUAAUCCUUUCCAAAUAACUAAAUAAGUCAUCAGAUCUUUGACAUUGUUGAUGCAACUACAAUUGCAGUUAUGCCAUGCUUUAGCAUUUUCCUUUUUAAUGGACCCUGACUUUAUCUGCGAUCAGGGCGUGCCCAGCCUCAUCGCAGCUGUGGUAUAUUUUUCCCCAUUGAUUCAGAUUUUGAUUCCCAUCCGAGGACUUGGACCUUCGACCCUCGACUUCUCGAGAGGCCUCGCUGUGGCAGCUGCCGCCGGCACCGCGCCGAAGAAGCAGGAAGCCAUUCCGCCACGAACUACGAGAAAGGGAGAAGGCCUGCCUGCAGACGGCGCUAGUCUUGGAGGCCCAGUUCAGCUGGGCAAAGGCCACGGAUUGCCCACCCCAUGCAUCCUUUCAGAAAACGCGGACCCGGUCUGCGCCACUGAAUUGUUAGCCCGUUGGGCUGGCAGCUUGGGAUCAAAGCAGCCAGUGAGUGAGCGCGGAAUUCCUAUCCACAGACUAAGAUUUGUUUAAGAUUUGUUCGGAGUACAAUCAACUAAUGAGAUUAAGGGGUUGUUUGGAUACCCCGUGUUAAGUUUAGCACAUGUCACAUCGGAUGUUUGGAUAUUAAUUAGAAGUAUUAAAUAUAGACUAAUUAUAAAACUAAUUGCACAGAUGGAGUCUAAUUCGCGAGACAAAUCUGUUAAGCCUAAUUAGUCCAUGAUUUGAUAAUGUGGUGCUACAGUAACUAUUUGCUAAUGAUGGAUUAAUUAGGCUUAAUAGAUUUGUCUCACGAAUUAGCAUAGGGUUCUGCAAUUAGUUUUAUAAUUAGCUCAUGUUUAGUCCUAAUUAGCAUCCGAACAUCCGAUGUGACACUGCUAAAGUUUAGCACCUUGUAUCUGUCGGUGUUUUAGACUGGCAACCCACCUAGGGGGUACCCUAGGUGGUCUUUUGUGCGGUAAGGGUCGUCGAGAAUCAAGGAAUUAAUGGUGACACAAGGAACACGAUUUAGACAGGUUCGGGCCGCUAGAUCGCGUAAUACCCUACGUCCUGUGUGUUGGUUUGUAUUGAUGAACUGGAGUUGUUGUUGAGGGGAGUCCCUGCCCACCCUUAUAUACACGGGAGGGCAGGGUUACAAGUCUGAGUCCUAGUUGAGUACUAUUACAGAGUUUUACUCGGUAAGGCCCGUGUAGUUUUCCAUAUACAUACUUGACUAGUUUGAAUGGGAUACGCCUAUCCCUUGUCCUGAUCAUGUCCGAGUACGCCCCUGAGUGGGCCGUCCAAGGUCUACUCGUGGGCCUGGGGUGCAUGCCCGACAAGCCCCCUAGUACUUUGUAGUCGUGCGCCACAGUCUUAGGCACUGCGGGCACUAUCCGAGUAGCUGGUCGUAGAGGUUGCAGACUGAAGUACUCGAGUACUGUCGCGUGGCUGGAAUGUACUCUUUUUGUUCUUUCAAGUUGUCUCUGUUCCGAGAAAUUUUAUAUGGUAGUGCGAUGUCAAUCCCACUUCAUAUGGAGUAGCCCCCGAGCCUUAGGUUGAGUCGAAGAGUCAGGCUUAGGGUCAAACCAGCUUUUUUGUCUGUUUUACCCUUGGAAGUCUUUGAAAAAUAGAAAACUGACCAACGGGUACGGUACCCGCAGCCCCCGAGCACUUAGGCGAUCUCUGUCGUUGAAGUGGUCAGCAGUCCGUUGAAAAGAGUAGCCGUUGAGUGUUUAAGGUGAUUAAUCUGCCAUUAAUCUGUUAGAAUCCGUCCGUUGCGUAACCGACGCGUGGAAACCGGAGCUGACGGAGAUAAAACUGGAAAGCCCCCUUUCGGUUGGUUUUACGCCGCACGGCAAUCUUCUUUGGAAGUUUAACUCGAUACACUAUGGGUCCACAAACUUCUACAAUCUCAUAGGGACCAAUAUAGCGCGGAGCCAACUUUCCUUUUACUCCAAAAUGUUGUACGCCUUUGGUCGGUGAAACCCGCAGGUAUACAAAAUCCCCAACCUCAAAUUGGAUAGGUCUUCUUCUUUGAUCGGAAUAGCUCUUUUGUCGAGAUUGGGCGGCCUUGAGAUUUUCGCGGAUAACUCUCACUUUUUCUUCGGCCUCCAUGACCAGGUCAGGUCCAUACACUGUUCGCUCUCCAGGUUGCGACCAGCUUAGCGGGGUUUGACAUCUACGUCCAUACAAAGCUUCAAAAGGCGCCAUUUUCAGGCUAGCUUGGUAACUAUUGUUGUAUGAGAAUUCCGCUAAUGGCAAACACUUAUCCCAGUUCUUGUCAUAAUGAAUGGUACAGGCACGUAGCAUAUCUUCCAAAAUCUGGUUAACCCUUUCAGUUUGUCCAUCAGUUUUGAGGAUGAUAUGUGGAACUACGAAUCAAUUUAGUGCCAAGUGAAAACUGCAACUGCUCCAAAAAGCGUGGUACAAACUAACUACCUCGAUCAAAGAUGAUCGUUUUAGGUACACCAUGCAAGGAAAUAAUCCGGUCAAGGUACAGUUCUGCAUAUUUCUGUAUGGCGUGGGUGGUGUGUACUGGAAGGAAAUGCGCUGUUUUGGUUAGUCGGUCUACUAUAACCCAUAUGGAAUCAUGCUUGCGGGAGGUAUUAGGUAGUCUAACUAUAAAGUCUAUGCUUAUGUCCUCCCACUUCCACGAGGGAAUAGGCAGCGGCUGCAAGGGGCCAGCUACCCUCAAGUGGAUUGCUUUGACUCGCUGACAGGUAUCACACUCUAAAACAUAUCGUGCAAUGUCGGGUUUCAUCCCACUCCACCAGAAAUUUUGUCGGAGGUCGUGGUAAAUCUUGGUACUACUAGGGUGGAUCGAGAACUUGGAAAGGUGUGCUUCGUCCAGAAUUUUUUUGUUAAGAUCGGGAUCAUUUGGAACUACAAGUCGAGCUUCAUAAUGUACCACUCCUUUCCAAUCCUGUCGGAAAUGCUUAUAUCCCUCAUCCUCCUGUGCGAGUUUCUCUUUGAUAAGGUUUAUCUCUUCAUCCUCUAGUUGUGCUAGAAUUAUUUGGUCAAGCAGGGUAGGCUCCAGAGAAAUAUGACUUAAGGUACCGUGGGGAACAAUUUCCAAGUUGAGUUUAGCCAUUUCAUGACAUAGGGUCUCGGCAUAAUUAAUCGCCGAUAAGCAGUUACAAUGGACCUUGCGGCUGAGAGCAUCUGCAACUACGUUGGCCUUGCCUGGGUGAUAAUGCACUUCUAGGUCAUAAUCUUUGAUUAAUUCUAACCAUCUUCUCUGAUGCAUGUUGAGGUCUGCUUGAGUGAAGAUAUACUUAAGGCUCUUGUGAUCUGUAUAGAUGUUGCAUCGAGUUCCCAUAAGAUAAUGCCUCCAGAUUUUCAGAGCAUGAACAACUGCUGCUAACUCGAGAUCAUGGGUAGGGUAAUUCAACUCAUGUGGCCGUAGCGCUCGCGAGGCAUAGGCAAUGACUCGGCUAUCUUGCAUAAGAACACAACCAAGUCCAGUGCCAGAGGCAUCGCAAUAUACGCCAAAUGGUCUAGUGGUGUUGGGCUGAGCUAAAACCGGCGCAGAGGCUAGCAAUUGUCUCAGGGUGUGGAAGGCUUCUUCACAUUUGUCGCUCCACACAAACUUAAUUCCCUUCUUCAGCAGUUCCGUCAUUGACUUAGCUAUUUUUGAGAAGUCAGGAAUGAAGAGACGGUAGUAACCUGCUAAACCGAGAAAACUUUGAAUCUGAUGAACUGAAGUGGGCGGCUUCCAGUCCAUUACUUCUUCCACUUUGCUUGGGUCUACUGCUAUACCGUCUCUAGAUAUGGUGUGCCCCAAGAAUUUAACACUGUCUAGCUAGAAGUCACACUUAGAGAAUUUGGCAUAGAUUUGGUGAUCUCUUAAGCAUUGGAGUACAGUAUGAAGGUGCUCUGCAUGCUCUUCCUCAUUCUUCGAGUACACCAAGAUAUCGUCAAUGAAUACCAUGACGAAUUUGUCGAGUUCGGGCAUAAACACCGAAUUCAUGAGGUACAUGAAAUAAGUCGGUGCAUUAGUAAGCCCAAAUGACAUGACUAAGUACUCAUAGAGUCCAUACCGUGUAGAGAAGGUAGUCUUUGGAAUGUCGCAAGGGCGGAUCUUGAUUUGAUGGUAGCCAGAACGGAGGUCAAUUUUGGAAAACACUCUAGCUCCAGCUAACUGAUCGAACAGAACAUCAAUGCGGGGUAGUGGGUACUUGUUCUUUAUCGUCACCGCAUUGAGAGGUCAGUAGUCCACACACAUACGCAGACUAUCGUCCUUCUUUUUCACAAACAAGCCGGGACAACCCCAAGGUGAUGUACUUGGACGAAUAAAACCCUUUUCCAACAAAUCAUGCAACUGAGUUUUCAUUUCUGCCAGCUCGGCUGGUGGCAUCCGGUACGGUCUCUUUGAAAUUGGGGCAGUACCUGGUUUCAAUUCAAUAGCAAACUCGAUAUCUCUAUCAGGCGGCAUACCCGGCAAAUCAUCUGGAAACACAUCGGGAUACUCGCACACCACUGGGAUGUCUUCCAAACGGGCUUCAGUCAUGGGAUAGGCACAAGAAGUUUGGCACUCUCGGUGGGGUAAGUGUAUAAUUGAGCUACCAUAAAUGGGUGAAUUUAUAUGGACGGCUCUGGCAGGGAUAUCUAGUGCCACUCGAUGCUGAGUCAUCCAAUCCAUACCCAAGAUAAUAUCUAUUCCUUCUAUCCCAAGGAUAAGGAGGUUUUCCUUAAAAAGGGUUCUCCCCAACUGGAUGGGCACCUUGCGGCUCACUUGGUGUGAAGUUACUUUCCCACCCGGGGUAGAGAUGAUAUAAGCACCUUUUGUGUGACAAAAAUCUAACCCACACUUAGCACUGGUUCUAGUCCCAAUGAAACUAUGAGAUGCUCCCGAAUCAAACAGAAUAAGGACGGGUUGGUUAUAGAUAGAAAAGGUACCCGUCAUCACUGGUGCGCCCUCUGGAAGUUCAGCAAGGGUGGUGAAGUUUAGCCGGCCUUGUCGAACCUGAACCCUCGGCUUCUUCCCCUUGUUGCCCAGUGCAUUGCUCUGAUCAGGUUGUUGAUUCUUGUUGCGGGGGCAGUCCUUGGCAAAGUGUCCUGGGUUCCCACAGGUGAAACAGCGGUUUCCAGUGACUGGGUACGACGGCAUAGGGAGAGCAGGUCGGGGCCCUUGCGGCUAGAAUCCAGGGAAACAAGGUGCUGCCUGCGGUGGAGGUCGAGCAACCCAUCUCCCAGGCUGUGCGGGCCUGCGAGACGCCUGUGGGGGAACCAUUCUGUAUUUCUGGGCAGGUGGGCUGGGUGCCGGCAUCGGAGCCUUCCGCUUCAGGUCGGCCUUGAGAGCCCUCAUGCAAUCUUCUCGGAAAUUGCCAGGUUCACCAGUUCAUUGUAGGAAUCCACCUUGAUGGGAUUCAGCCUUUCCUUGAGCUCCAAACUCAAGCCUCUGCGGAAGCGGUCCCUCUUCUUCUCAUCGGAGUCCGCAUGGUAGCCUGCAUAGCGACACAGGUCAUUGAAAGCCUGCGCAUAGUGCAGGACAUCGUGGCCUCCCUGGGUGAGAGCCAGGAACUCAUUGAGCUUGCGCUCCAGAAGACCCUCAGGGAUGUGAUGGCCCCUGAACGCCGUCUUGAAUUCCUCCCAGCUGACGACGUGGUCGGCCGGCUGCAUGGCGUGGUAGUGAGCAGAACCACGCAACUGCUGUGCGGCGAACUGAACCUUGUUCUCCUCCGGGCAAUGGGUGGUGAGGAGGGAGAACUUGGACUCGAUAGCACGAAUCCAGGUAUCGGCGUCAAGCGGGUCCUCCGUCUUGUGGAACAGAGGAGGCUGGGUCCCUAGAAAUUCUUCGUAACGAGCAACAUGAGGUUGCUGAUGGGCUCUUUCUCCCUGGGGCUGCUGCUGCUGCCCCUGAGCGAUGUGCCUCAGCAGCUCGGUUUGAGCCGCCAAGAUCACCUCGAGGGUGGUUGGAGGUGGAGGUGGGGGAGGCACCUCGCUGCCACUGGGAACAGAGCCAGAGCGUGUGCGAUGCGCCAUUUGCAAGAUUCACCUUUCCAUUAGUCACAUAACCCCAAAAACUUGUUUAACCAUAAGGAAACAUUAUGUGCGGAAAUGAUAUAAGCUAGUCUUGAGGAUGGUGCAAAAGCAACAAUCAAAACUUUUAUUGAGUAGGUGCAUAUCGCUUCUUCGAAGUGCACAAGGUUCUCUUCCUUAUGCGAGGGUUAGAAUAUGUCAUACACAACCACUUUGAUGUUACGCUUGUUGACCGAAAAGGAAGGGAAAGGGGUCGUUUAGACGUUCUAGCAAGUUGCUGUCCGGCUGAAUUUUCAGCAAGCUGAGCAGUGGGGUUUUGGCUCUAGCAGGCGUUUGACAGAUCCGAAGGAGCUGAAAAUUUACGAGUAGUUAGAACAGAAGUUUUUGCACAACUUUGGUAUUCAAACUUUGGCUCAAAAACGAGUGGAGACAGGGGUAAAACUGAGGAGAAACAGUCACUGCAGUUCUGCCAUAAAUUUCAGACAUUACACUAAAGAUAGCAACGGCAACCCUACAUAGAAUCAGUUUUUCAACACCCAAAUACUCAACUCAAGCUAACCUAUUAUAUCACUGGCCAAAAUAUAGGUCGCCGAGGAGCAAAAACAAAAGAGAACCGCUCAACAAUAAGUCAACACAACUAGAAAUCGUCGAGGUUGCCCACGGAGACAAAGCUGAGGAUAGGAGAGUGAGCAUCGCUAACUGGAGGCUGCGGAGAGGCCUCCUCAUAGUCCAUGCUCGAAAAGCCCUCGAUCUCCUCGGGCUCCUCCUCCUGGGCCAACGGCUCAUCCUGCUGCAUCUCUAAAGCGUGAAUGGCAUUAAGCUCAUUGCGAUGCUCCUGCAGGUGCUCAUUGGCGUUCGCCAGCUCCAUGUUCACAUCAUAGAACUGGUCAACCAAGAUCUCCAUAUCGUGCUCCAUAUCCACGAUCUCCUCCUCCAAACGAGUGAUCUUAUCCUACAUCUCAGAAAUCUGGACAUCCUUCUGUACUAGCUCAAGCGACUGGUCCACCAUGCCACUCUGCACGGCAGAUAAAGCGACCUGGUUGGCCACUGCCAUCCCGAUCACCGUAGCCAUCGCUCGGCUCUGCAUCUCGACCAUCCUGUAGAACACGUUCAGGUAACAAGCUGAAACAAAAAUCGUGCACUGUGGAUCCAUAACCCCGAGCAAGUCCAUAUGCUCCAUACGAUCCAACCUCGUAUCCCGGGCAGGGAACAACCCAAUCGGGUCCAGCACAAUCUCAAGAGGGUGUGCCCGACAGAACUGUGUCAGGAUCUGCAAGGCUGCGAACUCCCAGGUGUCCUGUAGCGUGUGUCCCUUGGCCACCACCUCCAAAAGCGGCCACUGUGGCUGAUCCGGAGGCGGGGGCACCCGCAUGUGCACGCGACUCCACGGAAUCCCGUGAUCCUGGUACGCACGUCCCGCGUAAACCGGCGGUGACGGGUACCCAAAAGAGCGCAGGGUGUCCCACAGUACGGAUGGGAAACCCUCGUAGUGAAGGCACCGUGAGUAGGUGGUGCCAUCCGUACCGACUGCAACGUGCACGGGCUGAGCCAUCUGUAACCAAAGGACAAGUGAGAAAUGGAGUUAACACUCGAAAAUCAAAACAGAUUUCUAGCAGUUAGAGAAAAGCUCAUAACUCAACAAGUAUUCAUCCAAAAUUUCUCAAAUUUUACCAGCACAUUCUUUAGAUUGUGUGUAACAGUUUUGGUAUUCAAAGCUAGGGCUAGAACUGGACCUAACAAGGUGAUAAUCUCAGAUUUCCAUUAAGUGUUCAUGCUGGAAUUUUGCAGACCUGAGCCAAAGUAAACUGAACAUAAAUUCAAUUACAGAGACCUAAUGAAUCUGAAAUUUUACCAGUAAGUCCUUUAAUAAUUUUUGAGAAACUUUGCUUAAGGGACUCCUAGCAGAAAAAGUCAUUAAGGUGGUCGAAACAGUAGAAUUUCAACUGGUGUGCACUCAGGGCUAACAGCCAACAGGGGGUCACAAAACUGAUCACAACUCUCAACCCAAGUGGUAGUACUUUGUGAAAAUUUUUCAGCAGUUUACUUGGGAGUUUUAACACAAAUUUCUUAUAUAAAGUUUCUGGAGUUAUCAUAUGGAACAACCCGAAAGAUUUAUUAAACGUGCGUGGUGGAAAAAGACAGCUAGACAAUCCUUAUCGCGGUGCAUCUCUUUUUUUUUUCUUUACGGCGCACUCAAGCUUGGUUUUAUUUCCUUAGGUUGCGAUUUUUAUUUCUUAAUGCAUGCACGUCCUAGUCGUCCUUUCAACCAAAAAUAAUCGCCAAAAAUCUUUGGACUUACGUGGUUAGUGCCGGUGGCAAGGCAACAAUACGACUCUCACUAUAAUAACUAGUCGAUUUACUAGGCAUCGUUUCGUACGCAACGUUGUUAGUGUACCUGCAGAAAAAUACAUCACAGCUUGAACCUUCCGUGCCAGCACUCACGAAAGCGUCCACAAUCAUUACCGUUCACUAUAGAAAUGGCACCCAUGCGUUUAACGCUGCAUGGACAGCGCAACAACCGUGGAAAUAUGUUCCUUUGAAUAGAACCAUAUAACCCUUCGCAUUCUCGUGAUGUGGAAUCAUGCACACGUAUAAUAAACGUGGGCGAACAACUGUGAUGGUAGGCUCAUUGGAAUCGAACCAUACCAUCCUUCGCAUGCAUUAGCAUACGGAACCUGCACACGUAUAAUAGACGUGGGCGAAACAACCGUGAUGAUAGGCUCGUUGGAAUCAAAUUCCUAUCACCCUUUGCAUGCAUUAGCAUAUAGAACUUGCGCACGUAUAAUAGACGUGGGCGAAACAAUCGUGAUGAUAGGCUCGUUGGAAUCGAAUUCCUAUCACUCUUCGCAUACUCGCGAUGGGGAUCUCGGCACACGUAUGAUAGACGUGGCAACAAGUGCUGGAAGUCAGAAGAUAACCAAUAAUUAUUAGCCACCUUAAAAGACCCAAAAUUCCCCUAGGGCUCCUCGUACUAAACUCAUCCUUAAUGAACUUACGAAUUUCUCGACUCAUUUCUUGCAAAUUUUAGUUAGAAGAAGUGUUUUAAGGUUUGUUGUUCUCCGUACCGUGCUUCGAGCUCUGAUGCCAGCUGUGGCGGAACCGCCCAAAUUAACCUGACUAAAAUGCAUUGAAGUCGCCUGACACGCGAUUAUGCACUUUAAGCAAGUCAACCUGGUCGACCGUCAGAUUUCAUCCGAUUAACCACAUAAACAGGAUCGAGAAGCAUCGCUCACACGAAGGUGAGUAGCACAGAGAUUACAACAUUCCAUCACAUUAACUUAGUCUCACAAUUUAUUACAUAAGGGUUUCUGAAAAUUUGAACAAGUUGCAAGGUUCGAAGAGUCGGAUAAAACAAGCAGAAGCUAAAUGUUGAUACAUGACAUCACGACGGAGCCGAUCAUGACAUCAAAAAUCCCUUCCCUCGCCGUCCGAGGAGGGAUCCCACUCGACUGUCCUACCCGGAGGGAACUGGGUAGGCCAAGUGGUGCCAGCAACCAAACUAUUGACAUCACCUGAAAAGACUAAGCCACAACAAGGCUGAGCAACUAAUACUCAGCAAGGCUGACCCGUCGAGUGAAAAGCUUUACCAAGAGCUUGACAUGCAAGGCUUUCUGGCUCUGGGAUUUCUUUGCCAAAAGCAUCUAAAGUCGGUCCUUACUUUCAAUAUUUUAGCUCAAGUUCUACAUUCUUUAUCCAGUCUAGAUUAGCAACUUAUACUAAACAAGUAUAAUUUCCCAGCAGUUAAAUAACAAGCAUCAAUUUAAUCUCGUAAUCAUAUUUCAUCGUUACUCAGUGCAGAAUAGCGAUCAAGUAGUCCCAACUUGUGAGAGGUAGACGAAUCGAUUCGAAUUUAUUAACUAUGCAUGGCGAACCUAAUCUCACGACAUCCGCGCACCACGAAGGGUCGCUUCAUUUGUUAGCCGUCCCCAUCGAUCCCUUAGGCACGUGUCAGGGCCAACUGCCUUUGGCAUGCAAUGCUCCAUAAUCCCAGCCUCUGCCGUACUAUGACCACACUUGCACCCACAUGAUGCACCAUGGGAACGACGUUCCAAGGACAGCCGGGGGAGUAUGCCACGCCCCAGUUCAAUCAGGUACUAGGCUUCCCCAUCAUAUACUAGGUAUGAGAUUAGUACUUUCAAGCACUUGAUCACGAACGCCGACACGUUUCGACCUUAGAUCAAUUUCAUUUAAACAGAUGGGGAAAACCACCAAGUAUCGAACAUCAGCCCGACCCCAUCCGUCGUCCUUAUAGUUGCAACAUAAAUAAAACAUUCAACUCCUAUAACUCGCGAGUGACAGGAAAUCACUCGACUUUUACCAAAGCCUAUUAAGCAUUGCAACUACUCGACUUUAGCAACUAGUAUUCAAACAAGACACUAAGUUCAUGCAUUUAAGGUUUCAUUACAACUCCUAGAAACGUAAAUGCGCAAUCAAAGUAUUCAAUAGUAUUGCAAGUAUUCAAGAUAGGAAUUUAUGCUCCGGGGCUUGCCUUCAGGAAAAGUUAGCGGGUCCUCGGGGUCUUGCUCUGGUUCGGGCUCGCCUUCCAAGGAAUGAAGCUCCGCAGCGGGGUCUUCGUUUGGUGCCGGGUGUAGCUCGUAGGUUCCGUCGGCGAGAUUUGCUUCUAUACGACAUGCACAUGCAAAAGUUUAGUUGGACUCGCGCGUUCAUUCAACGACACAAGGCAUGGCUUAAGACAAAGAGUUGCAACAGCCACAAACACUUUGACGAGGUUAAACUUUCAUGCAAUUUCAACGAAUGAGGUCGGUUUAAACUUGAGUUCGAGUUGGAUGGCGAUUGUGUACAUAUAUAGUUUUCUUGCACUUAGAGUUGCAUAAAGAGAGUGAAAGGUCAUGUUUGGGUGGUUUGGGUGCAUUAGAAUAGUGACUUACUUCUGAAUGUUUUUAUGUACCUCUUUCAAUUUCCACUUAUUUAUCGUAUUAGAAUUUGUGCUUUCCUUUUAUUCCUUUAGGUUGAUUAAUUAACCAAAAUGACUUCAUAUCCAAACAGUGGCUAAAGGCACCGAUAAAAUUACAACACCUUAUUAAGGCCAUCACUAGGUUACUGUAAAAGUUUGGGGGCCAAAGGAUGGCUUAAAAAGGAGUUACAUGCAUUUUAUUAUUAAAGGUAAAAUUAACUUAACUUUUUCUAUCUUCAAAGUUACUGUGCAACAGAGGGUGAAACUUAACCAGUGUGUUAAGGGUAUGUUACAGGAGCUUUGGUGAAUUUUUCACAAUUUUUGGAGAAGAUUAACUAUUUACUCUAUUUCCUUUUUAAAUUAAACAUGCUUAACAAGGAAGGUGUUUUUCUUUCUAAUUUGCACAACAAUUUAUAUUUUUUCUGCAAACUUCACAACAAAACAAAAUUAACCCAACUAGUUUCACAUUUUUCUGAGCUCUGAAACAAAACUUAUGCAAAAAGGAAGAUUUAUGUAUAGAUUAUCAAUUUUAAGUCAAAACAGUGACUUAAAGUGUUAGACCAGAGCCCUACCAUUUUUCUGAGCUUCUAUAUAUAGAAAUAAGCAUCACAGAGUUGGUCUCACAUUUUCCCCACUUUUCUUCUAUUUAUUAGGAUUUAAAAGGCCUAAAACAAGAUUAAAAGUGUAGCAUAUUAUUUACAACAGUAACAUGAGCAAACUUAUUUUUCUUAGGAACUAGACAGAGCAAGGAUUCCAACAAAAGUAGUUUGGCAUUUUUAUGCUUUUUCUACGAUUUACUGGGCAUUUCCAAAGUUCAACCAUUUUUCUGCCUAUUAUUAAAAGAAAAGCCGUGGCAAACUUGCAAGCUAGCCCCUGGGUUUAAGGUUUAACUACGCAGAGGUCCCUGAGUUUUGCGCGCAGGCCCCUGGAAAGAAUGGGGACGAUGCAAUGUAGUCCCCGGGAGGCGCGCGGCGGCGGCGGAGAAAUUCCCGGCGGUUCGCCGGCGAGGAUCGGGCAACAAGUGGCCGGAGGGGUGCGGGGGCUCACCUAAGCUCGGUUUGGCGGGGUUGGGGCGAUGGAGAUGGCCGGCGGGGAUCAAAACGUGGCGGCGGCGGCAGAGCUUGGCUGGCGGCGGUACAGGCGGCGUUCUGGCGCACCGGCGGCGUCGGGGAGGCCACGGGCUGCUUGGAGACGUGCGUGGAGGGGUGGCAAAGCGGGCGGCGAAGUCGCCGGAGUGUGGAGUGGCAUGGAGGGGUGAGCUCCACAGAAGCUUAGCGGUGGCACAGAGGAGGAAGCGAUGGCGCAAUUGUGGGCGGUGGCAAAAGGGUGGUGUUGCCGGCGAGGGGGACCUUUUUAUAGGGCAGCGGUGGAGCGGAGGGUCGAGGCGGGGUUUCGGUGGGGGAAGGAUAAGGUCAGGAGCGGCGAGUGCGUGGCCGAGGCAGCCAUUGGCUAGCGGUGCCAUUGGGCAGAGGAGGCGGAGCUCCGGGUGGUCUCCGGCGGUGAUUGGCCUUGGGCGGUGCGUGUCUGGGGCUUCCGGUCUGUCGGGCGGGCGAAGCGAGGGCUACCGUGGGGGUUGCGCGAGCGGGCGGAGGCGCAGGAUGUCAUCGGCAUGGUGGCUUCUCCGGCGGACGAGCGGAGCGUGGUUGGCGGAUCAGAGCCGCGGCAGGGGGAAAAGGACAAGCGCGCGGCCGGCGGUUGGCCAGCCCGGAGUUCGCCCCGUCCAAUCACAGGCGCGGGUUAGGCGCCGUGGCCCUUGCCCUGUUGCUGUCUCGCCGGGGAUAGGGCACCGACGAGCUGCCGGAGGCCGGCGGCCACGCGGUGCGCGGCGCGUGGGCGAACGUGCUCUGGCACGCGGGCGUCGAGGUCCCCUUCGGGCAGCAAGCCCGACCAGCUUUGGGAGAUCCUAUCUCAAGAUUUUGCAACACAACUUCCAAAACUCUUUUAAACAAACUUGUUCAACUCUGGACGUAUUUCAAACUUGGUAUAAGGCGCUGGUUUAUAUUGUGAAAGGAUUUGGAGAUAUCUCGUGCGAAAGUUUGCCAAAAAUCUGGAAAUCCAGACUUAGCCAAUUUUGGCCGGAGAGGUGGAAUUCAGAGGUUUAGCCAUCUUUGGCUCGAUUUUUGGAUAGCUUCUGAGUUGAAUUAGACUAAGGUGUUAUUUGAGGAGUUGCUCUCAAACCUGAGGACUUCAACUUCUAUUUAGGGUAUUUCUUGAGUUUAGUUCAAAAAUUUGGAGGAAUGCCCUCGCCAAGAGGUGCACUCUGAGCAGUUUUUCAGACUUAGCGUUGUGGGGCUCAGGGGCUGAGUUGACUGUUUUACCUUACUUUGACCAAGAAUUUGAAUAGGUUCUAGCCCGAUUUGGACCUGAGUCAUUGUAACAAAGUUGGAACACACUCGAGGGACUACAACUUUUAUUAAGAGCCUGACUUGAGUUUUAGAUAGGAAAUCGUGAGAUAAUAGCUUGCAAAGUUGGAGGAAAACUUGAAUUCCAGGACUUUGGAGGUUUAUAGGGUUCUUUAGUACUCCGCUUUUGAUUGCUGUUUUUGACUUCCUUCCAUUCCGAAUUAGUCAAAGUGCCUUUAACAAAAGUUAUUUGAAAUUAAAAGUUUUACAACUCUUAUUUGGGCAGCAUUUUAAGUUUGCAUAUAAAAUUCCAAGUUUUAUUUCAAACUCCAAAAAGAGCUUCUUAGGGUUAAAAUGGUCAUUUGACCUCUUUAAUUAGGUAUUAACCACUGGUUUUCUUUAAAAGCACUUAAUUUAGGUAGAGUUGUUACAGCCAACUACUCGACCGCCUGUUGUCGAGAAGAAGCGUGUGCGAUUGCCACCACGCUCGACUCGGUGAGCCUGCUUAGCCGGUGUAUAUCUUUAAGUUGUCUGGAAGUCGUAUAAUGAUGUUUCUUGAUGCAGGGAUGCAGAGGAGACUAUCCCUGUGGAGAUAGGGGUAGAGUUGGAUCCCCUGAAUACAUUAUCUGCUCCUUUGGAAUAUUUAAUUGUUGAGGAGGUACCCGAAGUUGACGCCGGUCGUCUUGGAGCUACUAUGUCGAUGCUUCCAGACGUCAUCCGUUCGGUGGAAGUUCCCGCUGCUGCAUCGGGUUCAGGAAGUGCUGCCUUAUCAACAUCUACUAGCGGAUCGCUGGUCGUAGUGGGUGUUGAAAAAGCCAAAUUGGCGACUGCUCCAGGUAUGUUUCUGUAGUCUUGUUAUUGUAGUCGUAGCAAGCAGUUGACUGAUGAUAAAUGUUGUAGGUGCCAUUUUUGGUACAACUCCUCAUCUUGCAGAGAGUACUCAAAGAUCGGUGAUCAGCCUGCCAUCCGACUUGGAGUUCCAGAAGGUCAUCAAUGUUUUCCGGAGCUUCCAAGUAGAAUUCCUUUUUGAGUUGUCACAUGGACCAAGUAGUUGUGAGGAUUUUAACUCACCAUAGUACCUUGCAUACUUGGACCUUUUCAGGAAUGAAGUCAUCAACUAGAGCAGGAGUGCGCCCGUCUGACAGAAACUCUGAGGGUUCACGAGGUUGGAGCGAAGUCUUUUGCUGUGGAGCGUACGGAUCACGCGGUCCUGCAGCAAAAACUGGAGAGCCGCUACAAGUCGCUGAACAAAAAGUAUCAAGGUAAGUACUUUGCAUACUCCGAGUAUGUCCGAUUGUAGUCAGCUAUGGUUGAAUACUUGCCCGGUGCUUGAGGUGAUUGUCUUGCGAAGAGUAAUUUUAUUCCGUGUUGGUUGACCCGAAGUCCCAGGGUCAGCUGAGCCCGACCCUUUGGGGAAAACUCCGCUUCACCCGACCCCUUGGAGGGGGCCAGCUACGCCUCGCCCAACCCCAAGUCCUGGGGUCGGCUAAGCCCGACCCUUUGGGGGAGAAGCUCCGCCUUGCCCGAACCUGAGUCCUGGGGUCAGGUGCGCCCGACCCCUAAGCAGAAGGUCGGAGUAGUCCAAACCCUCGAGAUAAUGGUGUGAGCGUAGGCCGCACUUGGCUUGUAGUAGUUCCGAGUGUCGAGUAGUCGCAAUGCUGUCGAGUACUCUUCUUUUGAGGGACACGGGUGUACUGUACUCCUUUGUCCUUUUGUGGAUGCACGGGUGUACUAUACUCUUUUGUCCUGUGUAUCAUAAGUGCCAUCACGUGGGCAGAGUCAGCAGUCAUCAGACUCAUUGAUCACGGGCGCAUAGUAACUCUUGGGCAGGUGGUAGUUGCAUCUUUCGGCUAUAAAUAGAGCCAUCUGGAGAGCGAACCAAACCAAGUUUCUGAGUAGCAAUGGAUUUCUUUCAGUUGCUUCUUUUUGAGUGUAGAGAGCCAUCAGAGAGUGCACCGGUGCUAGAAGAUUCCUCGUAGAUUGAGGCCGCCUUCCCUCCACAGACUCCUGCGCUCGUAGGGAUAGCCGCGAUGCUAGAAGAAUCCUCGUAGGAGGUUUCUUCGCACGCCUCAUCUUGCAGCUCAUGAUCCAGUGGGGUACGCGCUGGAACUCAUGGGUGAUGGGUGAUGAGUGCCGUGGUCUUUAUCCCGCUCUCUUAGAGGUGGAGAUGUGGCCAUAGAGUGGAUUGGCUCCGCAAGGCUAGCAAAAGAGCAGCCUUGGUUCCCUCUAGGCGCGUCACGCCGGAUUCAUCGUUGCCGCUGUCAAGGCAGUGGCGAUGCAGGAGUUCCUGGCAUUGCCUUGGGUAGAGUACCUGGAUAUGGCUGCAUUUUGCGCAGCUUCCUUGCGUGUGGGCCCUUCCCAUUGUAGUCGGCAGACCUGAGUGGCCUUGUGAUAUAGUAAAAGCCUGAGGCUUAAAUGCAGCCCGCCAGUAGGCAGGUGCUUGUAGUCUUCGUGUAUUCCGAGUGUUUGUACUCGUAUGUAUGUUUGAAGAUGUAUCUUCGGUUCUCAGUAAAGAAAUACUGAAUGGAAAUUUUGUACCAGGGCAAUGAUCCUUGUUGAGUUGAUAACUCUUGUCAAAGCUGAGGUAUCUUGAAGUCGGUAGUCGGGUGGUUAGCCCGAGUAGUCAUCAUGAGUUAUUGCCUUGAAGCGAUUACUCGGAUGCUGCUAUGGGUAAUAGCGACAAAGAUGUUCUAUAUUCCAAGAGUUUGGUACUUGGAGUCUGUAAGAUCCAGGUCCCGUAACCUUUGACACGAUGUAAGGACCUUCCCAUGGUGAAUUGAGUUUAUGCAACCCUAAUGUGUCUUGGAUACGCUUAAGGACCAUAUCGCCCAAGUUGAAAGAUCUUUCCUUCACGUUGCGGUCGUGGUAACGCCUUAAACCGUCAAGAUAUCUGGCAGAUUGCACUAGUGCUGCACAUCUUGUUUCUUCUAGACUGUCUAUAUCUGUUCGCCUUGUUUCUGCUGCCAGUUCUUCGUCAUAUUGUUCAACGGAUGGUGAUUGCCACAUGAUGUCGGCGGGUAGUAUGGCUUCUGAGCCAUAGACAAGGAAAUAGGGCGAUAGCCCAGUAGUCUUGCAUGGUUGGGUACGUAGGCCCCACAGAGCAUUGGGAACUCUUUGAGCCAUUUGCCGCCUUUGGUGUUGCCAACGUCAUGUAGUCUUUUCUCCAGGGCGUCGAGUAUCAUGCCAUUAGCAUGCUCGACUUAUCCAUUGGAUCGCGGAUGAGUGACCGAGACAUAGCGGACGUCGAUGCCGCUAUUCUCGCAGUAUUCCCAAAAGUCAUGAUUGUUGAAGUUCGACCCUAGGUCUGUGAUAAUCUUGUUGGGAAAAUCGUAGCGGUGUACGAUUUCAUCUAAGAAGUCGAGGACCCGGUCUGCCUUGGGGCAAGUGACUGGUUUGACCUCGAUCCACUUGGUGAAUUUGUCGAUUGCCACGAGUACUCGGUUGAAUCCUCCUAGCGCAGUUGGUAGCGGCCCUAUCAUGUCGAGCCCCCAGCAGGCAAACGGCCAUGUUGGAGGUAUUGUGACUAGCUUGUAGGUCGGUACAUGUUACUGUUUUGUGAAGAAUUAACAACCUUUGCAUUUUUGAACUAGUUGUUUAGCGUCGGCCAGAGCCAUUGGCCAGUAGAAGCCUGCUCUGAAAGCCUUGCCAACUGGUGUCCUUGAGGAGGGUGGUUGCCACAGAUUCCUCUGUGAAUUUCCUCUAGGAUUUCUUGGCCGUCUUCUCUGGUAAUGCACUUCAUGAGUACCCCAGACGAUGCACCUUUUUUGUAGAGCUUGUCUCCGACUAGAACGUAAUUUUUUACUCGCCGGGAGAUUUGCUCAGCCUUAUUUUUGUUGGAUGGUAACUGGUAAUCUUUGAUGUAGCCGAUGAAGGGUGUCCUCCAGUCGACUUCUAUCAUCAUGAUUUCACGAGACACGUCAGCAGUCGUGACUGCUGGUGUGGUGACUUGUUCAGGUAUGGACGGCUUGCGCAGUUCGUGUAUGAAGAUUCCUGCUGGAACUUCUGCACGAGUUGAGCCCAUUUUGGAUAAGACGUCGGCAGCAACAUUGUUGCCGCAGACGAUGUGAUGAAAUUCCAAGCCUGAGAACCUGUUUUCCAGUUUAUGGACUUCUUUGCAGUAAGCAUCCAUGUUGUCCUUGUUCCGGUCCCACUCAUCAUUGACCUGGUUUAUAACGACUAGAGAGUCGCCGUACACCAGUAGUCAUUUGAUGCCGAGGGAGAUUGCAAGGCGAAGGCCGUGGAGUAGUGCUUCAUACUCGGCUUCGUUAUUAGAUGCUUCCCAGAAUAUUUGCAGCAUGUACUUGAGCUGGUCUCCCCUGGGGGAGAUGAGUAAUACGCCUGCGCUGGCUCCUUCGAGUUUGAGGGAUCCGUCAAAGUACAUUACCCAAUGUUCUGGCCGUUCCACUGGUGUUGGCACUUGAUUUUCAGUCCAUUUAGCUAUAAAGUCGACCAAAGAUUGGGAUUUGAUAGCUGUCCUUGGCUUAAAGUUCAAGGUGAGAGCUUCGAGUUCAACUGCCCAUUUGGAGAUUUUGCCCGUAGCGUCUCUGUUGUGAAGAAUUCGCCGAGCGGGAAGUCAGAGAUGAUUGUGAUGUUGUGCUCUUUGAAGUAAUGGUGCAGUUUCCGGGAGGUGAGCAAAAUUGCGUAUAAGAGUUUUGUAUCGGUGAAUACCGAGUUUUGGAGUCCGAGAGUACUUCGCUGACGAAGUAGACAGGUCGUUGGACCUUGUAAGCGUGGCCUAGUUCAGACCGUUCGACUACUAUUGCCGUGCUGACGACAUGAGUAGUAGCUGAGAUGUAUAGGAGCAAGUCUUCGUUCGAAGAAGGAGCGGUGAGUACAGGAGGCUUUGACAGAAAGUCUUUGAGUUGUGUUAGUGCCUUAUCUGCCUCUUCCGUCCAUUUGAACUUGUCUUGGCGUUUGAGAACCUUGAAGAAGGGUAGUCCCCGUUCUCCAAGUCUCGAGAUGAACCGGUUGAGAGCGGCCAUGCAGCCUGUGAGUUUCUGCACAUCCUUAAUGCUAGCUGGUGCUUGCAUGUUUGUGAUGGCAGAAAUUUUUUCCGGGUUGGCCUCAAUGCCGCGAUGGCUAAUGAUGAACCCGAGUAAUUUGCUGGAAGGUACUCCAAAGACGCACUUAGUAGGAUUGAGUUUCCAUCGGAAAGUGCGUAGACUAGAGAAAGUUUCCUCCUAGUCUGCGAUGAGUUCCUCCCAGUUUCUUGUUUUCAUGACUACGUCGUCGACAUAAGCUUCAACAUUGCGGUGAAGUUGCUUUUCGAAGCACAUUUGUAUGGCCCUUUGAUAAGUUGCCCCUGCAUUUUUUAGUCCAAAGGACAUUGUUUUGUAGCACAAAGCUCCGAAAGGCAUGAUGAACGCUGUUUUGGCUUGAUCUUCCUCUUUGAGGCUUAUCUAGUGAUAGCCGAAGUAGCAGUUGAGAAAACAUAGUAAAGCGCACCCAGCGGUGGAGUCGACCACUUGAUCGAUCCUGGGUAGCCCGAAAGGGUCUUUAGGGCAGUGUUUGUUGAGGUCGGUAUAGUCAACACACAUUCUCCACUCGUUGUUUUUCUUACGAACGAGCACGGGGUUGGCAAGCCAGUCAGGGUGAAAGACUUCUUUGAUGAAUCCUGCCACAAGUAGCAAGCUAACUCUUUUUUGAUUGCUUCUCAUCUGUCUUGAGCGAACCGGCGUAGUCGUUGCCGUUUUGGAGUAGCUUUGGGAUCGACAUUGAGAGAAUGCUCAAUCAGCUCCUUGGGCACACCUGGCAUGUCAGUCGGUUUCCAAGCGAAGAUAUCAUGGUUAGCCCGAAGGAAGCUGACGAGCGCAGAUUCCUAUUUAGGAUCUAGCCCUGUUCCGAUCAGGGCUGUCUUGGAAGGGUCGCCCGUCUAGAGGUCGACUGAUUUGAAGUCUUGCUCACUGGCGGGUUUCACCUUUGUGGACCCCGACUUGUUUUCUGGGAUCUCUAAUUCGGUUGGAUGGAGCUUCUUUGAAGCUGUGAAGACUUGUUGCAUGGGACUAGGUGCUUGAGUAGUCACAGCAAUUUUCACGCCUUCAGUGUCGCAUUCAUAGGAUCGCCGUAGAUCUCCUCGCAGCAUAAGUUCUCCCUUGGGGCUUGGCAUUUUGAGUACCAGGUAAACAUAAUGUGGUAUGCCCAUGAACUUGGGGAGUGCUGGCCUUCUGAGUAUGGCAUGGUAAGAUGUCUCGAAGUCGGCGAUUUCAAAUCUGAUGUAUUCGGUACGGUAAUGCUCCUUAGUUCCGAAGGUAACCGGAAAGAAAAACCUUGUCGUAAUGGUAUAGCCGCAUUUCCAGGCACGAUGCCUUAGAAAGGUGAAUCUGUUGGAGUAAGCAUUUCAGUAACGUCGAGGCACAUCUUCUUCAAUGUCUUGGUGAAAAUAACGUUGAGUCCACUUCCGCCGUCAAUGAGUACUUUGGUUAACUUUGAGCCUGCCACAACCGGAUCCAGUACUGGUGGGAAACGUCCUGGCUCUGAAAACUUGGUCCAUUGAUCUUUUCUGCUGAAAGAAAUGGGCACUUCUGACCAUUUUAACGGUAUUGGAUCCGUUGGUUCGAUGGCCAUGAUUUCCCUUAGUACGAGUUUGUUGGCUCGCUUGGAUGCGGUGCCUGGAAUACCGCCGAAGAUGAUGUUGACAGUUUUUGAGGUAGUCUGGAAGUCGCCUUCUUCGUCUUCGUCGUUGUGGACUUUGUUCUUGCCCUUAUCUUUUUUCUUGGUGUACUCUUCAGGAGGCGGUGGUGCGGGUAAGUCUUGCAUGACUCGGCGCAUGCUGUAGCAAUCUAUUGCUGAGUGCUUGCUAGUCGGGUGCCAUGGGCACUGCUUUUUGAGUAGUUCAGUGAAGGUUGGCCCUUCAUCGUUUUUACGGGGUCCCUUUUUCCCAAAGUUGGUCAUGGCGGCAACAGUGUUGUCGAGCUUCCUUUUGCAGUUGUGAUUACUCGAGUAGUUGUUUCGAGUGUUGUUGUUUUGACUUCUAUCUUGGUCAUUGUUGUGGUUGUUGUCGCGUCCACGGUUAUGGUGGGAGCUGAACCGUUCUCGCUCUUUGUCUUCUUCAUCUGCCCACUGCUGCACCAUGACUUUGAGGUCUUUGACAUUAGCUGGUCGUCGGCGACCGAAGUCUUGGUAUGUUCGCCGAUCGUAGAGUCCAUUCUGGAAGCACUCGAUGACGUCUGUUACUGAGAUGUCGUCUAUGGUAGCCUUCUUAUCGAAGAAGCAUCACAAAUAGUCGCGUAAGGUCUCGCCUUCUUUUUGCUUGAUUUGACCUAAGUCAAUCUUGUUGCCUGGUCUAGCCAUGGAACCGGCGAAGUUGUUGGUGAAAGUCUUUGUCAAGUCUGCCCAAGAGUCAAUGGACUUGGGUUUGAGUGACUCAAGCCAGGUCAAUGGUGCCGGUUCCAUGCAUAUGGGGAAGUGGAUAACUUUGGUGUCAUUAUUGCCCCCGACUGCUUGGACGGCUAGCGAGUAGCAUCGUAGCCAUUGUAUUGGAUCUUGUUUGCCAUCAUAUUUGGUGAUUCCAGUAGGCUUGAACUUCUCGGGUAGUUUUGUUUUCGUUACCCGAUUUGUGAAAGCAGGAAAGUGGUUGUAGUUGUCUACUUCUCGCUCGCGCUGACUGCUGAGAAUUUCUCGCAGAUCACUAAAGUUAGACACUUCAUGGUUCUUCCGAGUAGGGCGGAUGCUUUUAACCGAGUUGGUACAGCUGACCUCGCCAACAUCCUUGUGGCGAGCUGGAGCCUUGUGCUUGCUUGGACCUUGGCUGUGUUGCCUAGGUUGGUUGACAACUUCAUUGUUGUUUCUUGGGGCAUUAUUGUUGUCUGCAGCCCCCCUGCUGCCUCCUUGGUGAGCUGUGAUACGAGGAAGAGACGGAAUUGGUGAUUCUUUGUCGAGUAACUUGUAGGCUUGCUCCAUGAGUUGUGCGAUUAGUCCGUUGCCACGCUGCACGAGUUGAGUUGUGGCUUCAUUAUCCCUGUCUUGAGGCAUCAAUGUUGUUAGAAGAUUGAUUGAGGCGAUUGCCGCGAGUGGAGUAUUGUGCUCCUGAGCCUGGACUGCGUCGAAAGCCCUUUCAAGAUUUGUAAUGGGAAUAUUUGUAGCCAUCGACUGCCGUCGCUCGUCUCGAGUAGCGUUGCACAUCCUUCUUUGGUUUCUUUGCUCGGAGGUUUCAUUGUGAGGGGCGUCAGCUGUAGACUCAUCUUCGGAGAUGUUGUCGAGUUGUGGUAAUCUCCUAAGGGUUCUGUUCUGGCUAGUACUCGGGUUGUUAUUCUGAGUAAUAACAAGUAUCUCCCUGUCCGGGUAGUAGCUUUCGGAGCUUGACGUUGCAAUCUCUGUGGAGCUUUCCUCAUGAUUGGGAGUGAGCGGAACGCCCUCUUGAUAUGGGAGGUUGUCUAUAUGAGCGACAAGAUGCGAGUCGUAGUCAUGGGCAAGAAGGGAUGGUCAUAGUCCUAGCCAAUGUACGAAUCUACCUUAUGAUGUUGAUGUUAUUACCAAUCCUUGGGCUGGACCAGAUAAUGGUAUUCUAGCGGAUAAACCAAGUCGGAGUUGAGGUCUUCAUCAUGCCCAAGUUCGAGUUGGAUUCAAGUAAGAAAACCUUGGUGAACUUUAGUUGCGUUGUGGAGUCCGUGCGGGGACCGCUUCAAAGUCGAAACCGACUUGGGCACUGGUUGGGACUGACUAGUCCGAAGCGAAGUCGCAUCCGACGCGUAGUCGAACUCGAACUCGUCGACUUUUAAAUCUUGGUUUUUUUUCGAUCAGAUCUUCUGGUUUCUUCUCCUGAGCGUCGACGAUCUGGCGCCGGAACGAACCCGAGCCAUCGGCAACGCAAAGCCAGGAUCCGAAAACGAAGGUGGCGCCAGCUUCGAUGAAGAAAACGGGCCUGACGAUGACCUUUACCAUUGAGUUCGCGCUGAGAAACUCAACGAGUGCCCCUACUUGGCGCGCCAGCUGUCGGUGUUUUAGACCGGCAACUCGCCUAGGGGGUACCCUAGGUGGUCUUUUGUGUGGUAAGGGUCGUCGAGAAUCAAGGAAUCAAUGGUGACGCAAGGAACACGAUUUAGACAGGUUCGGGCCGCUAGAUCACGUAAUACCCUACGUCCUAUGUGUUGGUUUGUAUUGAUGAACUGGAGUUGUUGUUGAGGGGGGUCCCUGCCCGCCCUUAUAUACACGGGAGGGCAGGGUUACAAGUCUGAGUCCUAGUCGAGUACUAUUACAGAGUUCUACUCAGUAAGGCUCGAGUAGUUUUCCAUAUACACACUUGACUAGUCCGAAUGGGAUACGCCUAUCCCUUGUCCUGAUCGUGUCCGAGUACGCCCCUGAGUGGGCCGUCCAAGGUCUACUCGUGGGCCUGGGGUGCAUGCCCGACACCCUCUAAAGCGGGUGGGAGCACACACACAGUUUGGAUACAGCUGUGAACAGGUGUCAGCGCGUGGGUAGGUGGCUGGCUGGCUGCAUGUAGGGCAUGGGUGGUUGGUGGUGGAUGGGUGAGAUUCCUUUUACAUUCAAAAUUUUAAUCUCUUUUUUCUCUCAAACUGUAAACAUGUUUUAGAUUCUGUUUGAACCAUGAUGCUAUUUAGAAUUUAUGCAACGAAACAAGAUCCAACAUAAAUAUAUUUUGAUUUUUUUAAAAAUCAACAUUUCAAAUGCACUCUUGAACAUUUGAAAUGUUGAAUUAGUGUGUAUAUAAAUGUUAAAUCUAGUCUUCUAAAAUAUUGACUAUAUUGUAGUAAUAUCUUAAACAUACAUUGGAAGAAAAAUUGUUGAAAUAGUAUUUUUUUUUAAAAAAAAGUUGGUGUGUGUAUAAAAAAUGUUGAGCCAUAAUGUUGGCGAAUGUAAAAAAGUUGAAGAAAAAUGUUGGUGUGUGUAAAACAAAUGAUUAGCCAGAAUGUUGGUGAAUGUAAAAAGGUUGAGGAAAAAUGUUGGUGUGUGUAAAAAAAAGAGCGGGUGAAUGUAAAAAAGUUGAAUAAAAAUGUUGGUGCAUAUAAAAAUAUUAAUGAACAUCAAGAAAGGGAAAAUGUUUACGAAUAUUAAGAAAUAUUAGUUAAUGUAAAAAAAUGUUGCUACAUGUAAAAAAUAAAGAAAAAAUGUUCAAAAAGAAAAAUGUGGAUCAACAUGAACAAAAUGUUGGUGUAUUAGAAAAAUGUUCAAAAAUAAUUUCAUUCAAAAUAUUAUCAAGUGUGAUAUUAUUUUGUAGAUCUCAUCGUAAGAAAUGGUAUGGUUCAAUCGAAACUUGAUUCGGACAUUUGGUUUGGAAGCUACAGAUUUUUUUUCGAAUUUUGUUUUGCACAAAAGCUGACCUAAACCCUGUCAGACCUGCUACUUGCACUUGCACCAGCCAAUCAUGCACUGCACUGGGAAAAAUGACGUCUAGUAUCGGUUGCGCAACCAGUACUGGCCAAUCGAUACUAGAGGGGGAGCCCUUUAGUAGCGGUUCAAAUAACCGGUAGGGUACCCUUUAGUACCGGUUGCGAACAUCAACCGGUACUAAAGGGCUUCCCACACCGCGCAGGGGGUGUCCUCAUUGGUACCAACCGGUACUAAUGUGUUUUUCCAUUAUUUUCUUAUUUUAUAUUCCUUUAUUGUAUUUUCAUAUUUUGUAUUUGUUUCCUUUACGUAUACUCGUUCUAAUACGUUUACGCUAAUAUAUGUAAAGUUCUAUUUAUCUUUAAUAUAACAUUUGAGAUAAUAUUAUAUAUAUAUACAUAUUGUGCAUAUACAUAUAUGAAUAAUAUUACACAUUGCAUACUGUUGGCGCUAGAAAUUAGCCGAUUAAACUUCCAGCGUCACACACACGACCCGGGAGAAUCUGCUUAACUCCUGUUCGGGUGAUCGCCCUGGUGCGGUUCGCGCGGCGUGCUAGCCAAUCUGACCUGUUGAUUGGCAAGGAAAGAAACGUGUCAGAUCCCAGAGGUUGCGAUCGGCUAAGGUUCCGAUCUCGAGGAAGCUUAUCAGCGAGUCGGCCGAUUUGCUGUAAUAAAGAAAUCGGCUAUAAUACAGCCGAUUACCAGGCAACGUUGGUGAAGAAAGCUACUAGAGUAAACUAAACAACGCUACAGUAGCAACACUAGGAACAGAUCUAAUCGGCUAUGCAAAAAGCGGUAGAUUAAACACCAAGAUACAAGUAAGCCGAAAGCUCUAAUUCCCAGCCGGAUAACUGGUGAUAAAAACUAGAACAAUAGGUAAAACCUAGAAUUCUAGUAAAUAUCGAUAACGGAUGAAUAAAUCUAACGAAACGAUAGCGAUGCGCCCGAAGUUAGAGCUUAGAUAUUACUCGAUAAACGGAACUUACAGAAUCGGCCGGAGAUCAAGCUGAUGCAGCCCCGCCAACCCGCAUGAACUCGUGAAAGUAAGAAAAGUAUUGGCGAAGUCGCCUGCUUGAAAGUAAAGUGCGAGGAAAUAGUAGGUUGUUGUAUUGAUUUGAUGAUUGAUUACAGAUCUAUGAAGGUGGCUAUUUAUAGCAUGUUACAACCAAUCCCUUAACCGACUAGGACUCUAUCUCUAAUUUUAAACGAAAACGAAUAUUUAGAAGUAUGACUCGUGCCGGAGUUGAUUGCUGUGUUCUGUGGGCCGACCACUUUUAUCCUCAUAAUCCACUCCGAGCCCAUAUUGGCCCAACUAUUCCAGCCUCUCGAUCGGUCGAUUUCCAUCAACUCCCUUCGCUGAAACAUUGCAGCACCAAUCGGCCAAUCUCCAACCGUAGCACCAAUCGGCCGAUUCCCAAUCGUGACCUCCGUGCCUCGCCACAUCAGCUGAUUCUUUCCCUUCUUGAUGCCGAUUCCAUACGUGUCAAAAUCUGGCAUUAACACAUGCCCCCCAGUUUCAGAGUAAAACAUAAUCUUUACUUCAAAAUUCCUUUCAACUUCCCUUCCGAAACAAACGCAUUGAAAAUACCCUUCCGUUUCGCGGUCUUCUGCCUGAUGAUUGCAAUCUUUUCGAAACGGGCGCCCACGACAACCACUCCUCCCAAAAAAAUCGAACCGCCGACGCGGUAAAAAUCCUGCUUUUACCCCUUCUCAGACCACCCUUAAAUAUCAGCACAUCCCGUACUUCUUUUUCACGAGCCCACGUCUUCCUUCUUUGGCGCACUGAUCUCCUUCUUCCUCCGGCGUCUCCUUAGCCUCCAAUCUUUCCUUCCGGUGACCUUUUCCAUCUACAUUCCAUCCCAUCUCUCCGAUGGUGACACCCUCAGGCACUUCACCAACAUCCAAAGUCCCGGAGACAGCCCCACCAACGGCGGCUCCAGUGGCAAUGGUGGCGGCUCCAUCGGCAGGAGCGGGAGCUCCAUCGGCGGGAGCGGGAGCUUCGACGGAGGCCCCAACGACGGCUUCAGCACCUAUAGCUCCACCGGCGAUCCCGUCAACCACGAUGAGCUUCAUACCGGAGGUUUUUACCAAAACUUCUCUUUCUUUAAUACCAAUGCAUUUACCUUAGAUCCGUUCUUACUUCCGCCCCCUUUUUCCUUUUUUAGGUAGUUAGACACUAGAUUACCAUCCGCCUUACCGAAACCCCUUGUCUUAUCUGCCUUGCUCCCAUGGGAAACCCAGAUCCAACUGACUUGAUCAAUUUGGAAACACAUAGAAUUCCAUUCAAGUAAUCAACCAUGGACCUAGACCACUGGUCAGGCACUUUCAGAUCAUGGCCGAAUGAAACCUCCGGUUGGAGGGAAUGGUACGAACGGAUAGCCGCCUCCAAGAGAGUCCAAUGGGACGAGCACAAAAUCGGCCAGUGCAUCGAUCUGUCUUUGUCCCAAAUGGAAAGGAAUGAGCCCUUAGUAAUAGCAGCCUCCUACUCUUGGUCCAACGCUCUCAACGCGUUUCUCUUCGGACAUGGGCCUAUGACUCCCACCUUGGCCGAUGUGGUCAUGUUGACCGGCCUUGACAUUUCCUCCCCUGAUACUCCUUUCCGUUACCUGGCCAAAACAUCCCAUCGGCUGGACACGAAAGGAAUCGACGGAUGGAAAGGAUUCAUCAAGUGCAAUAGGAGAGCCGGGACAGUCGCAGAAAGGGAGCAUGCGGCCUUCCUGAUGAUGUGGCUAGAGAAACACCUCUUUUGCAGGAGGGCAGCUGGUCCAUCUAUUAACACACAGGUUCUGGCCGAGGCGCUAUCUAUAGGAGCUUCUGUUCCUUUUGGAAAGCAUUUAUUGGGAUCAGUUUAUCAUAUGUUGCACCAGAUCGGUGUAAAGCUAUCCAAAGGAGAGCCGAUUGGAAACCCAGGUGGACCCUGGUGGUUCAUCAACUUGUGGCUCAACCUGUACAUGAGCAAGAUCUUCCAGUAGUGAGUGGAGUACAUGACAUUCCCCAACAUCGAAUCGGCAGAGAACCCCACUGUACGGCACCGGUGCACUUCCUUUGGUGAAGCAGCAUCGGCCUUCUCUGGUUUCCCAUAUUUUGCUACCAAGGUGGCCGAAUAUUUUAGAUGCUUCUACAAUGGUUUCAGCGAAGAUGCAACCAGCUGGUUCCCUUAUCAAAAAGAGGAACCACUCUUCGAGCUCCCCUCUUGCUUUGACUCGGCCACCAAUAAAUUUGAUGAGGACCAAAUAGAUGAGUUGAUCAAGCCAGAGAUUCUGCCGGCGAAUUUCUUCUCGUGGAAGGACGCCCCCACUUAUGAGUUUUACAACCCUUCUGUUGCAGCACGGCAAUUUGGCUUAGGUCAACUGCCGAUUUAUGCAUACUUCGCCGAUCGAGCAAAAGUCCGAGACGAGCUCACCAAAGGUCUCAACUACAGUCGGCUGUAUGAUCGGAUCCCAGACUCCAGCACCAUAGACCUGACCAAUUGGAUAGUGGCCCCUUUCGCCGUUCAGCAGUUCAAGCUAUGGUGGGCCGAAUGGAAACAACAUCUAUUCUGCGCUUCUGCAGCGAUAUAUUGCAAUCUCCUGGAUCCCAACAACAUCAACCCGAAUGUCGAGGUAUCGCUCUCUUUUUAGCCGAUUUUCAACUCCCUCUUUUUUUAUAUACUGACCCUUAUCAUUUUUUCAGUCUGAGAGUCGUGCUCCCCCAAGACGUAGUCGGAAUGGCCGGCCGAUAGAGGACCGUUAUCCAUACACAGAAUUUCCCCUCAUCGGCUAUCAUGCCCCCUCCGUUGACGACAUAGCUGGCCGGGCGAAACAAGCGCAGAAAAAGAUCAUCAAGAAAACCAGUCGCCGGGUGCGAGCCCGCACAGAAUCGACCGAUCCAUCCGCGGUUGCAUCGGCGGAAAUUUUGGCUGCGCCGACCCUUCCGGUUGCUGAAGAAGUUGACCUCCAAGCUGCUAUAGAGGCCGGAGCGGCUGCCGCUUCAUUAUUGGUGGAGGCCGUUCAGGUAAACUCACCAUUUGAUUGUCCCCCGGUCAUCACUUCAACGCUAACUUUCCUUAUACCAGGCUGCACAAACCGCUCCGGUGGGCCCAAAGCAAUCGGCGAUGUCUCAAACUGAAGUACCAGUACUACCGCCUACUGAGGUAUAGGGCCUCCCAACUUAACUCUUUUAAUAUUUAAGCGAUAACCUUACUGAUUUUGAUGCAGGUCAUCAGCACACUAACUGUGCUCCCUGAACAGCCACCUGUCAGAGAAGCCCUUCAAGAAGCUGGCCUAAGCAAAACGUCGAUUAUCGUCGAAUCCUCCUCUUCCGAUGAGCCGAUCGUGUCAGUCCCCGAACCAAAGGUAGUGAUUCCGCAGACGCGGAUGGAAGAGAUCUGUUUCACAGAAGUAAGAAGUCUCAUAACCUGCAUUAGCCGAUUCACUAUCAUCAUCGGUUGACUUAUUUCUUCCUUUUGUCUAUUACCUUGCAGGAACAGGACACUCCCAAUAACAGCUUCUUCUUGUUUGCGGUUGCGCUCUCUGUCGAUGAAGAAGUCGCCUCUCGUCAAGUGACCUUGAGCUCAGUACCCGACGACGUCCGUGCCAAGCUCGAAAGUAUACAGACCCUCCUUUAAGAAGACAUCGGCCGAUUGGUAGAGGACGCUUUGCCGAUUCGGUAGCUCUUCGAUGACAUCAGUGGCCGAGUCCCAGAAGAGGCCGAAGAAGCCUUGGCACCCGCCGCAUAUAUCGAAUCGAUGCGGAUCCCGAUUUUUAGGGCUCUGCGUCACAUGGCCGAUCGUGCCAAGCUGGCCAAGACUCAUGAGGAGCAGGACUCAUACAAGCAUCGGGCCCAAGAGGUACACCACCGGAUUCACUUCCUCGAGAACUCCCGUCCUGGGAUUGUUGGCAUGAUAGAUCGCCUCAAACGUCGAAGGGCAGAACUCGCCAAAGAGAUGGAGCAAGUAACCAAAGAGAUAGCCGUUGAAGAGAAGAAGCUUCAGGAGCUCCCUUCCGUUAUCGCCGAUUUAAAGCAGGAGAGGCAGCAUCUGGCCCACGAGGCCCUCAGACUUCAUCGUCACAUGCCAGAAGUCCCGGGGUCGGCGGAGGAUGACCAGCGCGUCUUAGACUCGGCCGAUCAGAUCAGGCGAUGAGCGAUCGCGGCCAUUAAUGCCCUUCUGGGAUGAUCUGUAAAAGUACUGGCCGUUUUGUAAGAACAUUAAUAUCUUUUGACCGACCUUCGCGACGCCUUCUUAUUUAUUACCCCUUUUACUCUGACAGGACGCGUCUUACCAAACCUCCGCCCUUUCUCUUCUUAUAAAUACUGGCCCUGGUUUUGCUCUCGAGAAUACCUGCUCCACUUGAUUCCUCUCUCCCCGAUUACGUUUUCAUCGGGACAUUCGUAGUCAUUUCUUCUUCGCCUUCUUCUUUCUCCUUUUCUUCCGUCAAUCAGGUACGAGAUCCGUCUCCGCUUUUUUCAGUUUGAUUCCUUUAAAUUGUCCUAACUUUUAGGCGGUUAUAUGUUAACCCUUUCAGCCAAGGCGCCUUAGCCCCGAACUCGAACGGGCAAUCGAACUCAUGCACUCUGACGAGCCAUUGUCGCAAGAGGACAGGGACUUGAUCAAGGCACACCAUGAAGAACUCAGAGAUCACGUUCCUGCCGACAUCCAACGGAUCUGGGACUUCAUUGACGACAAUGGUUACAGACGACCGCAAGUUGACAGGAGCCACCCACUCCCUCGUCCGGUUGUUCUUGAAAACGCCACAGCGGGGACAUCUCGCCCGGUGUUGGAUUGGAGCCAUCCUCUUCCUCGCCAGGCUAAGGCGGAGGCCGCAAUGAAAGAUGUGGAAGAACGAAGCACCCGCCUUCUGAUAGAAUUAGGUCAGAUUGAGAGGGAACUCAAGAAGAAAUGCAGUUGAGUAUUUUUGUUCUAAGGGCGACUUGUACCGCGUCUGCCGUGUAACUCAUCGUCCGUACCAAAUGACAAAUCGGCCGAUUUGAACGAUUACUUUUCUCCUCUAGGCGAUUUCAUUUUCUGCAUCGGCUACAUGAUUAUCUAGGAAAUAACCGUUCUGUCCUGCCAUGCCUCAUAAUGAUUCUUAUGCAUCGACCCAUAUACUGGGGUAGUAUCUUUUCAAGUACCUCCUGUUCAAUGCCCUAGUAAAUUCUUCCCCUUCGAUUGUCUCCAGAAUGUACGCGUUUCCCGGAGCGCAUCGACCGAUUCUAUACGGCCCUUCCCUAGUGGGAGACCAUUUACCGAAUUUAGGAUCUUUAGAUCCAAUCAGCACCACUAACUUCCAUACCAAAUCCCCUUGGGAGAACUGCUUGACUUUGACCUUCUUGUCAUACCAUCUGGCCACUUUCGUUUUGUUUUCCUCGAUACCGAUCAAGGCUCUCAAACGCUGACCCGCCAAAUUGUCGAGUUCCCUCUUCAUUUGCGAGGAGUAAUCAUCGGCCGUCAGCUGAUCUUGAAGCGACGUACGUCUUGAUCCCGUUCUCAACUCCCAUGGCAUACGGCCUCAUGACCGUACACCAGUUGAUAAGGAGACACCUUGGUAGCCCCAUGGCAGGCCAUCCUGUAUGCUCAUAGAGCUUCGGUUAGACAUAAGUGCCAUUUUUUGGGUUGUUCCUCAAUCUUCCUCUUGAUCAACUUAAUUAUCCCCUUAUUGGAAUAUUCGGCCUGGCCGUUAGCCUGAGCAUAAUACGGGGAGGGAUUUAGCAGCUUGAUCCCCAUAUCGGCCGUGAACUCCUCGAACUCUCCUGAUGUGAACAUCGUCCCUUGAUCGGUUGUGAUAGUCUGAGGGAUGCCGACACGAUAGACAAUAUGGUCCCUUACGAAAUUGACCAUAGCAGCUGACGUUACGGCCUUUAAUGGAAUCGCCUCCACCCAUUUGGUGAAAUAAUCUGUGGCUACCAGAAUGAAUUUAUGUCCUUUACUUGACGGAGGAUAAAUUUGUCCGAUGAUGUCUAUUCCCCAACCUCUGAACGGCCAUGGCUUGAUAAUUGGAUUCAUAGCCGAUGCGGGUGCGCGUUGCACAUUCCCAUAUUUUUGACAGUCCUGGCAUCCUUUAUAAUAUUUGAAACAGUCCUCAAGGAUUGUCGGCCAAUAAUAUCCAUUAUUCCUAAUCAUCCACUUCAUCUUUUGCGCCGAUUGGUGGGCUCCACACACUCCUUCGUGGAUUUCUCAAAUCAGGGUCUUUGCCUCCUCCGUCCCUAGGCAUUUGAGCAGAACACCAUCAAUCGUUCGGUAGAACAAGUCAUUUUCCAGUAACACAUAUUUUGUGGCCUGAAAUCGUAUUCGCCGAUCCACUUUCUUAGACGGGUCUUUUAAAUAAUCGGCGAUCUCUUUUCAUCAGUCGUCGGCCGCGUGUUCUAGAAUCAUGGCGCCUUGAAUCGGCCGAAAUCCGGACGCGUGAUGGGCAAGCCUGUUGGCUUCUUCAUUAUAAUUCCUGGAGAUAUGCUCAAUAACCGCGGAUUUGAAUUCUUUUAGAAGCUGGAGGCAAUCUUCAUAAUAAAUCCUUAAUACGUCAUCCUUGCACUCGGAUCUUCCUGUCAAUUGGUCCACGAUGAGCAUGGAAUCUCCAAAAAUCUCGACGGCGUUGGCCUUAAUCUCUCUUAACAAUUGUAACCCUUUUAGGACGGCCCGGUAUUCUGCCUGGUUAUUGGUGGCGGAUGCUUCUAUCGGCAGAGAGAAAUCAUAACUUGCUCCCCGAGGCGAUAUGAGAACGAUGCCGAUUCCCGAUCCGGCCCCACAUGACGAGCCAUCAAAAUAUAAGGUCCACGGUACUGGUUCCACGACGGUGAUUUCUGGUCUGCAGUGCUAGGCGACGAAAUCGACCAUAACCUGACCUUUGAUGGCUUUUGUCAAUUCGUAUCGUAGAUCAAACUCCAAUAAAGCCAAAAUCCACUUUUCGAUCUGCCCUUUUAAAAUCGGCAAUGACAGCAUGUAUUUCACUACGUCGUCCUUGCAUACGACUACGCAUUCUGCUGAUAAUAAGUAGUGCCUGAGCUUGGUGCAUGAGAAGUAAAGACAUAAGCAUAGCCGCUCUACCGAGGGAUAUCUUGUUUCGGCAUCCAAAAGUCUUCUGCUAACAUAAUAUAUCACCCGUUCCUUUCCUUCAAACUCCUGGAUUAACGCCGACCCGAUAGCUCGCUCAUCGGCCGAUAAAUAUAGCUUGAACGGCUUACCAGUUUGUGGUGGGACCAACAUGGGAGGAGAGACCAAGUACUGCUUGAUGUCUUCUAGUGCCUUGCGUUGCUCUUCUCCCCAUAUGAAUUCUUGGUCGGGUUUUAAUUUUAAUAACGGUGUAAAAGCUUGGACACGUCCGGAUAGGUUGGAUAUGAAUCUUCUGAUGAAAUUGACUUUGCCGAUUAAUGACUGCAACUCGGUUUUAUUCUGUGGGGCUACGACUUUAUUGAUUGCCACUAUAAUCUUCCGGUUGAUCUCUAUCCCACGCUCAUGAACCAUGAAACCCAAGAAUUAUCCGGCGGAUACGCCGAAAGCACAUUUGUUCGGAUUCAUUUUUAACCCAUGCCUUCUCGUGCAUUCCAAUACUUGCCGCAAAUCGGCCAGAUGUUCCUGGUGUCCUUUUGAUUUGACCACAACGUCGUCGAUGUAAAUUUCUACCAGUAUGCCGAUAAGUUUGUGAAAUAUGUAAUUCAUGGCUCGUUGAUAUGUAGCACCGACGUUCUUCAAACCGAAAGUCAUUACCACCCAUUCGAACAAUCCGAGGUGACCUGGGCACCUGAAAGCUGUUUUCGAUAUGUCCUCUUCGGCCAUUACUUUGUGACCCGCGGCGGCGUCUAUUAAUACGUCGGCCGUCGGCAUCGGGUAUCCGUCCAUCGGCGUAGCCUGAUUAAGGUUCCUGAAGUCAAUGCACACGCGUAGUUUUUUGUUCUUCUUAUAUACGGGCAUGAUGUUCGAAAUCCACUCGGCAUAACGGCAUUGCCGAAUAAAUUUCUCUUCAAUCAACCUCGUGAUUUCGGCCUUUAUAUCAGGCAAGAUUUUAGGAUUACAUCGUCGUGCGGGCUGCUGAUAUGGCCGAUAUCCCAGCUUUAUGGGCAGUCGGUGUUCGACAAUGGACCGGUCUAAUCCGGGCAUUUCAUGGUAUUCCCAAGCAAAGUAAUCUUUAAACUCUUUCAAUAAAUUUGUCAAUUUACAUUUGUACUCUGGGUCCAAAUUAGCACUAAUGUACAUCGGCCUCAACUUGGUACCAUCGCCUAAAGCUAUCAUUUCUAGUGAAUCGGCCGACGUGAAUCCGUGCCCCAGCUUCCCGUCUUCUCGGGCGAACUGAUCCAUUUAAUCUGAAUCUUUAGAGCCGACUGCUCGGAUCGGCUGUAGACCAAAAUCGAACACCUUCAGGAAAUUGGUGUCCCACGUCCUCCCGGAUAUGCACUUGACGUGCUUGUAGCUCCAUUGUUGUGUAUCGGUCGCCGCGACACUGUAUGCGGAAUCGGUGGUGACUAUUUCGAUGUUGUCGCCGACCCAUUGUACGAAGCAUUGGUGCAUUGUAGACAGGAUGCAACAAUUUGCAUGUAUCCAAUCUAGGCCGAGUAGCAUGUUGUAGGACCCUUUGCCAUUAAUAAUAAAGAAAGUGGUGGGAAGAGUCUUACUGCCGAUGGUGAGGUCGACGCAAAGCGCGCCGCGGGCAGGAGACACAUUGCCUUCGAAGUCCUUGAGCAUCAUGUCCAUCUUGGUCAAAUCAUCGUUGCUUUUUCCCAACUUCCGAAACAUGGCGUAUGGCAUGAUGUUGACCGCAGCGCCUCCAUCGACUAGUAGCCUGGUGACAAGUCGACCGUUAACAUGUCCUUUGAGGAAUAAUGCCUUGAGGUGCUGUCAUUUUUCGUCCUCGGGUUUCUCGAAUGUGGCUGUCAUUGGCUCCAAAGCCAAUUGCGCCAUCUGUUCCUCUAUCGCCGAUAUGUUAUGUCGGUCGGCCGGAGUCAUGAAUUCCAUCGGCAGAAUGAAAACCAUGCUGACAUCGGCUGCCGAUUCUUGGUUGUCGUCGUCUUCCCUAUCGUUUCUUUUGGGGUGCCAAACUCGAGGCCUGUCGUUUUUCUUGUCCAUCACCUGUUGCUGCUCUUCUUCCUGCUGUUCCCAUUGGCGGAGAUGCUGGAUUCUUUGUUUUUGAGAUUUAGUCAAUCUGUCAGGGCACCACCUGGGGUUUACCGGUUUAUCCGAUGGUUUGGCGCGUUCCCAUUCUGGUUCCCGUCCCAAGGGGUUCUCGUCUGAUACUCGAGCAUCGGCCAUCUCCUUCAGCCGAUUGUGUGCGCUGACUCUAUCUUCUAGUCGGUUGUGUCGAUUGGUCCUGCCCCCCGGCCUGUCAUAUCGCUUGCGCCUGUCAUCCGACCGAUCAUAUUGGUCACUUCUGCCACCCAGCCGAUCACGUACUGAAAGGCACCGAUCUUCUUGCUCGUGCCAGUUUCCGCUGAUCGGCUCUAGCCUUCCAUCUCUGGAGCGAGAUCUUCUGAAUGAAUGAUUGUUGCGAUAUGGGCCGUUGCAUUCUGGGCAAUUGUUGGCCGAUGGCAACCUUAGGUUACUCUCCCAGCAGUGGAUGAACAACGGGCAUCGCCAGUGAUCUUCAUGUCGCCGCAUCAUCUCUUCCCGGAAUCUUGAACUUUCUUGUUGCCGUUGAUAAUUGUUGAGCAAAAAUUGGAAGGUGAUGGGCCUACGUGGCUCUCCCGAUCCUUCGCCUUCAUCCUCUAUCCGUCACUUCCCUUUGACAUCUUCAGACACCGCUUGAUUCCUGGGGUCUAUGGUGCCGGUCUUUUUAGCUGAUUCUGAUGUUAGCACCUUGGUCUGGAGUUAAUUCCUUCCUGUAUCAACCAUGUUGGUGGGGAAGAGAUGCUGAUCGAUUUUCAUCGGCUUUACUGGCUUUGUCGGGACCUUGAACUUGAGCCUACCUUGCUCAAUGGCUGAUUGUAUUUGCUGUCGGAAGAUUUUGCACUCGUUCGUAUCAUGGGAGGUGGCAUUAUGCCACUUGCAAUAUUUCAUCUUCUUUAGCUGUUCAGCUGACGGGAUCGUAUGGUAUGGUGAGAGAUUGAUUUGUCCUUCCUGGAGGAGGAGAUCAAAGAUUUUAUCAGCCUUUGACGUGUCGAAACCGAAUGCCUCUAGCUCCUUUUUCUCGAACGGACAUGAUAUCGGCUUCUUCCCUUUAACCCACUCUGCCAGGCCGAUUUCUAUUUCUUCUUCGGACUCAGCCCCUUCUAAGUACGCCACCUUCUUCUGGAAAUUCCUCCGUGGAUCAAAGGGAUGUACUUCCUGACCGGACAAUCGAUGUACGAUUUGGCUCAGGCUCUCAAAUUCUUGUGAAGCAUAUUUUUCCUUGAUGUGAGGCAGGAGACCUUGGAAGGCUAUAUCGGCCAGCUGUGCAUCGGUUAGGACUAGGGUGUAGUGUUUGUUCCUGACUUCCCUGAACCUCUGCACGUAUGUGGACAACGGCUCAUCACUCCUUUGUCUGAGGCUAGUCAGAUCUGAAAGUUUCAUCUCAUGCACCCCUGCGUAGAAGUACUUGUGGAACUGCUUCUCCAAGUCGGCCCAAGUGACUAUGGAAUUGGGUGGUAGUGUAGUAAACCAUUGGAAGGCCGACCCGGACAGAGAUGAUGAGAAAAGGCGCACCCGUAGAGCAUCUUGUGUAGCUGCCUCCCCACAUUGGAUGAUGAAUCUGUUUACGUGUUCCACAAUUGAGGUAUCAUCAAGCCCCGAAAACUUGGUGAAAUCAGGAACUUUGUACCGAUGGGGAAACGGUAGUAAGUCAUAGGUAGGUGGGUACGGCGUUCUGUAUGUGUAGGUUUGCACCUUCGGCUUUAAACCGAAUUGCUCUUGAAUCACCUCUGCUAUCCGUGCCGUCCAAUCUGCUUGUUGUUGAUGAACUAUAGGCUGGGGGACCGGCACGUGUUGGUAGAUCGGCAGUGGGAUGACAGGGUGGUGGACGAAGGCGUGCGGCGCCUGAGGUGACGCGGCCGGCUGUGUAGUCGGCAUCGGUUGUCUCAGUGAACCAGCCGUUUCAUCAUAUAGUACAAUCGGCGCAGCACCCCGAAGUGCUUCCGUUGUUUCUGCCCCCCUGCCCAUCUCCAGCGUGGUUGGUUGAUACUGUGGAAUCAUCGGCCACACGGCCGAUUGGAAAGGUGCCUGGAUCGGAGAGCUUCCAUAGCUACUCCAACAAUUUUCUAUAAUUUCUAGCUACCACUGCAGAAAUAAAACAAUAAAUGACAUGAUUUCCAACACUUAUAUACAAAUUUCCUGCAAUUUUUCUAUAAUUUCCUACAAUUUCUAGAUAAUUUCUCUACAUAAUUUUCUAGAUAAGAAAAACAUAAUGACGUCACAGCGGCCACGGGGGCUUACAUCACGGCGGCUGCGAGCUUACGUCAGCGUGAGUUUGCAGGGGCGCCACGCGCGCGCAUUGGGGACAGAGCGGCCGACGUUGGGGACGCAGGCCAAGCGGCGCCGGGGGCGCGGACAGCUGGCAAGGCGGCGACAGUGUCGGGGGUGGCACCGUUGGGGCCGGCGCGGCCAGGGCGGCGUUGGGGGUGGCGGCUUCGGGGUCGGGGUGUGGAUAGGAGGCGGCGACAGCGUUGGAGGGGAAGCGAUGCAGGAGACGGCAGCGGCGCAAUGUCGUUGGAGUCGACGGGGGCGGCCGGCGUUGCGGGAGACGGCAGCGUGUGCCAGGCGGCGUCGAGGGCGCGGACAGCCGGCGAAGCGGCGACGGCGUUGGGGGUUGCGGUGUCAGGGCCGGCGCGGCUGGGGUGAUGUUGGGGGCGACAAUGUCGGGGUCGAGGCGCAGACGGGGAGCAGUGACAGCGUCGGAGGGGAAGCGAUGGAGGAGACGGGGGUGGCGUAGCGUCAUCGGAGUCAUUGGAGGCGACGAGGCUGGGGCGGCGCAGCGUCGGAGAGGAUGGGGGCGACAGCUUCGACGGGGGCGAGAGACGGGGGUGCGGGCAUUAGAGGCGACAGGGCAGCGUUGGAGGAGAUCGACAAGGUGGCGGUGGAUCGCGCAGAGGAAGACGAAACGAGUGAAAAUGGCUAAGUGUUGGCCAGGGCUAGCACUGAGUGGCCUAUAACCCCUAUAACCCCCAUCUAGUAUCGGUUCCAAACUACACCCGGUACAAGAGCCCCUCUAGUACCGGGUAUAAACAACAACCGGUACUAGAGGGGGGGGUGUCUAGUACCGGAGGGUCUCCCCGCGCGGCAAAUGAAAAUGCCCCUCUAGUAUCGGUUGUUGUUAAGCACCGGUACUAGAGCGGUUGCAUGACCGUGUUUUCAUUUUUCUUUUAUUUUACAAUUGCUAUUAUAUCAAUUUAUUGCAUAGUAAAUUAAAUAACAUUCAUAAAAAUUGUAACAAAAAUUUGGUAGCUUCAUGCUUAUUAGAUAUAGACUAUAAAAAUGUCAGAUGCGGUCAAAUAUCAAACAUGGUAAAGUUAUUAAUUUUAAUGAUAGGUUGUAAUGGUCAUAAUACUUAUAUUAACUUUAAAUUUCAAAAAAAUAGAUUUUUUGCCAUGCAAAAAUUUAGAAGAAUAGUGACACUGGUGUUUCUUGAAAUGUUUACCAUGACUUAACCAUGUUCUUGUUUAAUUGUACGUAAAUUUAUUGUUUAAUAUUUAGUGGUGCUUAAAAAAUUGAAAUAUUUAAUAUUUUAACCAUGCAAAAAUCAGUUAAAAAAUAUUUUAGCCAGACAAGAAAGUUAAAUAAGACAUGAGAAUUGUAUUUGGAAAAAAAAGAUCUAACCAUUCAUAUUACAUUAAUGCCUUUGUUGAUAACCAAAAACACAACAUAAUUGCUCAAAUACCUUACGCGUCAUCAUCUAAUGGAACGUUAAUAAUCCUCCUCUUGACGAACAUCCCUUGGUUGUGAUCGCGGCGUAAGUAUGGAGCGUCCUCUUUUGCUAAUAGGAUGCUUGGGUCAACCUCAACUGAAAAUGGAGGAAGAUCAUCAAACUGAUCAUAAUCUUCUGAAAUGUCAGUCUUGUACUCAACUCCAACGAUUUUUCUUUUUUCUAGAAGAACAAUGUGGCGCUUGGGCUGAUCAUCUGACCUAUUAGCACCCUUCCUUAUUGGUUUACUUGCCAUGUCUUUCACAUAGAAAACUUGAGUCACGUCAUUGGCUAGGACGAAUGGUUCGUCUAUGUAUCCAAUCUUGUUGAGGUCCACUAUUGUCAUCCCAUAGUUGUCUGUUAUUACGCCUCCUCCAGUAAGUGUCACCCAUUGGCACCGAAAAAAAGGGAUUUUCAAAGUUCCAUAGUCGAGUUCCCAUAUCUCCUCAAUGACACCAUAGUAUCUGUCUUUUUUUCCACUGCUGUCUAUUGCAUCAAUACAGACACCACUAUUUUAGUUUGUGCUCUUUUGUUCUUGGGCUCUGGUGUAAAAUGUGUACCCAUUUAUCUUGUAUCCUUGGAAUGUCGAUACUAACAUAGAUGGACCCCUAGCCAACCAUGCUAGUUGUUCUUCAAUGGUGUCAUCACCCAUCAGUUUACGCCCCAACCAAGUGCCAAAAGUUUCAAUGUGACGACGUGUAAUCCAGGCCUCAAUCUACCCUUGGUUUCAGGACCGUACAUUAGCCAUGUGCUCCUCCAUGUAUGGAGCGACCAGGGAUGAUUUCUGCAAGAUCGUGAAGUGUGCUUCAUGUAAUAUCUCCUCAUCGAUGUCCAACCAAGCGUUUCUCCCUAGUGUGCCCUUUCCCUUCAAUCUCCCCUCAUGGCAUGAUUCAGGGACUCCAAUCGAACUCAGGUCGUCUAUAAAGUCAACACAAAACUCAAUUACCUCCUCUGUUCCAUAUCCAUUUGCGAUUCUUCCUUCCAGAUGGGCACAGUUACGAACAUACCUCUUCAGAAUUGCCAUAAACCUCUCAAAAGGGAACAUAUUGUGUAGAAAUACAGGACCGAGGACAAAAAUCUCUUCAAUAAGGUGGAGUAGAAGGAAGGUCAUGCUAUUAAAGAAGGAAGGUGGGAAUACGAUCUCAAAGCUGACAAGGCAUUGCACCACAUCCUUCUGCAGCUUUAGUAGAUUGUCUAGAUGGAUUGCCUUCAUUGAAAUCACGUUGAGGAAUGCACAUAGCUUCACGAUUGUCAUUCUCACAUUCUCUGUAAGAAUACCCCUCAGUGCAACAGACAGCAAUUGUGUCAUAAGGACAUGGCAGUCAUGGGCCUUUAUAUUUAUGAAUUUCUUGUGUUUCAAAUUUAUUAAUGCCUUUAUAUUCGAGGAGCGAUGGGACCUUGAUACUAUUCAAGCACUCAAACAUGCCUUCCUUCUCUUCCUUACUAAAGUGUAACUGGUAGGAUGCAAGUAAUGCCCAUUAUCUCUCUUUUCCGGAUGUAGGACAUCUCGUUGAUUCAUACGUUUCAGGUCCCGAUGUGCUUCAAUUGUAUCCUUUGCCUUUCCAUAUACACCUAGGAAGCCAAGCACAUUAACGUAGAUAUUUUUCAUCAGGUGCAUCACAUCAAUUGCAUUACGGACCUCAAGGACUUCCCAAUAAGGUAGCUCGCAAAAUAUAGACUUCUUCUUCCACAUGGGUGCAUGUCCAUCCUCGUUGUUCGGAACAGGUUGGCUACAAGAGCCCUUGCCAAAGACUACCCUCACAUCCUUUAUCAUAGAAAAUACAGGAGGCUUCAAUUCUGAAGGGGCUUAGUACCUUUUUCUUCCUUCCCUUCAAAAUGCUUCCCUUUAUUUCUUAGAGGGUGCUUAUCAAGAGGAAAUCGACGAUGGCCCGUAUACAUGACCUUCUUACAGUGCUUCAAAUACAUGCUGCAAGUAUCAUCUAAACAGUGCGUGCAUGCUUAGAAUCCCUUCUUUGACUGUCUAGACAGAUUACCAAACACCGGCCAAUCAUUGAUGGUUACGAACAACAAUGCUCGUAGAUUAAAUGUCUACUUUUUUGUCCCCAUCCCACACAUGUACACCUUCUUCCUUCCAUAACAGUAGAAGUUCAUCAACCAACAGUCUUAGGUAAACAUCAAUGUCGUUGCCAGGUUGUUCUGGGCCUUGGAUAAUUAUAGGCAUCAUAAUGAACUUCCGAUUCAUGCACAACCAUGGCAGAAUGUUGAACAUAAAUAAGGUCACAGGCCAAGUGCUAAGACCACUGCUGAACUCUCCGAAUGGAUUGAAUCCAUCCGUACUUAAACCAAAAUGUAUGUUCCUUGCAUCAUUUUCAAACUCGGAGCAUAGACUAUCAACUGUUCUCCACUGGGACCGAUAAGUGGGAUGUCUGAUCAUUUCAUCUUGCUUACGUUCUUCUUUGUGCCAACGCAUCAACUUUGCAUGUGCCUUGUUCCUGAAUAAGCGCUUCAACCGUGGUACUAUAGAGAAAUACCACAUUACCUUCGUAGGAACUUUCUUCUUGAUGGCCUCCCCCUCAACAUCACCGGGGUCAUCUUGCCUGAUCUUAUAACGCAGCACUUUGCACACAGGACAAGUCUCCAAUUUCUCGUAUUCCUAACCCCGAUAGAGGAUACAGUCAUUAGGACAUGCAUGUAUCUUUUGGACCUCCAAACACAGUGGGCAGACAACAUUUUUUGCUUCCUACGUUGAGGAUGGCAAUUCGUUCCCCUCAGGAAGCAUGUUCUUUAUGAUUUUCGUUAACUUAUCAAAACUCUUGUAAGAAACUCCAUUUCUUGCCUUCCAUUGCAGCAUUUCCAGUGUGGUACCCAAAUUUUUUUGCCCUUGUUUGCAAUCUGGGUACAACAAUUUCUUAUGAUCAUCUAACAUACGCUCGAACAGUUUUGACUCCUUCACAUUCUCACAGUCUUCCUUUGCAUCUCGCAAUACUUGACCUAGCUCAUCGAGAGGACCUUCUGCCUCGCCCAUCUCUUCUUCGACCUCGCCCAUUGGAGCAUCCGCAAAGACACUUCCUUGAAUCCAGUCAGAAUGUUGUCAUUUUCUUCUUCUUCAUCAUCAUCCAUCAUAACUCCUCCUUCCCUGUGCUUGAUCCAAACCAAAUAGUUUGCCAUGAAUCUAGAACUGUAUAUGUGGGCGUGAAUAGUCUUGCUAUAUGAGUAAUCCUUCUCAUUUUUGCAAUUUCUGCAUGGACAACAAAUAAAAUUGGACGGUGGUUUGUUGGAUUCUGCUUGAUCAAGAAAACCACGCAAGCCAUUAAUGUACUCCUUGGAACGUUUGUCCACGUUGUACAUCUGUUGCCUAUCCAUCUACAAAAUAUUACACAUGGAUUGGUUUUUGAACUAUAAGAAAAUGAGUUGAAAUACUAAUCUAAUUUUUCUAAGUAUAUACACAUGGAUUGGUUUUUGAAGUUGGCUAUCCAUGUACCAAUGGAGGAUGAAGUUUCUAACCUUUAGAACACUUGAAUGAUUGCAAUCCCCAAGAAAUGGUCACAAAUCUGGUAGCACCUCUCCUAUGGUGCUAUGGAUAGGGUGAAGCUUGAGCUGUGAAAAUUGUAGUAAAAAUGUUGAAUAGCUAGAGAAUAUAGAAAAAUUCUUUAAUUAGCGAGAAAUAAACAUUAUUUAUUUAGCUCAUAUUUGCAACUGACUAAACUAUGAAAAAAUUCUAUAUUUCCCACAUAAUUUACUUACCUCAAACAUAACAUAUAAAUGAAAAAUUUCUCCAUUGUAGCUUAUUCUAAAAAUGACUAAUUACGUACCUCUAUUUGAAAAGUACUAAACUAUAAAAUUAUUCCUCUAACCUCAUAUCAAUUUAUUUGACUAGUACGAAUCAUGGCAUCCAAAAUUUUGUAGCUUAUUCUACAAAUCACAAAUAUAAGCCCUAAAUGACACAUUCAUAUAAAUGAAAUUUUUUUCCGUUGUACCUUAUUCUAAAAAUCACAAAAUACUCUAGCUCUUAAGCAUAAAACUUAGUAUACUAAACAUGUAUCAAGGGAGGAUGAAGUUUAGAACACUUGAAUAAGUGAAAUCCCCUAAAUAACACAUUCAUAUAAAUGAAAAUUUUCCCCAUUGUACCUUAUUCUAAAAAUCAUAAAAUACCCUAGCCCUUAAGCAUAAAACUUAGUAUACUAACCAUGUAUCAAGGGAGGAUGAAGUUUAGAACACUUGAAUGAGUGAAAUUCCCUAAAUAACACAUUCAUAUAAAUGAAAAAAUUUCCCAUUGUACCUUAUUCUAAUAUUCACAAAUUACUCUAGCUCUAAAGGAUAAAACUUAGUGUACUAACCAUGUAUCAAGGGAGGAUGAAGUUUCUAACCUUUAGAACACUUGAGUGAAUGAAAUCCCCAAGAAAUGGUCACAAAUCUGGCAAAACCUCCCCCAAUGGAACCAUGGACAGGGUGAAGCUCGAGCUGGAGGAUCUGGCUCGGGCUGGAGGAAGAAGGAGGGUAUUUAUAGAAAGGAAAUUACUACUGGUUGGGGUCACCACAUGGUACUAACGGGGUGCCCUCUAGUACCGGUUGGUGCCUCGAACUGGUACUAGAAGGGGGUUCCACACUAGUACCAGUUGGUGGAAGCAACCGGUACUAGAGGGUUCCCCCUUUAGUACCGGUUGAUGUCAACAACUGGUACUAGAGGGUGGGUGGAGCAUUAGUACCGGAUGGUGGCUGCAACCGGUUGGUGGCUGCAACCGGUAUAAUGCUCACUCUUUAGUACCGGUUGUUGUCCCCAACCGGUACUAAAGGGGUCCUAGCAGGGCGCUCCAGGCCCCUUUGGAACCAGUACUAAUGUUAGCAUUAGUACCGGUUUCAAAUGCAACCGGUACUGAGGCUAGGGAUGAGAGAUCAAUUUUCUAGUAGUGUUCUCUUUUUGGGGGCUCCUAUCUGGCUUCCACAAGCCAGAUAGGAGCCAUGGCUUAGAGCCCAUUAAAAUCCAUCGCACAGCCCAUCAAGCCACCAUAGCUCAGCAAUCACUUCAUUGCCCUAUUGCACGCACCCAGUAUAUAUCUUGGUCUCCCAGGACAGCAACAGCUAGAGGUAGCAACCAUGAUUCUGAAAAUGGAUCAAAUAAGGAUGAAAUUGACAUUGAUGAGUGAUACUAUAGAACAGAUCGGCACAGUCUACCUCAUAGAUAAGCCUGUCAAGAGUUGGAUUGGGGAGGUCCGAAAGGUGGCUUACCAUGUUGAAGAUGUCAUAGACAAAUACUCAUAUCAUAUUCUUCAGAUAGAGGAAGAAGGGUUCCUGAUGAAGUACUUCAUCAAGGGUACCCAUUAUGUCAAAGUUUUCAGUGACAUUCCGUAGGUUGAUGCUUACCAUGAGUCUAGUUUUAGUUGUGUACCUCUGAUCCAUGUCGCAAAAAGAUUGUAAGGUGUUGUGUUAGAAUGUUCGUGGGCUUAAUGCGGCCGCUAGGAGAGCAAGUGUAUGAAGCAUGGUUCAUUCAUCCGGAGCAACGAUAGUAUGUCUGCAAGAGACUAAAAUAGCACACUGGACAUCUAAACUCGUGGCAGAGACCUUGGGAAAUAAUUUUGCAAAGAACUUUGUUGUGUUAGCAACCAUUGGCACAAGAGGAGGCAUUCUGAUAGCGGCAAUAGUGAACCAUUUCGAUGUGCACAACAUCCACACCACCGAUCACACAGUAUCCACAACAAUCACUAUGAAAGCAGACAACAAAUAUUGGACACUCACAUGCGUCUAUGGCCCUCAGGAUGACCACGACAAGCUACUUUUUCUAGAGGAACUGAAGAGCCUACAAGGACAAGUACUCACGGAAUGGGUCAUAGUUGGUGAUUUUAACCUUAUAUAUAAGGCAGAGGACAAAAGUAACAAUAGGCUCAAUAGAAACUUGAUGAACCAUUUCAAGCAGGAAAUUGACGAGAACCAACUAAUGAAAUCAACCUCCAUGGAUGGCGUUUCACCUGGAGCAACGAACAAGAUCACCCAAUGUUCACAAGGAUAGACUGGUUCUUCGGUACAGCAGAAUGGCAUCUUUUCUUCCCAAAUCUUGACUUGCAAGCCUUGCUAACCAUGGGCUCAGAUCACUUCCCAUUAUUUUUGACAGGAGAUGUAGAGAGACAAAACUAUGAGGGCUUUCGCUUUGAAUCUUAUUGGGUGAACAUGCCAGGUUUCUUAGAGAUUAUACAAGAAGUAUGGAGCCAGUCAGUGCAUACUCAAAAUGCCAUACUACAUAUGCAUGUCAAACUCAUUCACACAACAAAGGCGCUUAAAUUGUGGAAGAGAUAGAACCUGGGCAAUCUAGCCCUUCGAUUGGCAAUAGCCAACGAGGUGCUGCCUUUCUUGGAUGCAACUAAAGAACAAAGAGCUCUUACAACAGAGGAAUUAGAAUUUCGAUGAUAUCUAAAAGCGAAAUCGGUGGGCUUAGCUGCGGUUCAGAGAGCCUGUGCAAGACAACACUCCCGGCUCACAUGGAUACGUAAAGGAGACGCAUGCACACGCCUGUUUAUGCUGCAUGCUAACAACAGAAGAAGAAAGCUACACAUCCCGUCCUUAACCACCGUAAAUGGAACAAUGACCAACAACCACCACCAAAAAGAAGAAACAAUAUACAAUCACUUCCUAAAUCUGUUGGGAAUAACACAAGAGAGAUCCCUCAGCCUAAACUGGACAAAUCUCGGAUAUCAACCACAUGACCUGACCGACCUGGAAGCACCAUUUGAGGCGGAAGAAAUAAAAAAGGUCAUCAUGCACUUACCAGCAGAAAAUCACCUGGCCCGGAUGAAUUUAUUGGUCUAUUCUAUAAGAAGUGUUGGGACGUGAUCGGAGAGGAUUUGAUUCAAGCUCUCCAUACCUUCCACUCUCUUAGGACUAGGCGUAUGGAGUUGAUUAACAAGGCCAAUAUCAUUUUGCUGCCAAAGAAAGAAGGAGCGACCAUGGUUGCAGAUUUCCAGCCUAUAAGUCUCAUUAACAGUCUAGCCAAGAUCAUAACAAAGGUGCUAGGAGAUAGGUUGCCUCCGAGAUUGAAUGAACUAGUUUCCGAAUGUCAGAACACCUUCAUAAAAAAAAUAUGCAUUCAUGACAACUUCGUCUAUGUACAGAGUGUGAUCAAGGCCAUGCAUAAAUCAAGGAGACCGGCACGUAAUCUUUGUAAAACUCGAUAUCUCUAAAGCUUUUGACUCGCUUAGUUGGGUAUUUCUCAUCGAAGCAUUACAGGCCCUAGGUUUUGGCCAAAAAUGGAGAGAUUGGAUCACAAUGCUAUUAGCCACCUCAUCAUCCAAGGUGCUACUUAACGGGAGACCCGGGAAAAAAUUCAAGCAUGCUAGAGGCCUCCGUCAAUAAGAUCCACUAUCACCCAUGUUGUUCAUCCUCACCAUUGAACCACUCCAUAAAACUGGUGGAAUUGGCAGCUAGCAACAACAUCAUAAGACCAAUCCUCCCUAGAGUGGCAAAGCUACGGUGCUCCCUUUAUGUAGACGACGCAGAUAUUUUCGCAAACCUGGACAGAACGUAUUGGACAAUUGUUACAUAUCUUUGGAGAAUGUUCAGGACUCAAGAUAAAUAUGACUAAAAUGGAAAUAUUCCCUAUCCGGUGUACCAACGAAACCAUUUCAGAAGCUCUAGAGGACUUCCUGGGAAAAAAAUUUCAUCCUUCCCUGGAAAAUAUUUGGGUUUGCCUCUUCACACGCGCAAACUCAGAAGGGUGGACGUCCAACCAUUAAUUGACAAGAUCGGUGGAAGGCUCCCUGGAUGGAAAGGUAAAAGUUUAUCAUCGGUUGGGAGAGAAACACUGGUGAAGAGUGUGUUAACAUCAUAACCAAUAUAUCACCUCACAGUUUUCCCUACUAAAAAAUGGCUAAUCAAAUAGAUUGAUCACCUGCGUUUCCUUUGCAAAGGAGAGGAACCAGCAAAGGUCAAUGGAGGACACUGCUUGAUUAAAUGGCCAACAGUGUACACGCCUAAGGACAUGGGAGGGCUUGGGAUCCUCUACCUCGAGAGACUUGCGAGGGCUCUAAGAAUGCGAUGGUGCUGGUUCCAUGGGAAGUAUAGCAAGAGACCUUGGGUAGGGCUUGAUAUCCCGUGCAAUAAGAAUGACAAAGGCCUCUUCUAUGCGUCAACAGUAGUAAUGGUGGGCAAUGGAAAGAAAGCAAACUUCUGGCAUUCGACAUUUGGCACCACUCUUGUUCCAACGAUCUAAAAGGAAAAACUUCUCUGUACAACGGGCCCUACAAGAUAACUACUGGAUUGCGCAGGUUUACCCACUCGUGAUGGGGAAGGAAAUUAGAGAGUAUGUGCAGCUGUUUGAGAAAAUAAAUAUGCUACAGCGUGACCCUAAUGCCAAAGAUAAAAUAUCAUGGAGAUGGAUGAAGGACGGGGAGUAUAAGACAAAGAGUGCAUACCGCAUACAAUUCCAAGGCCAACUGAAGAAGUUGAGUAUCACCCCAAUUUGGAAAGCUAGAACUGAACCAAAAUGCCGGAUCUUUGCCUGGCUUCUCCCGCAUAGGAAAAUCUUAACGGCGGGCAACUUGGAAAAGCGGGGGUGGCCUAAUGACCCUUAGUGCAAGCUAUGCAACUUGAACUUGGAGACACCCACACACCUGUGCAAGAACUACCCUUACACAACGGCAGUCUGGGAUCAGCUGCAGGGAUGGUUUUCUCUUAACCACUUACCCCCAAGCAACACAUCGCCUUCGAUCCACAAGUGGUGGAAGAAAUGCAGAAGCAUGAUCGACAAACGGAACAAAAAUUUCUUUGACGGCCUCAUCAUAUAUUUCUGGUGGAACAUUUGGAAAGAGCGCAACAGACGAGUUUUUAAUCAUGAAACCAAACCGGUGGUGGAUGACGUCGUGUUCUCUAUCAAAGAAGGCAUCCAACAGUUCCAGUUGGCCAAUAAAACGCACGAAGCCCCGUGGAGGAGCCAACUUAGCAACAAUUUUGUCUUUUGAAGUGGGGUCUUUCUCUCAUUGAAGUGGAUCUGGCAGUUGUUGUUCUUUUCUCCUUUCCCUCUUGGGAGUUCUGUUUAGUUGGUGCAGUGAGAGCCAUGUACAUAGAGUUUUUUUUUUGUUUUUCUAUCUUAUUUGGUUUUUACCUCUUCUAAUAAAAAUUCGGAAAAGCUUUUGCCGUACGUCCAAAAAAAAUAUUGCUGAUGAAGUAGCUAUGGUAGAACAGGACAUUCAACAAGUUAACUGAUGAAGGAUCAGUGGUUUCAGCAUUCCCAGCUUGUUCCUGACAAACUUGCCAUGAUUGAAAGGCAGCAGUCCCAAGAUGGUUUCCCAGAUUUUGUCAAAGAUGAAGAUCUAGUAGGAAUUGAAAAAAAUAGAAAAUUGCUGUCUGGAUGGCUGUACUCGGAUGAGCUGGAUAGCACCGUGAUAACAGUUUCGGGUAUGGAUGGGUUGGGAAAAUCUACCCUGGUAACAAAUCUUCAUGAACGUGAAAAGGUCAACUUCCCUGUGCAUGCUUGGAUUGUUGUCACAGAUCUGCUCGGCAGACGCUCUGUUGAGAAAGCUACUCUGGAAGAUUGGGAACAUGGUACCACCAGUACCAUCAGAAAUUGACAAAAUGGAUGUACACGACUUGAAGGCAGAAAUAAAGAAAAAACUCCAAAAUAGAAAAUGUUUGAUUGUAUUAGAUGAUGUAUGGGAGCAAGAGGUAUACUUCAAAAUACAUGAUGCUUUCCAGAAUCACCAAGCAAGUCGUAUUAUCAUUACUACACGAAAGGAUCAUGUUGGAGCCAUCGCUUUGUUGGACCACCACCUUCAGCUAGAACCAUUGGAUGGCCCUGAUGCAUUUGACCUUUUCUGCAGAAGGGCUUUUCACAACAAGGAGGACCACAAAUGCCCCAAGGAGUUUGAGGAAAUUGCUACAUCUAUAGUGGAUAGGUGUCAUGGCCUGCCGCUGGCAAUUGUUACAAUAGGCCGCUGGCAAUUGUUACAAUUGACCACGAAAAUACAUUAUUUGGAAUCAAACAUAUAAUCAACUAAGGAGUGAGUUGUCAACAAAUGAUCAUGUCCGAGCAAUAUUAAACCUAAGCUAUCAUGAUCUAUCUUUAGGCCUCAGAAAUUGCUUUUUGUAUUGUAGCUUGCUCCCUGAAGACUACCCCAUGUCACGAGAAAGCCUCGUGCGGCUGUGGGUUGCAGAAGGCUUUGUUCUGAGCAGAGAAAAGAAUACACCAGAGGAGGUGGCUGAGGGAAAUCUCAUGGAACUGAUUCACCGCAAUAUGCUUGAAGUUGUGGACUAUGAUGAGCUCGGAAGGGUUAGCACUUGCAAGAUGCAUGGUAUUAUGCGGGAUCUGGCACUCUCCGUUGCCAAAGAAGAAAAGUUUGGUUCUGCAAAUGAUUAUGAAGCAAUAAUACUUUCGCCGGUUGUCAUUAUGUAGGUGGAAAGUUAAUACUUCACUUAAGGUUAAAUUUCCACGUCUUAGAAGCCUUGUAGCUCAUGGAAUGAUUUCGUCCACCCCUGAUUUGUUAUCCUCAAUUUUAUCUGAAUCAAAGAACUUGACUGUUCUAGAGCUGCAAGAUUCUAAUAUCACCGAGGUGCCCACAUUUAUAGGGAAUCUCUUUAAUCUGCGGUACAUUGGGUUAAGGCGCACCAAUGUCAAGUCACUCCCAGAGUCAAUUGAGAAGCUCUUCAAUCUCCACACUCUGGACAUCAAGCAAACCCAAAUAGAGAAGCUACCACUAGGUAUUGUUAAGGUUAAGAAGUUGAGGCACCUUUUGGCUGACAGGUUCGCUGACGAAAAGCAGUCAGAUUUCAGAUAUUUUAUCGGAGUCGAAUCACCUAAAGGGCUGUCGAACCUGGAAGAACUGCAGACUCUAGAGACAGUGCAAGUGAGCAAAGACUUGGCUGAGCAGCUGAAGAAACUGAUGCAGCUCAGAAGCAUAUGGAUAGACAAUGUAAGUGCUUCUGAUUGUGAAAACCUUUUUGCGACCCUAUCGACGAUGCCACUUCUUUCCAGCCUGCUUAUCUCUGCAAGAGAUGUGAAUGAGACACUUUGCCUCCAAGCCCUUGAUCCGAUUUCCACAAAGCUCCACAGGUUAAUUGUAAGGGGCCAGUGGGCUUCUGGGACACUGAAGUAUCCGAUAUUUCGCAAUCAUGGGGAACAUCUCAAAUAUUUAGCGUUAAGCUGGUGUCAGCUUGGAGAAGAUCCACUGAGUGUGCUCGCUCCACACGUGCCAAAUCUCACCUAUUUAAGUCUUAACAGGGUGAAUAGUGCAAGCAUGUCACACCCGAUUUUAAGGACAAAAUCGAGUGCAUUAAAUACAUGUGCGCCAGGAUCAAGUUACACACAUGUACGACAAUAGUGAAUAUCAAAGACAGUGUUAAAUCGAAUAAAGAGAGUAUUAACCAUUAUUACAUGACCGAAAGUCUCACAUAAACCACAAAGUCUAAUUAUUACGCAGCGGAACUCCAAAGACGAUGACGACUCCACAGGCAGCCGACUGAAGAAACGUACGCCUAGAACUCCUCGAAGUCGGGGUAGUACUCCUCUUCCCAAUUAACUGGGUCUGAACAGCGGUUUUGCAAGGGUGAGUACACUUAUGGUUGGUACUCAACAAGUCGUGGGGAAUAGUGUAGUGUAAGGCUAAUUCAAGGUAUGGCUAAGGCAUAAAUAGCAUUCGCUUUUAAUUAAGUUGGUCAAGUUUUAUUAGCAAUUAACUAAGUAUAAGUUCAUACCACCCGAAAUUAAACAUGAACAAAAAGUAAGCAACAAAUGCAUGAAAUGAUCACAAGUUUAAUCCAUCUUUCGAUAAUAUUAUCAUGUGAGGGUCCAGGCCGCUCUUAACCGUGAGCACGGCUGAUCGAUUAGUUUAACACUCUGCAGAGGUGGCACAUCUUUACCCACAAGUCGCGUAAAAGUUCAAAAGAACUUUGGACCCAACCAUGCGAUGCUAGCUAGGCACCAUACCACACUUCCGAGGUGUGAUUGCAUAGGGACGCUACGAGGCCUUUACAAAGAUUCGCUAGCAAUGUGGUAACCCGCUAAGGUUUCAGGUCGAAGCGAAACAUAGCAGUCCCCUAGAGGGCAUAGUGUCUUAGCCAAGCCCACUUCCCAAGAGAGCGAGUGCUAUAUCCCAUCAACGCCUCCCCUCUUGCCCUUCCGGUAAGGUAACCCCACGCUAGAGUUUCUAAUUAAUCAGCCAAGACCAGAGCCAUUUAGUCUUGUGGUAGCACUGUUUUCCUGGGUGGUUCUCCAUGUUCCGAUUAACAAAUAAUGAUCUUGUCUUAAUGAAAGGUAUAACAGAAGUAAAGCAAGAUUAAGCAUUGUGUGUAGUUAAACCACCAUGUACCAAGUAAGCACUAAGCAUGAGCUACCCAACAUAAAGUAAACCGGUUGGUCAAGGCAAAGGUAAAUCAAUCUAGGCGAACCUUAAUUGGGACCCAUCAAUUUAAUCUUAAUAUGUGCAUAGCGUAAAUGUUAAGUACGAGAAAGUAAAGGUGUAUAGGACAACAAGAUAGUGAUCAAGGACACGACUUGCCUUCUUGGCCUUGCUCCUGCUGUUCGUACUCUUCGAAGGCUUGAUCGGCAACUCCCUCGAACUGCGGGGCGUCUACACGCGUCACACGAGCACAUACAAGCAAACAUAGGCAAAAGUAAGAAAACAGUACACCAAACAUAGUUAAACAGAGAAAAUAAGCUUGAAAAGAUGAUCUACGCUUUAAAACGAACACGUGGAUAUAAAGAACGCGAAAAACGGAGUUAAGAUGCAAAAGAUAUGAUUAAAACAAGAUCCAGGGACCUUUCUGUAAGAAAAACAAAACUUUUAGGGCCUAUCCGCGAAAACCGAGGGCUUAUACGUAAUUAUGCGUAUAAACCGAGGGUCUGACGCGUAAAAACAACAAACCCGGACGGCGGGUUGAUUUCUGGAAAGCUCAAGGGUUAAACCGAAAAAGGCGAGGGCAGAUCUGUAAAUAUUUUCAACGCGAUCUGGACCGCGGGUUGAUUCGCGGGUUGAUCUGGACGCGAUCUGUAAAUAUUUUCAACGCGAUCGGAUCGAGAUCGGACGGCCACGGUCGUCCACGACUCGCGACGGCGGCGGGGAAACAGAGCGGCGGCGGCGGCGAGCGGCGGCGCGCGGCGGCGAGCGGCGGCGGGUCGCCGGAGUUGGCCGAAACGGCGCUCCGGGGCACUAUUUGAAGCGCGGGUUGCACCAGAAGAAAGAGGAGGGUGCGGCGAUCCCGUUUUGGGGGGGUUCUCGUCGUCGGGAGCUCACCGGAGGCGGCGGGCGACGGCGAGGAAGAGGCGGCGGCGCUAGGAGCUCGAGCGGCUAGGGUUUCGGGUGCUGCGGCGCUGGCGUUUGGGCGGAGGAGACCGGGAGGAGGCGGCGGCUUUUAUAGGGCUUGGAGAUAGAGGCCCCGGGGGUUUAAACCCCUCCGAAGGAGGCGGAGCGGAGGGAGUUCGCGGCGGAGACGGCGCGCGGCGGUUGCGGGAGGAGUUCGGCCGGAGGUGGGAGACGGUGGUGGGCCCCACCUGUCGGCGGCCGCGGGCGAAGGCGGGCUGGCGCGGUUGCGCGGGCCGGCGCGCGCGCUCGUGGGCCACGAGGCGGGGGUGAGCGGCAGGCCGGGGUGAAGCGGUGGGCCGGCGCUUCGCGGGCCGCGGAGGAAACGCGAGCGGGCGAGCUGCGGAGCAGGCCGAGCGGAGGCGGAGCUGGGCCGCGGAGAAAAGGAGGAGGGGGCGACGCGGCGGGGAGCUGGGCCGCGCGGGAGAAAAAGAAAGAGGAGGCCGGCGGAGCUGUUGCGGGCCGGUGGUGAUGGUGCGGCUGGGCCGAAGGAAGAAAAAGAAAGAGGAGGGAAGGAAGUUUCGGCCCAGGAGAAAAAGAAGGAGAAAGAAAAAGAAAGAGAAAAAGAAAAGGGGUUUUGGAAUUUGAAUUCAAAUUUGGAAAUUCAAAAUUCAAACUUUGAUUCAAACUCAAGCAACCAAAAAUUAUGCUCCAGCAUGAAUGCACAAAUAAUUCCUAUGAUGAAUUAAUUGAAUUAAAGAAAAUGGAAUUAAAUGCCUAAAAUUUAAAUAACACCUUAAUUUGAGCAAAUUUUAAUGAGUUUGAAUUAUAGAAAUUUUAGGUGUUACAAAUCCUACCGUUCUUUCUGCUGGGUGUUUUCCUCACCUGAAGACGCUCGUCUUGAAGCGAAUGCCGGAUGUCAAGCAGAUGGAAAUCGGAGAUGGUGCUCUUCCACGUAUUGAAGGUCUUUACAUUGUGUCCCUAGCACAACUGGAUAAGGUUCCUCAAGGCAUCGAGUUGCUUCUUUCUCUGAAGAGGCUUUGGCUGCUGUACCUGCACGAUGAGUUUAAAACUCUGUGGCAAACGAGUGGGAUGCACCAGAAGAUGCAGCACGUUCCAGAGAUUCGUAUCUAGGACAACUAGAUGGUAAAUUCUCCAGUGGUAUGCUUGUAUGAUGUGUCUGCUCAGAACUGUGUUUGUUGGGCACUUUAUCCCUUUUUAUUCCAAUAAGCCAUGAAUUCUUCCUUUUGAUUUUUUUUUUAUUGUACAUUGAAACACCCAUGUAUGUGCUGUGUGUUGGUUCAGUUGCUUUAGAAACACUACUUUUGUUCAAGAACACUUCCCUUCUGUAUUUAACUUUUGUAAAUGAUGUUAUGAUCAACAGAUUUUGUGCAUGUGAGGUGCAUAAUAUGUGAACUUACAAACCAGCAGAAUAUUCAUAAUUUCAGGGCGUUUACUUUAUUUAUAUGCUACUAAAUUGAACAGUGCUCUUCACUUUGCCACUAACUUUUUGCUUUUCAUUUUUUAUGCUGUUAUUCCAGAUGGUGCUUCUAGAAAGUUCAAUUUCUCGUAAUUCUCAGUCAAUUUUCCAUUAGCACCCAAAAAUACUGAAAAAUCCUUCAGAAAAAGCUUGAAAAAAUGUAGAAAAUUAUUUUGAACUAAGAAAAAUAGUGAAAGCCUGAAAGGUACUCACCCCACACACACGCACACCCCAAACGAUUAAAGAAAGUCGUAAACUCUUAAUCACUGAAAAAAUAUUUUCUAAAACAAUAUGUGCAGAGAAAACUAUCCUACAAAUUUACUUUUUGUUGAAAUGUGUACGUUUCGAUCUUUACCAGCUCUUAUGGAAAAUCCUUUUUAAAGGAUUUCUACUAUAUUGUUUUUCUUCAAAGAUGAUAUAAAAAACUUUGUUUAAAUCACUAGUAGAGAACUGGCCUUUAGUCCUGGUUGGUAGGAUGUAUAUCUCCCGAAAAUCCAUCCGGGAUAAACUAACCGGGACAAAAGGGGGGGCCUUUAGUCCCGGGUCCUUCAACCGGGAGUAAAGGUCACCCUUUAGUCCCGGUUGGUGUCACCAACCGGGACUAAAGGGCCUGCCACGUCAGGCGCCGGACAGACCCUUUAUUCCCGGUUGGUAAAAGCAACCGGGAGUAAAGGGUGCCCCUUUAGUCCCGGUUGGGUUUCCCAACCGAGACUAAAUGGCAUCCUGCAUGGCGCCCUGCAUGGCACCUGAAAUUUUCAUGCAUCACGUACGUAGUACCGCGGUCCUUUUGUUAACCUUUAGUAGUUGAGAUUUUUUUAUAAUGAAAUCAACUAGUAUUUAAAUGAAUGAAAUUUGUAAUUAUACAAUUACUAUAUAUAUACACAAUUCAUAUACACAAUUCAACUAGUACAAAUCGAUCUUAGCGUGUAUUAUAUAUACAAAUCAAACUAUAUAUCUACAAUCUUGAUCCCAUCGAGGUGUUGCUCGGAACGUCUAAUUGUCGUCCAUUGUAAUAAAAUUCUCCUUUUGGAUUUACUACCUCGUCCAUUAGGAAUCCAAUGAGACCUUUACAUAUUGCCGCUACUCUUUCUUUCUUCAAGAGUCCUUGUUGAAUAUUUAACAUCUAUAAUUUGAAAAUUUAUGAAUGUCACAUGAACAAUUAAAUAUAAGGAGCUAGAAAAUAAUUAACUAGUAAUAGUUUUAUUUUACGUACUUUAAAGUUGUGCCACGUCAUCUUUAGUCCCUUGGGUCCCAGAAAACUGUGCAUGUGCUCACAGAUGUAGUAGCCACAUAGAUUAUUCCUGGGUUCCUAUCUUAAGCACUUCAGUGCGGAAAAAAAUAAGUUAUGAAAUAUUCGUGUUAUACAAUAUACUAAAUGUGCAGACUUCAUACGUACCGGGAAGUCUGUGUUCCAUGUAAGUUUUUCUUUGAAUGGACCUUUGUGUGUCCUUAUGAAUUGUUUCCAUGCGCUGCGGAUUAGAAUAAUGAAUGAUAUAGUGUAACAGGGAUAAAAUUUAGGAAACAAACUUUUGCAUAGAGAUAAAGGUCCAGAAUUAUUACAAGCCUAGCAUGUCUUGCAUGUCUUGGUACUCCGUCGGAUCUUUCCUUAAUGUAUUGAAGACAGUGACGUGGCUUCUUUCAUGCUCAAUUAUAAUAAGGAUCCAGUGGAAGCUGCGUACGUAAAAUGUUCAUGUAUAUUAGAGCUAACUAACAUUAAUCAGGUAAGGAAAAAGACAACGAAAGUAGACGGUAUACACACACUUACUUGAAGUUGUAUGGAAGUAGUAUGAAAUCCUUGAAUUUUUGUUUGUCCAGGAAAUUGUAUACUUCCACCAAAGUUUUUUCCAGCGAUAAUUGUAUCUGUUUUUGGUUAACUACGGAUGGAUCCAUGAAGCCAAUAUGUAGGUACACCUCUCAUCGGCAUGUCUGAAUUAGCAUCCUACAUAAAAUGGAAGACGAAGUUAGUAUGGUGACGCACACAAAAAAAUACUGAUAUGAGCCAAAAUUUGCAUGUAGAGAUAAACGGACACUUACAGAACCCAGGCGCUGACCAGAGAGACGUCCAGGACAUCAUGAUGGUACACUUCGUAUAUAUCCUGGAAGUCUAGCUACAGAAAUUUCUCGCCUUCGCCGUAAAAAUCUAUCGGUUUACCUUAAGGUCCAAUAUCUCCCUCGAGUCGGCGGACACCUUUAUGUACCAUUCAUGGAAUUCGUACAUCUUUGUUGAUAGCUUCCGUACCAACUCAGGCCUUACUAGAGAUUUGCCUAGCUCAUAAGUCCAUCUCGGCUCAGGAAGCGGUGCAGCUGGCGGCUCAACUUGCCCUAAACAUUCAUCAAGUCCCAGACCUGUUUCUUGCAUGAAUUUCAAUACUUCUACUUGUUGAUCCAAGGGCAUUGCUGCUACCCUUUGAGCGUCUUUUUUGAUAAAUGCUCGAGGUUGGGGACAACACCACUGGAAGAUGACUUUCCUUUCCUUUUGUCCCUUUCAUCAGCCUUUACUAAAGCUCGUUCGUAGUUUGAUAAGAGUGGUAUCCUUUUCUUGGCUCCUUCUUCCAUCCUGAUAAAAAAGUUUAAAUCUCUUCAAUUUACUGGUGGUGGCUCCAUCUCCCUUGCUUUUUUUCUUCAGCUUGUUUCUUGAACCACGCACUGGCAUCUGCUUGGAUUUCUGCCCACUAUUCUGCAUGACUCAUUGCCUCCCAGCGUUCCUUACGAGUCACUUCAGGCUCCUUUGUUUUCUUCUUUCUCUCUCUUUGCUUGGGAGGCGGUGCUUGUGACUUCUUUAGUGGUGCUACAAGUUCCUUCAUCGGGGCUGCUCUUGAUCCCGGCAACGGUGAUCGGGGAGGGGUGUUGUUAUUGUCGUCGUCGCUCCCACCACCGGGAUGUUGUGGAGAUGGAGACCUUGAUAGAGUAGGAAGCAACGGUCCUGGAGCAAGUUGUGCAGGAGAUGACGGUCUCGAGCUAUGAGGAGAAGGUCGCUGCUGGGGAUCUACGGGGAGCGGUCUUGAGCUCUGAGGAGAUAGCUCCGUGCCGGGAAUGAUGAUGUAGCGUUUGCACCAUAGGAUGAUCCCAUGAAGUGCUUCUACCAGUGUUCUUUCCCUGUCGCCUCCCGGGAGGUCGAUCUCUAGGCCUUCAUAUUGGCUAUCAACAAGUUGAUUUAUGCGGACGCAAGCAUAGCUAGGUGGAAUCUCCAUGCCAUGACUGCUCUGCCCUGCCAGGGUUGGUAACGCACUUCCGUAUGCUACCUGUACAUAUAGCAGAAGUAAACAAAUUAUUAAACUCCGAUCACGAGGCGUGGAUCAAUUGACAAGAUUGCAUAAAUAUUAUGUAUAAGUAUACCUUAAUAGUGAGGUUGCCGACCAGUGUAUGCAGCUCACAUGUGGUGCGUUGUGUGAUGGCAUCCACAGGGAACUGUUGCUCCUCCACGGGUAACCUGGGCGUUUGCGCAUCGGGGACCCCUGUAGAAGCACAACUGCUCAGGAGGCGUUGAGAAGGGCUGGCGCGGUUUGGAUUCAGCAAUGCUCCAGAUUGGGCCAACUCCGCAACUGCAUGAGCCACUCGAUGAUUGAUUUCCUUCAAAAUUCUUUCUUCUUUGUGCCUGCACUUUGGAUUCUAGCAUCUGCCGCUAGCUCUCCUCAAUCUGUUCCUUUCUUCGCUUGCGGCUUCUGUACGAUGCGAUGUCGCCUCGGAAAGCAAACUUCCACGGAAUGACCCCGAACCCUCGGCAACGUCCUGGGUGCUCAGGAUUAGCGAGGGCCAAUGUGAGCUCAUCAUUCUCUCGGUCCACCUUCAACCUCCUAGCCUUAGAAUCUUCAAUGUUCUUCAUAAGACGUUCGACCUUUUCACGUAUUGUCUCAUUGAAUAUCAACGUCCCAUCAUCUUGGCUCAAGUAGCCUCCAUGAGCGUAACACCAAUUUUUCGAUCGUUCGAGCCAUUCAAUAGUUGCAGGUACGAUUCCCCGUUCGAUCAGAUCUUGUUCCAUCUUCUUCCAUUUAGGAAUUGCUAUGCCAUAACCAGCUCGCCCUAGAUGAUGAUGGUACGCCUUCUGACUAGAAUUUGUAGUGUUGCUCAGGAUCUUUUUCACACCGUCUUCACUCUUCUUAUAUUCAACAAAUGCCUCCCAGUGGUCCCUCAACUUUGGCCACACAUUGAAGUCUGGAGUUCGGCCCUUCUUAAUGUAGUUGGCAUCCAGCAUCUUCUUGAACGUUUUGAAUUGUGUAGCCAUCUUCUUCAGCGUUCACGCUUUCACAUCCUUUUCAAUAUAACAUUCGGGAAAUGUGAAAUGUCUCUUGACAUCUUUUUCCCACAUCAUAUUAUUUUGUGUCUCCAGGAGCGCGUACGGAUUAGUGCUUUUGCCCUUCCAUUCUCUGAUGCUGAUAGGCACGUUGUUCCUUACUAUUGCCCCAAUCUGACUCACGUACUUGUUUGUUACUUUCUCGGGAGCAACCGGCCUGCCCUCUUCUGUCACUUCCGUGAUGACAAGCCUCCCUUCCAUCACCUUUGUACGACCUCGGGUCUUCUGCCCUUGCGUCGAUCCAAAGAGCUAACAGUUCAAGAUUCGUUAAUUAGUACGUACUAUUAACGGUGGUGUCAAACAAUACAAAUUAUAUACCUCGCUGUAACCUUCCGCCAUGGCAAGGUGUUGCUGGGGCUCAUGCUCUUCAUUCUCAUCACCGGACAUGUUGAGGAACAUGUCCGCCUGGGUACCCUCUUCAUUGGUUUACGAUAUUGGAAGGUUGUCACCACUACCAUCACCAGCGAUUAUCUGCUCCAUGAGAUACCUUGCGGUCUCGUCGUCUGCCAUUUCAACUACUGAUUGAAACAUACAUAGAAUCAUACAUGACACUCAUGAAUCAUAGAAAUCGCCUUAGUUGCAUGUACGUAAGGGUAUAUACAUGAAAUCAUAAAAUAACAUGAAUCCCACAAAGCUCGAAAUAUUUAUACAAAUUUCAACAAAUUAGUAGUACUUUGUAAGAAUUUCUACCAAAUUUCUACUAAUUUAUACAUAUUUAUUGAAAUUUCUAGCAAAUUACUACUAAUUCCUACUAAUUUUACAAUAACAUGAAACCCACAAAGUCCGGAAUGUUUAUACAAAUUUCAACAAAUUAGUAGUACUUUGUAAGACUUUCUACCAAAUUUCUAUUAAUUUAUACAUAUUUAUUGGAAUUUCUGGCAAAUUAUUACUAAUUCCUACUAAUUUGAAUGAAUUUCUACAAAAUUUAUCAACUGAUUUUCUAGCUAAUCUACAAAUAUCUAUUGAAUUUCUAACUAAUCUACUAAUUUCUAUUCAUUUUCUAACUAAAAAAAUAAAAAAGGCCCUUGCUGACGCAAGCCGGUGGGCUUGCGUCAGCAAGAGCUGUUCGUUCCCGACGCCAGUGCCGGCGGACCUCGCGUGGUCGACGGUGCCUAGCUUGGGCGACGAGGUGGCCGAGGCAGCGGGACGGCGGCGUGUGGGGCAGCGGUAUGGCGGAGGCGGGGACGGAGCGAGGUGGCCGCAACAACGAUGGGCGGAGGCGGCCGGCGACGAGGGACGGAGGCAGCACGCACGACAGAGGCAGUGACGAGGAGGCCCCGCGACGAACGAGGGUGCAGCAGUGAUAGAGGAGGUGGCGUUGACGGAGGCGGUGACUCGGACGGAGGCGGCGAUGAGGCCCCACGAUUGAGGCGGUCGGCGGCGACGAGGUUGAGGGGGCGCGACGGAGGAGGAUCAGAGGCGGUCCGGGACGAUGGAGGAGGAGGCGGUCCGGGCGUGGGUGAGGCGGUCGGCUAGCGGGACGACGAUGGCUGGGGCAAUGGGGGACAACGAUGGCGGCGGCAGGCGAGGGAGGCGGACGGGCAGCGACGGAGCAGGCGAGAGGGCGCGGGAUCUUGGCGGUGGUGUGAAAAUUUAGCUAAGUGUAACUGGCGUGGGGGCUAGAAGAGGAUACAGUGUCUUUUAUCCCCCCCUUUAUCUUGGUUCUCAAUUGCUCCCGGGACUAAAGGCCCUUUUGUCCCGGGUGCUAACACCAACCGGGACAAAAGGGCCCCCUUUUAUCCCGGUUGCUAAUUGUAACUGGGAUAAAAUGGUAUGUCCCAGGCGGGAAUCGAAAGCGACCCUUUUAUCCCGGUUGCAGUUGUCCACUGGGAUAAAAGGGGGGCCUUUUGUCCCGGUUUCUAUUGGCACCCGGGAUAAAAGGGACUUUUCCCACAAUUUCAUCUCCCGCCUAUUAUUUGCAAAAUGAUUUUAUUUAUAUUUUCACUGCAUUUCAAGAUGCAGCAACAAAAAACUUCACAUAUUUUGAACAUGCAAAAAUAUAUUUAAUUAGGAGUAUAUUGACAAUAAGUGUGAUUUAGUCAUUAAUUCUAUAUCAGUUCGUUUAGCCUCUAAAAUAGUUAUUUUACUGCAACGCUAUGAUCAAGAAAUUAUUCAAUUAAAUAAUUUCAACGUGCAAAAAAAUCCAUGUAUGUAUGUGGUUAACAUUAUUCAUGUUUAUCUAAUAAAUCUUCACCUCAACAAAUUUAAUAACACAUGAAAUCAUAUAUAGGUUAAAUUAAAAAUUGUAUCAAGUACUACACAAAGGUCAUGUAAAUUUAGUGCAUUACAAUACAACGUUGUAAAAUUUCUUCUUCACGAAAGUUCCUUGAUUAUGAUCGCGGCAUAAGUAUGGAGCCUCUUCUUUGAAUAGCAGGAUGCUUGGGUCAACCUCAACUGCGAAUGGAGGCAUGCCAUCAAACUGAUCAUAAUCAUCUGAUUGGUCUGUUUUAUCCUCGACUCCCAUGUUUUUUCUUUUACCUGGAAGAACUAUGUGGCACUUUGGCUCCCAUGUCUCUUCUGGAUUUCUCUUGGGUUUGCUACACAUGUCCUUCACAUAGAAAACCUGAUGCACAUCAUUGGCAAGAACGAAUGGGUCAUCACUAUAUCCAGUCUUGCUCAGAUCUACUAUUAUCAUUCCGUACUGAUCUUUAGUUACGACAGUUAGCUUCACCCAAUUGCAAAGAAAUAAAGGGAUGUACAACAGUCCGUAUUCGAGUUCUCAUACCUCCUGUAUGAAACCAUAAUACGACUCCUUACUAUUAUUUCUAUCUAUGGCAUCUAUGCGGACACCACUAUUCUGGUUCAUGCUUUUCUGGUCCUGGGCUCUCGUGUAAAAUGUAUAACCAUUUAUCCCAUAGCCUUGGAAUUUUACGAUUGUGGUAGCAGGUCCCAUGGCUAACCAAGCGAGCUGUGGGUGAAUCUCAGAGUUACCCAUAAGUUGUUGGCGCAACCAGGAGGGAAAAGUUUCCAUGUGAUGACGUGUAAGCCAAGCAUCGGAUUUCGUCGGGUUUUUGGAAACUACCAUCUGCCUGUGCUGCUCGAUAUACGGAGACACAAAGGAUAACUGUUGUAGAAUAGUCUAAUAUUUCAUGUUGAACAAAUCAGUAUGAUUGCUCAAACUUGAUUUCCUUCCAAGGGUACCCAUUCCCCGGAGCCUCCCCUCGUGGCGUGAAGUUGGAACCUCAAUCGAGUCAAUUGACUCAAUAAAAUCAACACAAAACUCGAUCACCCCCUCUGUUCCAUAUCCCUGGGCGAUGCUUCCUUCUGGACGGGCACGAUUAAGAAUAUAGUUUUUUAGGACUGCCAUUAACCUCUCGAAAGGCCACAUAUUGUGCAAGUAUACAGGUCUGAGAAUACCAAUCUCUUUUACUAGGUGAACCAGUAAGUGCGCCAUAAUAUUGAAGAAGGAUGGUGGAAAUACCAACUCAAAACUGACAAGACAUUGCACCACAUCGUUCUGUAGCUUUGAUAGCUUGGAUGGAUCGAUUGCCUUCUGCAAAAUCGUAUUGAGAAACGUGCAUAGCUUUACGAGCGGCAACCGGACAUUGUUCGGUAGAACACCCCUCAGUGCAAUCGGAAGAAACUGGGUCAUCAACAUGUGGCAGUCAUGGGUCUUGAGAUUUGUAAACUUCUUUUGUUUCAUAUUUAUUAUUCCCUUUAUAUUCGAGGAGUACCCAGACGGGACCUUCAUACUAUUCAAGCAUUCAAACAUGGUAUCCUUCUCUUCCUUGCUGAGAGUGUAACUGGCGGGAUGUAAGUAGUGUUGUCCAUUAUCUCUCUUUUCCGGAUGUAGGUCAUCUCGUUGCCCCAUGGCUUUCAGGUCCUGUCGUGUUUCCAAUGUAUCUUUUGAGGUCCCAUAAACACCCAUGAAGCCUAGCAAGUUCAUGCAAAGAUUCUUCAUCAGGUGCAUCACGUCUAUUGCGUUGCGAACCUCUAGGAUUUCCCAAUAAGGUAGCUCCUAAAAUAUUGACCUUUUCUUCCACAUGGGUGCACGUUCGUUAUCGUCGUUUGGAACAGGUUGGCUACCAUGAACCUUUCCAAAGACUCCAUUUACAUCCUUUAUCAUCUCGAAGACACGCUUUCCAUUACGGUGUGCAGGUUUUUUACGAUGGUCUGGCGCCCCUUUGAAAUGCAUCCCGCUCUUUCUCGGCUGGUGGUGAGCAGGGAGAAAUCGACGAUGACCCAUAUAGACGACCUUAUUACAGUGCUUCAAAUACAUGCUGUCUGUGUCGUCUAAACAGUGGGUGCAGACCUGAUAUCCCUUAUUUGUCUGUUCCGAAAGGUUACUCAGUGCAGGCCAAUCAUUGAUGGUUACAAACAACAAUGCUCGUAGAUUAAAGAUCUCUUGUCUAUCCUCAUCCCACACACGUAUACCUUCUUCCUUCCAGAGCUAUAAAAGGUCAUCUACCAACGGUCUUAGGUACACGUCAAUGUCAUUGCUGGGUUGUUUUGGGCCUUGAAUAAGCGCCGGCAUCAUAAUGAACCUCCACUUCAUGCACAGCCAGGGAGGAAGGUUGAACAUACAUAGGGUCACAGGCCAAGUACUAUGGUCACUACUCAACUCACCGAAUGGAUUGAAUCCAUUAGUACUUAAACCAAACCUUAUGUUUCUUGCUUCACUUUCAAAGUCUGGGAAUGCUCUAUCAAUUGAUCUCCACUGGGCCCCAUCUGCGGGUGUCUCAGCAUCUCAUCUUCCAUACGUUCUUCUUUGUGCCAUCGCAUCAACUUAGCAUUCACCUUGUUCCUAAACAAGCGCUUCAAGCGUGGUAUUAUAGAGAAAUACCACAUCACCUUCACGCAAACUCUCUUAUUGGGAGACUGCCCCUCGACAUCACCAGGAUCAUCUCGCCUGAUCUUAUACCGCAGCGCUUCGUAGAUGGGACAAGCAUCCAUUUUCUCGUAUUCAUCACCACGAUAGAGGAUACAGUCGUUAGGGCAUGCGUGUAUCUUAUGAACAUCCAAUCCGAGAGGGCAAAUAAUAUGUUUAGCUUCAUAUAUUGUGGACGGUAAUUCAUUAUUCUUGGAAAAAAUCUUCUUGACAAUGUUCAACAUCCCCUAAAAUGUCUUAUCAGACACACCAUUUUUUGCCUUCCAUUGCACAAAUUAUAGUGUCGUACCUAGUUUUUUAUGGCCCUGCUGGCAAUCUGGGUACAACAAUUUUUGGUAAUCAUCUAUCAUGUGCUGCAACUUUGCUGCUUCCUUCUCAGUUUCGCAAUAUCUGUGUGCAUCUCGUAGCACCUGAUUAAGGUCAUCAGUAGGGCCAUUUUCUGCAAACUCAUCUUCAUCAGCCUCGCCCAUUGUAGUAUCUGCAAAAGCUUGGCUUGCAACCCAGUCCGGAAUGUUGUCAUCUUCCUCCUCCUCCUCGCUGUCUUCCAUUACAACCCCUCGUUCACUGUGCUUGGUCCAAACCAAAUAGUUAGGCAUGAAACCGUAUCCAAACAAGUGGCUGUGAAUAGUCUCCCAGGAAUCCUUUGAAUACUACUUCUUGUUAUUGCAUUGGAAGCAUGGACAACAUACGAACCCAUUCUCUGGCUUGUUCGCUUUGACCACUUCGAGAAAAUAAUGCAAGCCAUCAAUAAACACCUUGCUCCGCCUGUCUGCAUUAUACAUUGUAGUGCAAAUAAUGCUAAAAAUUUAGAUAUAGAUAGAAAUACACAUAUUUAAAUUAAAGAUCCAAACAACAUGAUACAAUACAACAAGCCAUCCACUAGUUAUUAUCUAGGAGGACUUUAAGCAUCCUUGGGUGGUGAAGACGAAGGCGCUGACCUAGCCUCAUCCUGUGGUUUAUUUGUGCCGCCUGAAACGGUAGUACUAAGUGGAUGUGAAACACCCGGGACUGAGGGUGGAGCAUAACGAUCACCAAAAGGAGGUUCCUGACCCACGGCAACAGCUUCUUCAUGACGUUUCUGCAAAUAACGAAGCAUUGCUUUUUCCAACGCGCUCAUUUUCUUCGACUUAUGCUGAGGGCCAACUAUGAUUUUCCCCUUCCCGAAAGAGGAACGAUGAUCGCCCCCACCAUCGCCACUUCCUCCAGUAGCAGAAGCCAUCUAUGUACAUAAAUUCUUACCUUAGCAUUGCAGAAGUUGUUGAACUUGAAGAUCGUGAUCAUGUCGCGAGCAUGUCCUCAACUGGGCAGCACCGCACUUCGUUAUGAAAGAGGUUCGAUUCUACGGAAAAGGGGACCUAGUCACGAUGUCUGUAUCCACUCUUUCUCAUAGAAUCGAACCUCCUUCUUGACAUACGUUGUUGCUCGGCGGAGAACAACCUCGCCGAGAUGAACACGGUUUGCAAGUUCAACAAGUGGAUUUGAAAAACUAUAUUGAAUUUGAUAAGAUAAACCGUCUAGACAAGGUAGCAUCAUUCUUAAACCACUGCAAGAAUACAUACUAUAUAUGACACAUCAAUCUCCCUCACAUUCUAGCUCAAAAUACCUCUCCAUUUUCUACUUCAUCACAUUCUAGAAAAUAAAUUUUCCAUCUCCAAAGCAUAAAUCAAAGCGUACACGAGGAUGAAGUAGUAAACCUUCACAACACCUGUGUUGGCUGAGUGAAAUUCCCACGAAAAUGAGGGAAAAAAAUUCGGACAGCACCUCCCUUGCUUCGGCACCACCGGAGAGUAGGUGAAGCUCAGCUCUCUGUCUAUGUGGUGGACUGGCUCGGGGUGGAGGAGGAAGAAAGGCCUCUGUCUUGGUAUAUAAUGGGGAUGAGUUUUUAUCCCGGUUAAAAACUCCAACCGAGACAAAACGGAACACCUUUUGUCCCGAUUGAAAGUUUAGUCCCGGUUGGAGGCUCCAACCGGGAUAAAAGGGUCACGCCAACGACACCCCAGAACUAGCCGUUACAACCGGGACUAAAGGGGGGCCUUUAAUCCCAGUUGCAGAUACCAACCGGGAGUAAAUCUCCCCUCCAUUUUUGCCUACCGUGGCGCACCCCCUUUUGUCCCGGGCCAACUUUAAACCGGGACAAAAGGGGGUGCAUCGAAAGUCAGUUCUCUACUAGUGAAUGGUCCUGGAUUUUUUCAUGCUCUUUUUUUAUAUUUCCCAUGAUAUUUCCUGAGCUUUCUGUGAUUUUUAGCACAUUCUUUUACGUAUUUUUAGAGACCAUGUAGAUGAGCUUUCGCAAUAGAAUCAAAGUUGUGAUAGCAUGUUUAUUACUUGCAUUCUAAGGAAAUAGUGCCAUGAAUAAAUGAGAUGUGCUAACUUAAAAUGGCCAAGUUAAGAGCAUUGUUUGAGUUAAUGUUAUAAAGAAAAUGAUCUCGUAGAAAAAUAAAACAUUUGGGCACUAAUACACAUACUUUAUAAAAAAUAAGUUCCUUUAGGAAACUAAAGGUUAUUACAAAUGAACUUCCUUUUGGUAGAUUUAUUCAUCAAUAAAGACAUUAUGUAAAUCACAAUCAAUUAAGACUUUACAAAAACAGUUGGAAGACCUUUCUACGAGUUGUCUUCCUUUUUGUUUUUGCUUAUAAAAGAUGAUAGGUUGUUAGGGGAACUCACAUAAUAAUAUUUACAUGACGCCAAAUAUCUAAGCCGUUCGAUUGAGCGUUUUGGGUGCAAUCAGAUGAGAUCCCACAUUGUAAGGGACUACAUUGAUCCUCUUCUGAUCAAGACGCCCUCGAGAGCUCCGAUCCGCCGUGGCCCCUGCCUUUGUCCCGAUGAUGGCUCCACCGCCGCCGGCCGGAAACUCUGGCGCUGUACGUCCUGGUGGUGCCGAGCCGAGGCGAUCGACUGCAGGGAUCUGGAACGGCAAGCGGCCAAGCCUACCUCGUCGCGCCGCCGCCGCUGCCCGCUGGAGUCGAUGAAACCCAUGGUUGAAGAGCGGGAAGGCGAGGUCCUACUACUCGACCGGCCGACCCCUCCCACCACUGAACUUUGGUUUGGAUAGAACUCAGGUGAUCGCCCACUUCCAUCUCCCCUGUGUAUUCCUUUUGCAUUUGUUCCAAUCAAACACUAUUAUUGAACUGAAACCAUCUCCCAAACGAACUGAACAAAUCUUCUAAGAAAUCCGUUGACGUACCAGCAAAACAACGGUGCAUUUGCAUUCCAUUACCCGUCAUUCCGUUGUGUGUAUGAAGUAAUAAUCCGUAGCAGACCUCAGGUUUCCGAAUGUCAUAUGUUCAUGGACAUCUUGGAUAGCAUAAUUAUGAAACGAACUAUGUUCACUUCAAUACAGAUUCUAAAUGGGGGGAAACAUGUAGACAUGCAGAAAGGUGCAGGAAAGACUCCUGGUUUACUAGAAAAUGAUACAACACUUGCAACCAAUGAGUUGCAAUGAGGCUAUGACUGAAUUCAAAUACGAUGGAAAAAGUAUUGUAGCUAUAACUCAAGAGUGGAGUAAUUUAGACAAUGGAAUGAUAAGAUACUUCAAUGAUCAUUAAGGAAGGAAAUUUUAUGACUUGAGAUUGACCGCCUUGAAAUAUUCUUCACAGUAGUCUGGCGAACCAAAUUAUGUAGUAUUUCUACCAACUGACAAGAAUCCUCCACUGAAUGCUUCACCUUUUGCUGCAAAAAGAAAGGGCAUCAUAAACCAUGGCGACCUAUCUUUGGGUAGAGGUACGUGGAGCAAUUUUAAAUUUUUAUUUUCACUUAUCUGUAAUUUGCAGUUAUUGCCUCGUGCUAAGAAAUUCAGGUAGCUGCAAAAAUUUACUAAUUUUAGAGUUAGUGUUAGAGUUUUAUUUGUUUCUGUAAAGGUGAGGCCGAUAUCCCUAAAGGUACAAAAACUUUAUGAUAAAUGAAUUGCACGAAUCCUUUGGGAAGUUGGGCAUAGUUGGUCACAUAAUAUUGCAAGCACUAAAUGUGUGCACUUUGCAGCCCUCUGGCUGGUUGGUAUCUGCAUGUGGCAUGCUACGAAAGUACCUCUGACAUCUGAACAGAGCAAAUUGGAGCUAAGUACCGUAAAAUAGGUACGUCGAUAGAUGUAUAUGAGAGAACUGACCCGAUUAACUUUGCAAAAGAUAGUAUAUUAGAUAUUUCUGGAGGGAAAUUGGCUGCACAUGAGAAUAAAAAGAGAAGGGAAAGAAAGCUGACCGUCAUGCUCCCACAAGGAUCAGAAUCCUUAUAAAGUCAUGCAUGUAUGAAAUGAAGAACUACGAAGCCACUCGGCCAUUGUUAGCAAUGGAUGAACCAGUUAAAGCGGCACAAAUCACUUGCUGUCCCAUAUUAUUGAAAGCAGAAUCUGUUUCGUCAUGUGGCAUUUGGGUGUGAGUCUCCUGUACCUGUUCCUCUGACAGAACAGAACGAUCUACAAUCUCAUUCUCAGUUUCCCCUGCUGCAGUGGAAUCUCCAUCAUGAUCUACCUUAGGUGGUAUAGCCCUUUUGAGGACAACUAUUGGCCUGUUGGGAUGUUCCUUAGCCGCCCUCACCCAGUUUGCUUUAGUACCAUCAGUGACUCUACAAUCAAGCAUUAUUUCGCUCAGUCGUGUGAAACCUUUGAUCUGGAUUCCACAGAGGCCAUUCAUAUCUUUACAGAGCAGCUGAAGAGAUUUAAGAAAUGGCAAAGCACCUUCUUCGACCUUUGGAAAUGUUGGACGCUGCAGCACAAAACAUAGGCCAAGCAGCCUUGGCAAUCCCUUGUUGUUAAUGUGGAUCUCUUCAAGUUCAUCUGCAAUCAGCUUAAGGUACUGCAGAUGCGUCAAAUUGGUCAAAGCUGUGAGAAGAUCAGCUGUCAUUUUAGUUGAUUGAAGGUGCAGCUCCCUGAGUCGGCGCAGUGCCGUGACAAACCCAGGAAGUUCUAGUAACCUGCCCUGUAAUUUCAGUGACCUAAGAUAGCAGGGAGCCUUUAAAUCUUUCAAAAAGUCCUCAGAGCAUCCAUCAAAAUAGAGCGAAAAUGAACGAGGGUCAUUGCUUGCAUCCUUUUCAUCAUGAAUGAACUCUUGUAUGGCCUUCUGAAGAGUAGUCAAUCUAGUACUAGUCGCAGAUGACUCACACCAGAUCUGUAAUACUGUUAUGAUGGAGAGAAAUGCGACGGGCAUGGUUAGGUUGGAGCUAUCCCCUCCAUCAAACAAAGUAAUGAAGUUUUCACAGAGAGACUUGAGCGUAAUGAACUCGUGCAUCAUGCCAUAAGUUUUGCAAGUUUUCACUUUGGUAUUGAUGCUUACAUUAAUGGGUUGGAUGAUGUUCUGAUUCAUUAGCUUCUCAAAAUUUUCAGCAGCUGGAUCAUUGCAUAAAUUUGUUGGCUGCAGAAAUCCCUCAGCUAUCCAUUGGCUCUUUAUCUUUUUCGCCCUGACUGGAUGAUCACUAGGGAACAUAGCAAAAUAUAGAAAGCAUGCUUUGAGGGCAUGGCUUGGAAGGCUGGCAUAGUCAUGGGUCAACACCUGAUGCAUCCUGUCCAAGGUAUCGUCACCGCUCUGCAGAUCAUAGAAACGAGCCUUGUUGCACACAUCCUCGCAGUCUUGUCCUGUCGGCCAACUCUUUUUUUGCAUAAAAUGGGCGACAGUAGUCAGAGCAAGUGGUUGAUCAUCACAUUUAUUUAAAAUUGCUGCUGAAUCAGGCUGCAAGUAAUCUGAAUAUUCCCCUGGACAAGCAUUUCUCAGAAACAAUUGCUUUGAGUGUUUCUCAUCAAGUCUUCUCAUUUUGUGUAUGUAACCGUGGGUUGAGCUGCAGGUAUUGGCUACUGACUGGAUUUUUGUUGUCACCACUAUUCUACUGCUAACAUCUCGAGGGAAGGCAGGCUUUACAAUACUCCAUUGAUCUGACCUCAUGCCAUCAAUUACGAUGAAGUACCUGGAAUAUUUAGAAAUGAGGAUAUAAAAGUUAUCAAAGAGUUAUUCUGCAACAACAGCAAACUAAUGGGUCAAGGAAGAAAGAACAGUUUUCUUAUUGGACUGCAUUGAGCAUCACAUAUAUAACAUAUAUAUAAUUUCUGUAGUUUAAAGGAAUAACUGAUGUUUACUGAUAUAUGCUUUCAAAGAAUAACAUACAUAUGCUUUAAGUAGUGACAUAUUCACACGUGGAGUAUACAAUAUGGCCCAAAUUAGCAACUGAUUUAUAGGGAGCACGUGAUCCCUUUAGUUUUCUUAGCUAUUUCAGAACUUUCUUUCGGCUUAUCAUUCACCCAGUAUAGGGAGCACAUAUUUCUACAUAUCACUUCCCAAAGAGAAGUCUCCUUUUCUUUUCUCCUUAUACUACAAGUCUCAGACAUUAGAUUCAAAGUGUUUGUAGGUAGUUCAACUGAGUGCAUGAAUCUUUUCUGAAUCCUCAACAUAUUCUGUACGAGAAACUAUCUGAAUCUUUCAUUUCUCAAAGCCGAUGUCUUUCCUGACUAUCUAUGUUUGCCAUUUACGGAAAGAAUUUCAUUUCGAUGAUAACAUUCAGUAAUCAGACCAAUGAGUAGAGUACUAUUUUCAUUUUGCUAGAGGAUGGUAGACAGUUUCUACCUCUUGUUAUUCAGGAAGUUGCAAAGAUCAGCACUAAGCUGGUUGACAUUGGAGGUAACCAGAUCUGGCUUGUUCAGUUGACGGAGUAUCUCACUUAAGAGCUCCCCUGGAUCCCCAUGCGUCCCAGAAACCCGUGCCCUUUCCUCAAACUGCUUGCCAAUCUCGCUGUUGUACAACUCCCGGGCAAGGAUGGUCUUCCCCAAUCCAGAGAACCCAACUACGGAGAUCACCCUCAGCUGCUUAGGUUGACCCUCGGCUUCCGCCAACUGCUCCAGAAGCUCCUCCAGGGGAGCAUCGAUGGCAACCAGAUCAUCAGGAAGGACAUGCUGAUCCCAGGAUGAUUGUGCCAGCUGGGAUGAGGAUGAAUGGGACACUGAAUACCUCUGCUGCCGCUGGAGUGCUUCCUCCAGUCUGUACCUAAGGUGCUGCAUCUCUUCGCCUAACUGGGAGCGUGAUUUUCUCUUUCUCCCAGAUUUUCCUAACAGUACCAUGGUUGCUGAUCCGAAAACGCAUCAUACAUGAUGUGGUAUAUGCAAUCCUCCAUUUCAUAAGCUACAUGACGCAAUUCUUCAACCGAUAAACGCAGUAUGUGAUCAUCCUGCCCCAAGAGCUGCCCGUCAAUGGCACUGGUGAUUAUGGGAAGCUCUCUCAUCAGGAAAGUCACAUCUCCUUCAAAGCCCUUGUACAGCUUGUAUUUCUCCUCCACCAGCGAGAACAAUCUCGACACGAGGUUGUCUACAAAUGCACUCAACAGGCCAGGGUCCUCCAUCGAUCACAAUGGUUGUUAGCUAGGCACUGACGGUUCCUACUUCCUAGUGAGGAGAUAAAGUGCUUCCUGUCUUGCAAUGUAACAAUGGGGUGGAUAAAACAGACAUGGAGCACAUGGACCUUAAGGAGCAUCUUGUAGCAGGGGAGGAGACCACAUCUGGCUUUUCAUCUGACAGUAAAUUGCAGUUGUUAGCAGCACUUUUUACAUUAAAUAUAUCAUAAGUAUGAAGCCAUAUUAAAUUAGUACUAAGUCCAGCACAGAAAUGCAAUGGUUAUAUGUACAAAAACUGAUAUUCACACUGUAACCACUGAUAUUCACACUGUGCCGAUGCUUAUUACAGUCCUUCUUGGGAAGCUUCGUUCUUUGUUGGUCUCUCCUGUUAGAUUGAUCUCCUCCCCAAUGGGCCCAAAGGUCCAUCGGGACCCUGAUCCGCGCCCUGAUCGGGGGCGCUCACCCUAGCAUUGGGUGGUGGGCUCCUGUCGUGCUGCGCUAUAUAAACAGGGUGGGGGACCCGGCUCGGCUCACGAGGUUCGCCGCAGCCAGCCACCCCACCGACACACCUACCGAUCUAGGUUUUGCGCAGUAGCGGCGGGAAGUACCACCGCCACCUCACCGGCGACCGGACUCGGCACUGCGCGUCGCUGCCUUGCGCAGACUUCCCCAAGCGAACCAGCGAUGGCCAGCAGCUCUGCUGCUCCCACCCCUAGGGGUGAAGGUACCCCUAUCUCUCUCACUCCCUCUCGGCACACACCAGAAAUACCAUGUCCCUCAUGUUGUUUAUGAUCCCGACUAGAUAUGCAUCUAGAGUAGGCACGAGUCUAACAAUGCUAUCAGACACCUCACUAGAAGCUUUUCUAGAUCGGGAAAAAGAAGUAGAUCCAAAAGAAACAGAAAAAGUAAAACCCUAACCCUAACCCUAGAUCUAAAGAAUGAAAGCGGCGGCUUACCUGUCGCUGACUUCACCGCCGCACGUCCACCGACGGCGAGCGGCAAAGGCCGGCCGAGCCUCGGGCUCGCCGAGGAAAAGCUCCACCCGAGCCGCCGAAGCAUCCGCUCGGGACUCAGGGGGGGUGCAACAGCACCACCAAAGGACCGCUCGACGGCGGCGCGCCCAACCCUUGCGGUGGACGCGCACACCGGCGAGGGGACCCGUGGUGGCGCCGGCCCUCCUCCAUGGUCACCAUGGCCUUCUGGAUCUCGGUUUUCGGGAGACUCGGAGGGAGAAAGGGGGGAGGCAAGAAAGUAAAAGAGAGGGAGGGGGGCUGCCGCGGCCGUGCGCCGGCAGGGCCAUCCCUCAACCGCCGCCGCCGGCCAUCGCCGGGCGCAGGAGAGAUAGCCCCGCCGCCGCCGCCGCUACGGUGGGAUGUCGCGGGGAAAAGAAUAGACUAAGCUAGGGUUUUCCGGGGGAGCGGCCGUCGGAGAUUUUGAUCCGCUAAAAAUGCCGCUGGACCGUCGGAUUUGACGGACGGCCGAGAUUGUCCGGGCCAGAUUUGGCCCAAGCGGGUAAGAAGUGCAGGCCGUUUUGGCGGCCCAGGCUCAGGGUGCGGCCUGCGAGUGCACGAUCAGAGCCGGUCGGGCCUCAAGCCUGCGAUGGGCCGUGCGAACCGCGGCUGCUAGGCCAAAGGCCAGCAGGCCGCGCUCACGACCGGCCGCGUCGCGUGAGCGGGCCGAGCGCGGGAACGGGCUGUGGGCCGUUUUUCGCGGCUAGGCCAAAAAGCGAGUUUUGCACAGUAACGCUUGAUAAUUAGUUUUUUCUAUUUCCAGAAGCAUUUAAUUGAUGUUUUUUGCAUAGUUUUGGUCUCUAAUCUAAUUUGAACCAACGAGAUAAUUUGUAUUAGAGAUUAAUAAAGUUUACACAGUGUUUUUGCUUCUGAAAAUAGUUUUAUUCCACAGUUUUCCGCUGAAAAAAUAAAAAUUUAUUGCUCUAUUUAAAUUUAAUUUGAACCAACUAGACAAUUAAAUUUGUGAGAGCAUAAUAAAGUUAAUUAGAUUAUGGUGCUGUUAUUUUCUGACCAACGUUGUUAAUAACUGUAUCAUGAUUUAGGGAGUUUUUGAUGCUUUUAUUUCUAUUUCUGCCCAACGGUGAUAUAGUUUUAAAUUGCAUAAACAGUUGUAUGUUUUAUUUUUUGACCAACGUUGGAAAUAAAUCAUGCAAUUGUUGUUAUGAUCUUAUUUUGGAUUGCAAAUUUCAGGAUCAUUCAACUUAAUGGCUUGUCUCAAAGAGAUACCCAUUCUGAAAGGAAACAACUAUACAGAGUGGAGGAAGAAGAUUGAAUUCUCCUUCGUUUGUGGAGAAGUUGACUGGGUGCUGACUACACCGCGGCCACAAGCUCCAGAGAAGCCAGUGAGGGCUGAAGGUGAUGAUGAUGCUGCAUGGCAGCAAAAGGAAAGGGACUAUGCUCCACUGGAGUUGGCAUACACCCUUGAAAACAAACAGUGGACCACUGCCAACAAGAAAUGUAUGGCUUUGGUAAAGAAUACGAUUGAGCCUGCUAUUUUGGGAUUGAUUACAGAGUGUGACUCCGUCACAGAGUACCUCGAGAAGAUAAGGAAUCAGUUCACUGGUUUCUCAAAGCUAUAUGCUACCCAGUUGUUCAAGCAGCUGGCCACAGAGAGGUACAAUGGAGGAGGGACUGGCAUAAGAGAUCACAUCUUGAGGAUGUAUAACUUGGCAGCAUAGUUGAAGCCAAUGGAUCUUGAGCUCAAGUCUGGGCACAUUAUUCAUUUGGUUUUCGCUUCUCUGCCAAAAGAGUUUGACACCUUUGUUGUCAAUUAUAACAUGCAGCCAGAACAGUGGGACAUGGAAAAAAUGAUAGCCAUGUGCGUGCAGGAAGAGGACAGAAUUAGAUCCUCAUAUGGUGGUUCAUUGCACUAUGUGAAGGACAACAGGAAAAAGAAUGCUAACUCCUCUUUCAAGGCACGAGGAAAGGCUCCUAUGCAGCAGAAUCACCAAAAGCCUCUCACAGUAGACAAAGAUCAAUGUCUACACUGCAAGAAAAAGGGGCACUACAAGAAAGAAUGUCCCGACUGGUUAAAGUCAAUAAUGGCAAAAAGAGGUGAGAAUACUAUUUCCUUUGUAAAUGAAUCCUUGUAUACACAGUAUUCGAAAUCUACUUGGUGGAUUGACUCAGGUGCAACUGUUCAUGUUGCAAAUUCUUUACAGGGAUUCCGUUCGAUGAGGACUACGCAAAGAAGCGAAAGAUGCGUUGAAGUCGCAAAUGGAGUCCAAGCAGAGGUUGAAGCUGUUGGCGAUGUCUCUCUAGAGCUAGUUGAUGGUUUCAUGCUUGUACUUAGAGAUGUGCUUUAUGUUCCUUCGUUACACAGAAACUUGAUUAGCAUUUCACGUAUGGACCAUGAUGGAUAUGAAUGUCAUUUUGGAAAUGGAAAGUGUGCCAUUUGGUUCGAUAAUGCAUGUGUUGGUGUUGCCAUCCUUCACAAUGAGUUGUAUUUAUUAUCACUACGUGAAAAAGUAAAUUCUGUGUGUGAUGUGAAUAUGAUUGUAUCCUCGUCAGAGCAACAAACAAAGAAAAGAAAGAGAACUCAUGAAACAUCGUCGAAAUUAUGGCACUGUCGUUUAGGCCAUAUUUUGAGGGGGAGAAUAGAAAGACUAGUUAAGAAUGAAAUUCUUCCUCAAUUAGAGUUCUCAGACUUAGAACAAUGCGUUGAUUGCAUUAAAGGAAAGUUUGUAAAGCAAAUUAAAAAAAGGCGCUAAACGUAGCGCAGGAGUUUUAGAGAUUAUCCACACUGAUAUUUGUGGACCAUUUCCUGUGAAAAGCAUGGAUGGCUAUGACUCGUUCAUAACAUUCACAGAUGAUUACUCCCGUUAUGGUUACAUUUAUCCAAUUAAAGAAAGAUCAGAAGCACUGGAUAAAUUUAAGAUAUUUAAAGCUGAAGUUGAAAAUCAGCAUAACAAAAGAAUCAAAAUAGUAAGAUCCGACCGUGGGGGGGAGUACUAUGGUCGACAUACCUCAUGUGGCCAAGUUCCUGGACCUUUUGCAAGGUUUUUGCAGGAAAAUGGCAUAGUAGCCCAGUAUUCGAUGCCGGGCGAGCCUCAGCAAAAUGGAGUAGCUGAAAGGUGUAACCGUACACUGGUGGAUAUGGUGCGCAGCAUGAUGAGUUAUUCCACCUUACCAUUGGGACUGUGGAUGGAGGCGUUGAAAGCCGCCAUUCACAUUCUAAAUAGAGUGCCAAGUAAGUCGGUGCCCAAAACACCGUAUGAACUAUGGACAGGAAGAGUACCCUCACUAAACCAUCUGCGUGUGUGGGGGAGCCCAGCUGAGGCCAAAGUAUUCAACCCAAACAUUGGGAAGCUAGAUCCCAAAAUAGUAAGCUGCCACUUCAUUGGCUAUCCGGAAAGAUCAAAAGGUUUUCGUUUCUACUAUCCAGACAGAUAUACAAAGUUUGUAGAAACGAGACACGCGAUUUUCUUAGAGGAUCAGAUGGUGAGGGGGAGCAUGGUGGCUCGAGAGAUUGAUCUUGAGGAGAAGCGGGUGUGUGCACCUAAUCCGAUGAUUCAGGAACCAUUCUUCUCACUACCUAUUAUUCCCGCACCAAUAGUUCCUGAGGUCGUGGUGCAAGCACCUGCUACAGUCCCUGAUAUUGUGGUGCAGGCACCUACUGUGAUUCCACCCGUGGAAACGAUGAGUGAAGUUUUGGAACCUGUCCUUCAGGAGCCAACUGAACCCAUCAUUACACACGAGGAAGAGUUGCAGCAGCCACCUCUGAAUAAUGUGCCACAAGCAGAGGCACAGAAUGUGCCCGAAAGUGAGAGGCCUAGAAGGUCUCAAAGAGUCAAAAGAUCAGCUAUUCCUGAUUACUAUAAAGUUUAUAAUAUAGAAGAAGUUCAUAUAGAAGGUGAUCCCACUUCAUAUGAGGAAGCCAUGAAAAGUGUUCACUCAUCGAAGUGGCUAGAGGCCAUGGAAGAUGAGAUGAAAUCGAUGAGUUCCAACAAUGUUUGGGAACUUGAAGAGAUUCCUAAAGGAGCCAAAACAGUAGGCUGUAAAUGGGUCUACAAGACUAAACGUGACUCCAAAGGGAAUAUAUAAAGGUAUAAGGCGAGACUUGUGGCAAAAGGCUUUACACAAAGAGAAGGAAUAGAUUACAAUGAGACUUUUUCUCAUGUCUCAUGUAAAGACUCCUUCAGAAUCAUAACGGCACUGGUUGCACAUUUUGACUUAGAGUUACAUCAGAUGGAUGUAAAAACGGCAUUUCUAAAUGGGGAUUUAGAAGAAAAUGUCUACAUGAAACAACCAAAGGGUUUUAUCAUGGAAGACAAAGAGAAUAUGGGAUGUCGUCUGAAGAAAUCCAUUUACGGAUUAAAGCAAGCCUCUAGACAGUGGUAUCUAAAGUUUAAUGAUAUAAUAAAGAAAUUUGGGUUUCAAGAGAAUAUAGAGAACAAUUGUGUCUAUGCAAAGUUCAAAAAUGGGAAAUACAUUUUCCUAAUUCUGUAUGUGGAUGAUAUCUUACUUGCAAGCAGUGAUAUCAGUCUACUGCAAGAGACAAAGAAGUUUUUGUCCUCAAACUUCGGUAUGAAGGAUCUUGGUGAAGCAUCAUAUGUUUUGGGUAUAGAAAUUCACCGAGAUAGACUGAAUGGGGUCCUUGGAUUAUCGCAAAGGGCAUAUUUAGAAAAGGUUCUAAAGAAGUCUAAUAUGCAUGCGAGUAAGGCCACACCUGCUCCUAUAGUCAAGGGCGACAGUUUUGGGAAUUUUCAAUGUCCUAGGAACCAGUACGAGAUCGAUCAAAUGAAAGCGGUUCCAUAUGCUUCAGCUGUCGGAAGCUUAUAGUAUGCUCAAGUGUGCACUCGCCCUGACUUAGCUUUUGUCACCGGGGUUCUUGGUAGAUAUCAAAGUAAUCCAGGUGUAGAACACUGGAAGAUGGUAAAGAAAGCAUUGCGCUACGCGCAAGGCACAAAAGAACUCAUGCUUACAUAUAAGAGAUCUGAUUCCCUAGAGAUAAAAGGGUAUUCAGAUGCAGAUUUUGCGGGAGACAAAGAUGAUAGAAAAUCCACGUCUGGAUAUGUAUUCACUCUCGCAGGAGGAGCUAUCUCGUGGAGAAGCUCAAAACAGAAAGUAACUGCGUCAUCAACGAUGCAUGCAGAAUUCAUAGCAUGUCAUGAGGCCACGGGGCAGGCGAUGUGGCUAAAGAAAUUUAUACCCGGAUUGAGAGUGGUUGACUGUAUUCACAGACCACUAAAGAUGUACUGCGACAAUGAGCUAGCAGUAUUCUAUGCUCACAACAACAAAUCAAGCAAUGCUUCCAAAACCAUUAAGAUAAAGUUUUAUGUUGUGAAAGACAAAAACCAGGAUCGCACUAUAAGUCUCGAGCAUAUAAGAACAAAAGAUAUGCUUGCGGAUCCGCUCACGAAAGGCUUACCACCCAAUGUGUUCAGAGAACACUUAGCCGGCAUGGGUUUAAGGGAAAGCCUAUGAUUCCUGGAUUGGAAAAGGCCCAAAAGAAACAAAAUUGUUUCAAAAUAGAGAGGUGUGUUAUAGCUGUUGAUUCUAUCGGCGAUUAAGCUGUGACGAUGAGGCAUGCUCUACAUAUUAAUCUACGAUGAAACGAAUAAAAGCGAAAAGUGUAAAGUUAAAAGUAAAUGAUGAGAUCAAGGGGGAGAAUGUUAGAUUGAUCUCCUCCCCAAUGGGCCCAAAGGCCCAUCGGGACCCUGAUCCGCGCCCUGAUCGGGGGCGCUCACCCUAGCAUUGGGUGGUGGGCCCCUGUCGCGCUGCGCUAUAUAAACAGGGUGGGGGACCCGGCUCGGCUCACGAGGUUCGCCGCAGCCAGCCGCCCCACCGACACACCUACCGAUCUAGGUUUUGCGCAGUAGCGGCGGGAAGUACCACCGCCACCUCACCGGCGACCGGACUCGGCACUGCGCGUCUCUGCCUUGCGCAGACUUCCCCAAGCGAACCAGCGAUGGCCAGCAGCUCUAUUGCUCCCACCCCUAGGGGUGAAGGUACCCCUAUCUCUCUCACUCCCUCUCGGCACACACCAGAAACACCAUGUCCCUCAUGUCGUUUAUGAUCCCGACUAGAUAUGCAUCUAGAGAUCCUAGGCAUGAGUCUAACAUCUCCCGGGGAUCAGCUGCCAGAGCCAUUGAAGCCACAGGACAAGCUCGAGCUCCUCAAACAAGAUCUAGAAGAAAUACAUACCUUGCUUAUGGAUCUUUCAAGGGUGGAAGCUCCCAAGACCAUGGCCAAACUCUGGAUGAACCAGGUGCGUGAACUGUCUUAUGACAUCGAGGAUUGCAUUGACAAGAUGAUGCACCCCCCUUCCAAUACUGGCGACGAGAACCGCUUUGAUGUCGAAGAAUUUAAUACUCUAAUGAAGCAGGCAAGCGACGCCCGCAAACGAUACCACAGGUAUGAUCUUGGGCGUUGGGCAUCCAAUCCUACCUUUAGGGUCGUCAACAGGGAAGUGUGGGUUCCAACCAUGGACCUCGUUGGUAUUGGUGAUUCGAGGGCCAAUCCUAUCAAUUUGCUUAGCAACGAUGCAGAAAAGUUGAUGAAAGUAAUAUCUGUACUUGGACCUGUGGGUGUUGGUAAGACUACACUUGCCAAAGAAGUGUACCGUCAAAUGAAAGGACAAUUCAAGUGUCGAGCUUUUGUGCGAGCCUCAAAGACGCCUGAUACAAGGAGGCUUCUCCGGAGCAUCAUCUCGCAGAUCCAGCGCCAUCAACAACCUCCUCAUGGUCUCCCCGUGCAAGAGCUUAUUGAUUACAUAAGAAAACAUCUGCAACAGAAGAGGUAUAUAUGUUACACCCUAGUGCUCCAUCCUAUAUAUCCAAAAGCAAGUAGUAACCCUUUCGGACAAUCUGUGUGAUGCAAUUGAUUGAGGGUCACUGAAUUUACUAAAAAUCUAGAUGUACUAGUCGUUUUCCAUAUGUAUAUAAUCUCAAGUUCAGCUUUCUAUUUAUGAGUAGCAAAAAUGGGAAAUUUGAAAACUUUUAUAUUGAAAGGGAAAUAUGUUUAUUAACAAAGACAGAUGUUACUACAGACAACAAACAUUUUUUGCUUCUUCGAAGACACUUGGGUUUAUAGUUGAAUCUUUUAAAGUUUGAUAAAGUAAAUCCCAAUAUUUUGGAGCUUACAAACUCCAUUGCAUGCAAAGAUUGUGAGACCCAAUAGAUUGAAGUGAGUCUUUCAGAGAUUGUGAGACCAAAUAGAUUGUGAGCCAACAAUCCUUCAAAGUCAUAAUUUCUAAUUUGAAUUAUCAAUUGUCCUGGCACAACAUAUUUCUAACAUCUUAAAUUAUCUGGCAGGUAUUUUAUUAUAAUUGAUGUAUUAUGGGAAACAAUUUCUUGGGAUUUUGUUAACUAGUCCACCAACCCGUGCUCCCGCACGGGCUAAUAUUUUUAAAAGCUAUUGUAUUUAAAAAUUAUUUAGAAAUGAAACUCCUAGCUAAUAAUCAAAAUUGUUUAAUUACUACUCUCUUAUUUUUCAAUACUUCAACAUAAUACUUAUAUAGAUAUGUACCUACCUUUGUCCAGUUGUGAUUGAUUUUUAAUUAAUAAUUACUCUAUGCACUUUUUCAUCCAUAUUCAUACUUUUCCAUUUUGUAUCACACCUCUAAUCCUCCAUACAUUAUGUUUAGCAUACAAAUCAAUAUUUUUCAUUGAUUCCUCACAUACUUGUAUAAAUGGUCUAAAUGGUGGCACUCAUCAUAUGUAUAUACUUUAACUUAGUAUUUUUAUAUUAACAAUGAUAUAAAUAGGUAAUUUAGAAUCAUAUAUUAGUUUACUUUUUGACAUUUCUGAAUGAUGCACAUGAAGAUAAUUAGAUUAAGAUGUAGGUGUUUACUUUAUGUUAUUUUUAAUAACGACAUUCGUGGGUUAAUGAUAAAAUUUUAGAAUGACAUUUCAAGUUAUGCUUUAUAAUGAGGUGUAUUAGUAAAUUGGAUGAAUAUUACGGGGUUACUUUAUUUUUUAUAAUAGCUGAGCUCGAUAAUUUAGAUUUAGGUUUAGAGCUCAUUUUUGAAUAUUUUCACAAUAACAGUGGUGGGUAACUUUCUAGAAAAUAUAAUAGAUCAAUGACUAUGAUUAUUAUAGUUUACAAGAUUGAUGUUUUUUAAUGUUUAUGAGAAUUUGUCUCUUUUUUCUAGCUUGUCUCGUGGGAACUAAUACGGAGUCUCCAAUGGAAAAAAAAUAAGACUACAUUGCUACAAAACUAUUAUCAUAAGCUACCUCUCGUUUGUUAAAUAUUCAGACACAAUACUUAUGUAGAUAUAUAUUUAAUAUCUUCAUCAAAUUGUGAUAGAUUUUAGUUAAUAAUUACUCUAUAAUAUUUUCAUCCAUAUUUAUAAUCUUUAACCUUUCACUUUGCAUUGCAAGUAUACGCUUGAAUUUGUUUAAUGAAUCCUAAUUUUGAGAUACAAUUUUACCAUAGAAAUUUAUAUUCUCAUCACUUUAUAUCCUUGUAAAUGGUGACACACAUUAUACGUAAAGACCUUAAUUAUUAUAUCGUAUACCAAUAGUGUAAGAUAUAGACGAUUUAGAAUCCUAUAUUGCUGUAUAUUUUUAAUUAAGGUUAUUUGAUUAAAACGUAGGGUUACCUCAUGUUAUUUUUAAUAAUGGUAUGUGUGGGUAAUAUAGAUGCAAAUUUAAGGGGUUACUUUAAUAAUAAUAGUGGUAGUCAAUUCAGUUUCAAAUUAUGAGGUUAUUUUAAAUACUGUUUAUAAUGGCAUAAGUGGGUAAUUUUAAUGAAGAUUAAGGGGUUACUUUAGUUUAUUUUAUAUAAUGGUAGAGGUGGGUAAUUUAUAUAUAGAUUUAGGGGGUUACUUUAGGCUAUUUUCAUAAUGGCAUAGGUGGGUAUUUUUUAAAAAAACAUAAUAGAUCCAAUGGCUAUGAUGAUUUGAAUCUAUCGAUUGAUGGUCGGAUGUUUUUCUUUUUUGUGAGAAUUUUUAGGAUUUCUCUCUUUUUCUAGAGUGUCCACCUAGGAAUCCUAGGUGGCUUUAUCUGGAGGCUUUAAAAGGAGCCUCCAAUUAGUAAUAGUAAGAUGGUGCUUUUCCAGAGGGUAUUGAUUGUAGUAGAAUAUUAAUAACGACUGACAUUGAGGAGGUAGCUCUCGAGUGUUGUGAUUAUCAAUCUGAUUGUAUUUUUAAGAUGGAGCCACUAAGUAGAAAUAAUUCAAGAGAAUUGUUCCUCAAUAGAAUGUUCGGCUCCAAGCAUGAAUGCACUGAACAACUUAAGGAUGUUUCAGAAAAAAUUAUUGAAAAAUGUGGUGGUCUGCCACUAGCAACAAUUUGCACAGCUAGUAUUCUAGCAAGCCAAUCGGACAACUCAGAGCUAUGGCUGCAUGUCAAUGAAUGCUUAUCUAGCUUUAUAAGAAAGAAUCUUACUUCAGAAGGCAUGCUCAGCGAAAUAGUAGGGAUGAGCUACAAUAGUCUUUCGGACCAUUUGAAGACAUACCUACUGUAUCUUAGUAUGUACCCUGAGGGGUACACAUUCUUGAAGACCGAUUUGGUGAAGCAAUGGAUUGCCAAAGGUUUUAUCAGUGCAGUAGAAGGAAAAGAUACAGGCGAAGUUGCAGAGUUUUAUUUUGAUGAGCUUGUCUGCAGGGGACUCAUUCUGCCAAACUGUAUAGAUUUCUCAGAUGAGGAUAUCUUCUAUACAGUGCACUCCACAGUAUUUGAAGUAAUGAAGUUAUUAGGUGCAAGUCAAUGGAGGAGAAUUUUGCUACUGUUAUAGACUACUCUGAAGCCAUUACAAAGCUUUCUGCGAAGAUUUGUCGCCUGUCACUCACUUUCAGCAGUGCAAAGCAUGCAACAAAACCCGAUGGCAUCGCACUAUCAGAACUACGAUCUCUCACCUUCUAUGGGCUUGUCAACUGUCUGCCUUCAAUUAUGGAGUUUAAGCUACUUCGAGUUCUAAUCCUUGAAUUUUGGGGUGACAAAGAAGAGUUAGACAUCAUUGGAAUCAAUAAAUUGUUUCAGUUGAGGUGCUUGCAGAUUAGAACAGAUAUGACAGUAAAACUACAAGCUAGUAUGCAGGAACUUCUAUGUUUGGAAACACUCGAAAUGUAUGCAAGAGUAACGACAUUCCCAUCAGAUGCUUUUGUUCUCGCGAGAUUGUUGCAUCUAUGUCUCCACGAUGUGAUAAAUGUGCCUCGAAGGUAUUGGACACAUGAGAUCUCUUCGUACACUUCAAUGUUUUGACCUUAGCAGAAUCUCCAAUGGCAUUGUAUGGAGCCUUAAUGAGAUGACUAACCUGCGUGAUCUUCGGCUUACCUGCACUACAGCAUCGUGUGAGCAUCAUCUAAAGAGCAACUUGAUAGCUCUGAUGUCUUGCCUUGAGAAACUUGGCAACCUAAAAACUAUGAUUCUUGCUCCUUCUGCUUCUUGCACGAGCAUUAACUUGUGUUGCUCAGGCAUUGUAUCUUCUCUGCCCAUUUCUCUUGGGAGACUUGAGUUGUUACCACCCAUUUGUAUCUUUUCAAGACUGCCCUUAUGUAUGGGACAGCUCCAAAAGCUACGGAUUUUGAAAAUUGUUCUUGGGGAAUUGAUGGGAAGUGAUAUUUACAGCAUCGGCAGAUUACAGGAACUCACCAUUCUCUCUUUGUAUGUCAGACAACCAACUGGAGAACUCAUUGUCGUCAACCGUGCAGCAUUUCCAGUUCUAAAGUGUUUCAAAUUAAGAUGUGGUAUUAUGCGCCUUGCUUUUCAGGCAGAUGCAAUGCCUGGUCUUCAGAGGCUGAAGCUCGAAUUCAAUGCGCACAGUGGAGAGCAAAAUGGCAAUAUGCUUGCUGGCAUUGAACACUUGUUAAACCUCCAAGAAAUCACUGGCCGAAUUGGGGCAGCACCAGGUGCAGAGGAAUCGGAUAGAGUGGCUGCAGAGUCUGUGUUCAAGGAUGCCAUUAGCAAGCAUUCAAGACUUAUAAGCUUCAACCUACGAAUUGUCCAUUCCGUGGACCAAGAGUAUGGGGCUUUCUUCUUGAAAUUUCAUUGGACCAUUACAAUAUUCUGUUGCCCACUACUUGCAUUGAUUGUGCAGCGGCUUGGUGGUUUGCCCAUCCAGCUUUCAAAUUCCAGACUUUUGACUGAGAGUUCAAAAAAUCAAAAUCAGGGAUGGCAAGAGGCAAUUGAUAUUUAAUACCUUGCUUGAUCGUGUUUAAUCCAAUGGCUUUAAUCAUGGCGCCGGUUCUUGAGUUCCAUCUAUUUGCCGAUAUGUGCGCGGGAAACCACUUUUCAUAACAAAUCUGAUAAUGGCUUGUUCCACUACUGCUUUACUCCCAACGCUAUAUGAAUCACUUCUUUUAAGAUAAACUGUAAAAAUAGACCAACUAAUCCAUUCAUUAUUUCAUUUUUUUCAUGCUUUCUAUUUUUUACCAUUAAUCUUUUAGUUUUUUAGUCAUGAUUAUAGAGUUUUUGUGGCGCGCAUGCAAUUUAGUUCUUGUGGUGUGUGUAGUGUGAGAUAUGUACUCAGGUUGGACCCUAUCCGAUCCCAAUGCAUGUUUUUCUCUAUCUUAAUGAAAUGACAAGCAGUCUCCUACGUUGUUCAGAAAAAAAAGCAGAUUAGCUCAAGUAAUUGCAGGAGUAAACCAAUGUUUGUUAUUGUUUGGUCAUAUAAUUCUAGUUGGUAUGGUAGAAAUUUUGAUUAAAGUUACCAUCAAUUCUAAUGUAUGUGACUAAAUAUAUAUGUGAUGUGUAUAUGUGACACAUCCAAUGUAUAUACAGAAUUAUAAUAUAGCACUACCGAAAUAAGUAUACUUCUAUAAUAUGAAUACAUAAGCUACUGUGUGAUAUAUUUAAUUGUUUCUUAAUCUGUUCUCUCUUCUUGUUCUAAUAUAGUGGACGUUGUUGUUGUCAGGAUUCCCCAAUUUGCUGAUACUCCAGAAAGCUGUUCUGGUUCAGGUAAUAAAAUGUAGUUCAACUUACGAACUUUUUAUUAUUUUUCAUUGGAAAAUACAUUUGACGUACCAGAUUAUUAAUGAUUAUGUGCAAAAGUAUUAAGAAGAUAUAUAUUUAAAAAUGGUAAAUAAACUCACAACUGUGGUUUUCUUCUACCUGUGGUUUUCGUUUUCAACUUCCCACGGAAUGUCAAGAAUCCUGAAGAAUUUUUCAAUGGUUAUUUUUAUUUGCGGUCCUUUUUUACAAUUCCCCUCAAAAUGUCAAAAUGUUUUCUAAUGUAGAUCGGGGAUUUUAUUAUUAAGUUUUAUUUACUAGAUGUCCAAUGGUGUCGUUCGUUUGUCAAGAAUUAUCUGUGUUUUUUGUUGCUAAUUUGUUUUCCCUGGCCCAACAUAAAACUAAAUACCCCGGCCCAUGAAAUUUAAAGAAAUUUGUUAAGGAUAACAAAACCAUACGCCACUUACUAACUAAUUAAUGAGGGAAUUUCUCUGUUUUUCUUUUUAAGAAAAACAGUAAUUAUUACAAAAGUUAAAUAACUUGGACUUAAGAAAUUGCUUAUAAGUCUCAUGUUGGUCGCUUUUGUUUUCAAUAUAUUAUUCCUGUAAACCUUGAAUACCUUGAACAUCGGUUUGCCCACAAUUAAAAUAGUGGUACUGUAAUCUAAUUUCACAUAAAGGUUCCGUUUCACAACUGGGACAUUUUACUCUUUGGUUAGAAACCUAAAAUAUAAUUUAUAUAUAAUGGGAGAUACACAAUUACGAGUUACUGUAUUUGAGAUUAGUAAAAAGUGUCCCACCCUGAAUUACCGUGUCUUUCUUAGUAAACUAUUAAGUGUAGGCGAAAGGGCCUCUAGUGAAGUGGCGGUCUUAAGUGUAGGCGAAAGGGUCUCUAGCGAAGUGGCGGUCUUAAGUGUAGGCGAAAGGACCUCUAGCUAAAUGGUUAGACCACCUGAGUAACAUUUAGCAUGCCUGGAUUCGACUUCCUAUAGGAACGAAUUAAACGGGUUUAGAAUAAAAAAAUUAUAAAAAAUAGGUUGCGCUUCCCUAGUGACUUCGGUCAAAAAAGACUAUCAAGUGUAGAAUAGUAUUGUACACAAUGUAUAAAAGUAUGAAACCAUAUGAAGUCAACCAUUUUAUGUUUACAAAGUUAUUCUAAAAAAAAUUACUUCUAGGCAAGGAAAAGCUAAUAAUGCUCCUUCCUGUUAGAAAGAGUCCUAAUCUGAUGUGGAUAAGGCUCUGCACCUGGCUAUAGCCGGCCGAGUCCUGUUUGUAUUUGGUUAAGAUAGAGAUACGGGGAGGAGUCAUGAUCCUUUAAGUUUCCUUACGCCUAGGAUCCUUCUCCCCUAUAUAUGUAACUGUAUUGUCUCUCGAUUAAUCAAUCUACUAUUUCCAUGCAUCUCUAUUGCUUUCAUGGUAUAACGAGUUUAGGGUUCUUCUACUCAAUCUCGCUUCCGCUCCAGCGUGCCGUUUUCCCGGCGCAGCCCUAGCGCGCUUCCUUCUUGGCGCUGCUCCAGCUUGCCCCUCUCCCCCGACGCUGCUCCAUGGCUGGCACCACCUCUGGUGCUGCCAUCGUCAACCCUGGCAAGGUCCAUGACCCCGACACCAUCGCCGACGCUGCUGUGGAUCUCAAGCGCACUGAAGAACUUCGCGCUGCUGAUGAGGAACGCGAGCGCGUCGCCUAGGCCAAACGCGCGGCCGACCUCGCCCACGUGGCUGACGCUGAUCGCGAGGCUGCCCUUGCGCAGCAAGAACGCGACGCGGUUGAUGCUUGUCUGCGCGCCAACCGGACUGAAAGUUUCUGAAAAAUGAAUACCCGGUCUUUGAGUGAAGCCCCGAUGUACCCACCGUGCUUUAUACGGCUCAAGCGAACCAUCAGCCUUGAACUUGUGUUUGAACACCCACUUGCCGGUCACGACAUUAGAACCCGACGGUCAAGGAGUGAGAUCCCAAGUAUUAUUGGCGAGGAGAGCAAAAUAUUCUUGCUCCAUGGCGGCACGCCAAUUGGGAUCAGCGAGAGCUGCACGAUAACUCCAUGGCACUAGAGAUAAAACUGACACCUCAUGCUUGGUAUAGCCGAUUUCCUUCGCAUCUUGUUCAGUUUGGGUUUGUUUAGGCCAAGACAAAUACGUCCCUGUUCAUCUAUCAUCACGGUGGGGAUCUGAUCUACUUGUUGCUCUAUGUCGAUGAUAUUGUGCUGACUGCUUCCUCGGCGGCCCUGCUACAGCGUACCAUCCAUGCCUUACAGCAAGAAUUCUCCAUGAAGGAUCUUGGUCGGUUGCAUCACUUCCUCGGCAUGCAUGUUCAGCACACUGCCUCAGGUCUAUUUCUUUCUCAGCGCCAGUACAUGGUCGACAUCCUUGAGCGGGCUGGUAUGAGUGACUGCAAACCGUGUACCACGCCUGUUGAUGUGAAUCCCAAGCUUGCAGCAGAUGGUGUACUAGUUAAGGAUGUUACAGAUUUCCGCAGCCUGGCAGGUGCUCUUCAGUAUCUGACUUUCACUCGACCGGAUAUUGUGUACGUCGUUCAGCAAGUUUUCUUCACAUGCACGAUCCACAGGAACCGCAUCUAGCUGCUCCCAAGCGCAUCCUGCGCUAUGUUCGGGGCACAUUACAUUUGGGCCUUCAUGUGUGCCCCUCCUCUCAGACCAACCUGGUCGUUUAUUUUGAUGCUGAUUGGGCCGGUUGUCUAGAUACUCGCAAGUCCACUUCUAGUUAUGCUGUGUUCCAUGGUGCCAAUCUUGUCUCAUGGUCGUCCAAGCGUCAGAAUACGGUCUCUCGCUCUAGCGCUGAGGCUGAGUAUCGGGCGAUCGCCAAUGUCGUUGCUGAAGUGACCUGGCUUUGUCAGUUGUUGUCCAAGAUGCAUGUUCCCUUGCGCAAGACAACACUGGUCUAUUGUGACAACAUCAGCUCAGUUUAUAUGUCUUCUAAUCCUUUCCAGCAUUAGUGUACCAAACAUGUGGAGAAUGAUCUUCACUUUAUCAGAGAGCGUGUUGCCCUUGGUGAUGUUCGUGUUCUUCACGUGUUGGCGACAUCUCAGUUCGUGUCACACCCGAUUUUUGGACAAAACCGAAUGCAUAGCAUAUGUGUGCCAGGAUCCGUUCUCACACAUAUGUUGACUUCAUAAAUGAAUACAUCAAAAACAGUGUUCAAAAACGUAAAUAAAAUUAGUAGAUAACUUAUUACACUCCGAGAGGUAGACAUGAAGGUCUUUAAUCGUUCCCCGAUAACUUAACACGCACACACACAGCGAAGCUUCUCCAUAGGCUUGACUGGUGAACACUCACCUAGAACUCCUCGAAGUCGUCGAAGAACUCCGCUUCGUCACAAGCUUCUGAACAGCGUUUGGGCAAGGGUGAGUACACUUAUGGUUGGUACUCAGCAAGUGGGGGAAACAUGCAAGGCUCACAAGGAGAGGCUCAAUGGCUUUAAGCGGUUAGCAUUUUAGUUGGUCAAAUUUUAUUAACAACACCUAUUUACUAGAUGUAAGUUUAUACCAACCCACUUAGGCAUAAAGCAUUAACAAAAACCUGGAGAUAAAGGAACCACGAUUUGUUCUCAUCUUUAAGCUCAAUUAUCAUGUGAGGGUCCAGACCGCUCUUAACCAUGAGCACAGCUAAUAUAUCAGUUUUACACUCUGCAGAGGUUGCACAUCUUUACCCACAAGUUGCGUAAAAUUUCAAAAGAACUUUAAACCCAACCAUGCUGUGUGGGCCAGGCACAAUACCACACUUCCGAGGUGUGAUUGCAUAGGGACGCUACGAGGUCUUUACAAAGAUUCCCUAGUAAGAAGUAGUCUGCUAAGGUUUCCAGAUCGGUAGCAGGAUAUAGCAGCCCCUUAGUGGGUACAGUGUCUUAGCAAAGCCUACUCCUCAAGAGAGUGGGUGCUAAAUCCCAUAUACCACCGCCCUCUUGCCCUUUCGGUAAGAUCGCUUCAAACUAGAGUUUCUAAUUAAUUACCCAAGACCAGAGCCAUGAUAGUCCUUGCGGUUGUACUAUUUUCCUAGGUGGUUCUCCAUGUUCUGAUUAAAUCAAGUGAUCUUGUAUUAACACAGGUAUAGCAUAAAUAAAGGUCAUGAUUAAUAUUCUCAAAAUUAAGCAACUAAGCAAUUCUACCCAACAUGAUUAAACAUGUGUUCAAGGAUCAGGAUUAAAAACUAGGUAAGUCCUUAAUAGGCAUUGCCGUCAAAUUAUGCACAUACAGGAAAUUAAUAAAGUGAAUAAUCAUAUUAUUGGGAUGAAAAAGAAUAUGCAGGGGGAGAUAACCACUUGCCUUCCUCGGCAAAUUGGAAGUACUCAUCUUCAAAUGGUUGCUGCUCCUGACCUUGACCUUCCUCGAAUGGCACUUCAUCUACACGAUCACACAAGUAAAGCAACCAUAAAUAAAACAGUACACCAAACAUGACAAAAGACUGAAAACAAACUCCUAAAACUAACAUUUAUGAUGAGACGGUCACGUGAGCGCAAGAAUAACUAAAAUCGGAGUUAAAGCGGUGAAGACAUGGAGUAAACAAGUUUCAGGGGCUAAAACAGAAUUAACUAUAUACUUCAGGGGCUAGCAAGGAAUUUUCACAAGACUCAGAGAAUAGUGCUUGCGAAUACAGAAAGGUACAGGGUUAGAUAUGCAAGAUUACAUGGCUUAGGUUGAAAAGCUAGUUAAUACUUCCACGUGAGUGGACUUUUCUCUGAAUUUACAGUAUAUCUUGUGGCAGUGAAUGAGACCCCUAAAACUGUCAGUGAUUUCUUGGCCCAACUAACGAGCAAUAUCAUGUGUAUAUAGCUUUACACUGCAGAUAUUGCCGAUAUUAGAAUGUGGCGGGGGAAGCCCGAGCGGCUAGAGUGGAUGGUGGGGGAGGAUGAGAGGAGGGAGUGGGAGGUCUCACCAGCAUCGAUUGCGGAUGGGGGAGGCUCCGACGGUGGAGAACAGAGACGCAUGAACUAGGAACCGAGCGAGAUCCCGGUGCUGGCGGCAGCGAUGCUUGGGGUGGGGGAAAGGUGGGUGAGUGGUGGAAUGGAAAGAGGAGCUCCGGUGGAGAGGUUUGGGGGGCUUCAUAGGGCGCGAGGAGGAGCAGAAGGGGCGCCUGGGGGAGGUGAAUCGGGCGGCCGGCCAUUGAAGGCCAUGGGAGUGGGGGGCUCCGUUUACAGGAAGGGGAAGGGGAAAUGAGGGCGGCACACACGCGUGGAGGUGCGGCACAAGGAACUGAUGCGGUGCUUGAAGUUAGGGAGGCGCGGGAAGGUGAGGGGGCCCCAGGCUGCACCGUGCGCAUGCGUGCAAGGGAGAAGUUGCGCCUGGAUGGAGGAGAGGGAUGACCCUGACGGGUGGGUCCUACCUGUCAGUGGGAGAGGGGAGAUAGGCUGCUAGUUGGGCCACUUGGGCUGGCUAGAGAAAGAGAUUGUUGGGCCAAAAGAAAGAGGAAGAAAGAUUGGGCCUGCUUGGUUAGAUUGGAGAGGAAAAAGGGUUUUAUUAUUUUUUUUAAACUUGCAAACACCACUCAAACAAAACCAAAAUGAAAGAUAAAACCCUAUCAAGCACUUGUUCUCUCUAAAAUUAAAUUCGAGUGCUCUUUCAUUUAUUUAAGACCAUAAUUUAAUAUUAUUAAUUUAUUUAAUCCAUAGAGAACAAAAACUAGACCGAAAUUGCUUACAUUGCAUUUAUGAUGGAAUUUUGGGUGUUACAAAUCCUACCCCCUUAAAGAGAAUCUCGUCCUCAAGAUUCGGAAAGAUUGGAAAACAACUGAGGAAAUUAUUCGAUAAGCUCAUCUUCUCUUUCCUAAGUAGCUUUAUCUUCCGAGUGAUGACUCCAUUGUACUUUGCACAUUCUGAUUACUUUGCUCUGAGUGACUCUCUAAGAUGUUUCCAAUAUUUUGACAGGAUACUCCGAAUAGGUCAAAUCAUCCUUCACAUUGAGUUCUUCCAGUGGUAAUUGUUCUUCGAGUACUCUGAGACACUUCUUCAACUGAGAUACGUGAAACACAUCAUGAACAUCUGACAGUCGAGCUGGUAGUUCUAUCUGAUAUGCCACUUCUCCUUUUCUUUCCAAAAUUUGAACUGGUCCAAUGUAAUGAGGUGAUAGCUUCCCUUUAACCUUGAAUCGACGAAGACCUCUAAUAGGUGAUACCUUGAGAUACAUGUAAUCUCCAACUUCAAAUGUUAAUUCCCUCCUCCAAGUAUCAGCAUAACUCUUCUGUCGUGACUGUGCAGUCUUGAGAUUAUCUCGAAUUAUCUGAACUUAUCUUUCAGCUUCUUUAAGAAUUUCCGGUCUAAAGACUGGACUUUCUCCUGUCUGACUCCAUUACAACGAUGUUCUACAAUUUCUUCCAUAUAACGCUUCAAACAGGGUCAUGUUAAGACUUGCUUGAUAACUGUUGUUAUAAGAGAAUUCCGCGUAAGGCAAACUCUUAUUCCAACUACCUCCAUGCUUUAAAGCACAAGCUCUUAACAUAUCUUCUAAGAUUUGAUUAAUUCUCUCAGUCUAACCAUCUAUCUAUGGAUGAUACACAAAACUAAAAUUAAGCUUUGUAUCCAUUGACUCAUGUAGCUUCUGCCAAAAAUGUGACGUGAAUUGAGUACCUCGAUCAGAUACUAUUUUCUUCGGAACACCAUGUAGACAUACAAUCCUUGACAUAUACAGCUCCGCUAACUUAACUCUACUAUAGGUUAUUUUAACCGGUAUGAAAUGAGCAACUUUAGUCGAUUUGUCCACAACAACCCAUAUGGAAUCAUAACCAUUGCGAGUACGAGGUAACCCAACGAUGAAAUCUAUUCCGAUCUCUUCCCAUUUCCAUUCAGGUACUUUCAGUGGUUGAAGUAAACCGGCUGGUCUUUGGUGCUCUACUUUUACUCUUUAACAUACAUCACACAAAGCAAUGUGGGUUGCUACAUCCCUUUUGAAACCAUACCACCAAUAUUUCUCCUUCAAAUCCUGAUACAUCUUAGUACUACCAGGGUGUAUGGAAGAAGCUAAAUUGUGUGCUUCCUUCAAUAUGCGUUCACGAAGAUGGUCGAUCUCUGGUACACAGAUCCUUUUCGUGAAUCAAAUAGUUCCUUGAUCAUCUUCAGUGAAGUCUGGGGCCUUUCCUAAACCAAUUUGGGUGUUGAUCUCCUUGAUUUUAGCAUCUGUCAAUUGCCCUUUUCUUAUCUCUUAUUCCAGUGUAGGCUCAAUUUCUAUGGUCCUAGCUUCAGUAUGGGCAACGAUUCCUAAGUUGAGUCACUCCAUUCCCCAACAUAACUCUUGAGACAUCAACUGUGCUAUAGUCACAUUAGCUUGACCUUUUAGGCUUAAAGCGUCUGCUACGACAUUUGCCUUGCCGGGGUGAUACUGAAUAUCCAAGUUAUAGUCCUUGAUCAACUCUAACCAUCUGCGCUGCCUUAAAUUAAGAUCUCUUUGAGUGAAUAUGUACUUUAGGCUUUUGUGGUCAGUGAAGAUCUGACACUUGUUCUCGAUCAUGUAAUGUCUCCAAAUCUUUAAUGCAUGCACAACGACAGCUAAUUCCAAGUCAUGAGUUGGAUAAUUUUGUUCAUUCUUUCUCAACUCAUAAGCUACUACUCUACCUUCUUGCAUUAGUACAUAUCCAAGACCUAGACAUGAAGGGUCACAAUAAACAUCGAAGCCUUUGUGUAUAUCAGGCAUUAUCAUUACAGGAGCAGUAGUCAACUUCUUCUUCAGCUCUUCAAAACUCGCUUGACACUUGUCAUCCCAUUUAAACUCUUUUCCCUUUUCCAAUAAUGAGGUUAGAGGUUUGACGAUCUUUGAGAAACCUUCAAUAAAUCUGCGGUAAUAACAUGCUAAUCCAAGAAAACUUCUGAUUUUGGACACAUUCUUGGGCGGAUUCCAAUUCAACACAUCUUGAACUUUGCUUGGGUCUACUGUGAUUCCUCCAUCGGUGAUAACAUGUCCAAGGAAGGAAACUUCCUUCAACCAAAACUCACACUUACUAAAUUUGGCAUAUAGCUGAUUCUCCCGAAGCUUCUGUAACACUAAUCUUAAGUGAUCUUCAUGCUCUUAUUUAUUUCAAGAAAAAAUACCAAGAUAUCAUCGAUGAACACUACCACAAACUUGUCUAGGUACUCCAUAAACACCUUGUUCAUCAAAUACAUGAAGUAUACUAGGGCAUUCGUCAAUCCAAAAGACAUCACAGUGUAUUCAUAUGAGCUGUAUCUGGAUGUAAAUGAUGUCUUGGGAAUAUCUUCUGCUCGAAUCUUCAACUGAUGAUAGCCUGAUCGCAGGUCAAAAGAAUUUUGCACCUCUCAUCUGAUCAAACAGAUCUUCAAUCCUAGGAAGUGGAUAUUUAUUCUUAAUAGUCACAUCAUUAAGAGCUCUAUAUUCCAUGCACAUUCUUCUGGUGCCAUCCUUUUUAUCAACAAAAAGUACGGGUGCUCCCCAAGGUGAAGAACUAGGACGGAUAAAUCCUUUACUUAAUAAUUCUUUUAUUUGUUUCUUUAACUCAACCAAAUCCUUAACAUCCAUUCUAUAAGGUCUUUUAGAUAUAGGUGAAGUGCUGGGUAAAAGAUCAAUAGAGAACUCGACAUCGCGGUCAGGUGGCAUACCUGGUAAAUCCUCAGGAAAGACGUCAGGGUAUUCACAUGCAACAUUGAGAUUCUCCAAAGAUUUUCCUUUUAUCUGGUUCACUAUACCCUUUUCUUCAGACGGGGCAGUAGCCACAAACUCAAUUCUAUCCCCUUAGGGCUGGUUAAAAGCACUGACUUCUUGGCACAUAGGAUAAUUCCAUCACAUACUUCUAACCAGUUCAUUCCAAGAAUCACAUCAAUACCAUUGGAGUCAAGGACCACUAGGUGAGCUACGAAAUCUACCCCCAUGAUUUUCAAAUUGACUUGUGGGCAUAUUCAACUUGUUCUCAUCUUACCACCUGGUGAGCUAACUAGCAAAGUUUUCUUCAUAGGUUGUAAAGGUAUGUUAUGCUUUGCCACAAAUCGAUCGGUUAUAAAUGAGUAUGAUGCUCCAGAAUCAAAUAAAACUUAUGCAGGUUCGGAAUUGACAAGGAACAUACUGAAUACAACAUCUGAAGCUUCCUUGGCCAUUUCUGCUGUCACAUGGUUCACCCUACCAUGCAUGAAGUUAUGAUGGCCCUUGUGUCCCUAAGAAUUCGGAUUUCCACUACGUGCUUGAGACUGUUGCUGACCAGAAUUUUGACCAUUGUUCUUCUGCGGGGUCUGCAUGUUAUGUUUGGGACAGGUGUUGGCAUAAUGUCCCACUUCACCACACUUGGAACAGCCAUUGGGUCGAACCGGGGUAAUUGGAUUGUUACGCAUUGGUGCUCCUGUGGGCAUUAUUUGCUCGGUUUUGCUGUGGGUUUGAGGUGUGUUGUACCUGUUGGUUGAAACGUUGAGGUUGCUGAGGGAAAUGUUGAAACUGCUGAUUCUGUUGAUAACCUCCUUGUCCUCCUGAAUGAAACUGUGAUCCCUGCAACGAGUUGAAGCGAGGGCGAGUGUUGCCGCUAGAUUGCCCUUGCGACUGAAACUUCCUCUUUUGUUCGCCUAGUUCCUUACGCUUGUUCUCCAAGCCAAUGGCUUUGUCUAGCAGAAUUUGGAAAUUGGGGAACGUGUGACUCUGUAGCUGAUAAUUAAGUGGUCCAAUCAGACCAUCCAACAAACGCUCUUCUCUCUUCUCAUCUGUGUCCACCUCAUUGGGCGCGUAUCGAGACAGCUGUGUGAACUUGUCGUGAUACUCGCUAACUGACAUGUUGCCUUGCUUCAAAGCCAAAAACUCCUUUUGCUUGAGCUUCAUCACACCAGCUGGAAUGUGGUGUGUGCGAAAGCUGUUUCUGAACUCUUCCCAAGUAAUGGCAAUUGCAUUGGCGUGGGCAGUGGUGUAGGCAUCCCACCAAUCGGUUGCGGCUCCUUCCAAGCAUCCUGCAGCGUACAAGACCUUCUCAUGGUCAUUGCACUGUGUAAUAUCCAGCUUCUUACUGAUGACCUUCAGCUAGUCAUCAGUGUCCAAAGGAUCCACUGAGUGGGAGUAAGUGGGAGGGUGGUGGCUCAUGAAUUCCCUGUGCUUGUCUCGCGGUGCCUGAGGUGCUUGUGGUGGUUGCUGGUUUUGCUGGGCUUGCAAAUUCUGAACAGUAGCAGUGAGGUUCUGCAGCAGUUGCAUCUGAGCAGCCAAAAAUUGUUUCAUUGUUGAACUUGGUGGCGGAGGUGGUGCUUGAUUCUGCUGAUUAAUUAUGUGAGCACGCCUCUUACUUGGAACAUCUUGUCCUCCUUCUGACCUGCUUUUACCAUCUGAGUGUUAGAAAAAUGAAUCUCGAUAAGAAUGAUGUUUUGAUAAGGUAGAUAUAAGAGCAAAGAAUCAAGAUUGAGACCCAACAGACUAUUAACUUUAUUUUAUUUAAUGAUGCAUUUGUGGCCAUCAAUCCACAAAACAUCCCGGACAAUACAAAGAUCCAAAUCAAAUAUGUUUUCAAACAGCAAACAUUAUUACAUCACACGUCCUCGCAGGAAUGGUUCUAUCGAAAGACUCUGGAAGGCAACCUUAAAAGAAAACCUAGUCUAAAAGACCGGUGACCGAGCUAGACGUGCCAUAGCAAAGCCUCUUGCGGGGUGGUGAAGCGGUGGGGUAGUGGAGCUCGGCUGCCUCGUCUGCAAGCUAUGCCUCAAGCUGUGCGAUCCUAGCGUGAGCAUCCUGCAGCUCCUCAUGGAUCUUGGCAAGAUCUGCUGUAGCUCCGUCGAGGUCGGUGUUGAGAGUAGCGGUGACUCGAGCAAGGAUGUUGAUACAGUCUUCUCCGGCUUCUCCCAACUGUACAGCUGUGUCCUCGGUGCCACUGACUCAGCGAGGAAGGUGUCGGUAGGUAGUGGUUCUCAACUCUUGGCGGUGGGUGAAGCAGAGGGCCGACAGAGCUCUCCUGGCAGCAUCGCUGACGACUGCGAUGUAGGUGGCGUGAGGCGUAGUGGAGUCGUGUGCCAUGCAAAUCCUCAAGCCUCUGGAAGUCGCCAACCGUUCCCUGAUGUGGACCUGAGUGGCGUAGUAGUGGUUCAUGAUGGAGUAGGAGACACGGUGAGUGACGUAGAGGGGCUUCAUGGUGUUUCCCAAAGUCUACAGUACUUCCCAGAGCAGUGUGGGAAAGUAUCCAAGCUCAUCCUCUGAAGUCUGGUAGUCACAAGCUGGUGUUACAUUCUGUUGUCCACCAUUCUGAUUCCCAUCUUCAUCUCCACUGUUGUUAUCAUGGCUACUGUCGUGGUCAUUGUCGCUGCUGUGAUCAUUGUUGCUGUUGUAGUCAUCGUCAUCCUCAUCCUCAUCUUCGCUGUCAUUCCCGGAGUCAUCGGGGUCUCCACCAUCGGCAGCAAGUGCUGGAGCAAGAUCAGCUGGUGCUGAAGCGUCCGAUGCAGAAGCAGCUAGUGCAAGAGCAUCUAAAGCUGGGGCAGCUGGUGAUGCUGUCGGGAUCACCAGAUUCUCAUUCGAGUCGACCUCCAUGAUGCUGCCGUCUUCCAUCUCGAUGUAGUAGUAAACCUUCUCUGGAUCCUCUUUAACCUCCUCCACAGGCUAAAUCGGAGUAGCUGGCUGAGCAGGGGCAAGGCGAGCCUUAUAUCCUGCAGUGCUUUUACGAGCGAUCAACCUGGUCCGGGCCAUCUAACAGAGGAAGAGCAGAUACUUAGAACAAAACCAAAAGGAGACAAGUUUUUGUGACAAAGAACAAAAAUAAAUUAGAUUUUUUAAUGAGGAAAAUAAGAUAUUUUUGAGCAAACAUGGCUUGCUAAGAAAAUGAGUCCUUAUUCUCGAUCAUUUCUAACUAGGCUUGCGUCCUACAGUCAACAUAAAUAAACUCAGAGAAUAGUGCUUGCGAAUACAGAAAGGUACAGGGUUAGAUAUGCAAGAUUACGUGGCUCGGGUUGAAAAGAAUGUAUAUAAGAACUAUAGGGGCUUCUCUGCAAGAUUGGCUAGACACAAGGAAUAAGAACAUAAAUAAACAGAAACUCCACGGGCUAGAACGUGAAAUCACCAUCUUCUUCCUCCUUUUACCAGAGGCACGGCGCAGCCAUGGCUGGCGCCUGGCUGGCGCUCCAGCGUGGCGGGGGAAUCCUAGGCGGCUAGAGUGGAUGGUAGGGGAGGAUGAAAGGAGGGAGUGGGAGGUCUCACCAGUGUCGAUUGCGGAUGGGGGAGGCCCGGCGGUGGAGAACAGAGACGCACGAGCUAGGAACCGAGCGAGAUUCCGGCGGCGGUGAUGCUCAGGGCGAGGGAAAGGUGGGUGAGUGGUGGAAUGGAAAGAGGAGCUCUGGUGGAGAGGUUUGAGGGGAUUUAUAGGGCGCGAGGAGGAGCAGAAGGGGCGCCCAGGGGAGGUGAAUCGGACGGCCAGCCAUUGAAGGCCAUGGGAGUGGGGGGCUCUGGUUAUAGAAAGGGGAAGGGGAAACGAGGGCGGCAUGCACGCAUGGAGUUGCAGCACAAGGAACUGAUGCAGUGCUUGAAGUUGAGGAGGCGCAAGAAGGUGAGGGGGCCCCAGGCAGCACCGUGCGCACGCGUGCAGGGGAGAAGUUGCGCCUGGAUGGAGGAGAGGGAUGACCCUGACGGGUAGGUCCUACCCGUCAGUGGGAGAGGGGAGAUGGGCCAAAAGAAAGAGGAAGAAAGAUUGGGCCUCCUUGGUUAGAUUGGAGAGGAAAAAGGGUUUUAUUAUUUUUUUAAACUUGCAAACACCACUCAAACAAAACCAAAAUAAAAGAUAAAACCCUAUCAAGCACUUGUUGUCUCUAAAAUUAAAUUCGAGUACUCUUUCAUUUGUUUAAGACCGUAAUUUAAUAUUAGUAAUUUAUUUAAUCCAUAGAGAACAAAAACUAGACCGAAAUUGCAUACAUUGCAUUUAUGAUGGAAUUUUGGGUGUUACAGUUCGCCAACAUCUUCACCAAAGGACUGUCAUCUUCGGUCUUCACUGAAUUUCGAUCUAGUCUCAACGUUCGCUCCACGAACGCUUCAAUUGCCGGGGGGGUUGUUAGAAAGAGUCCUAGUUUGAUGUGGAUAAGGCUCUGCGCCUGGUACAGCCGGCCGGGUCCUGUUUGUAUUUGGUUAAGAUAGAGAUACGGGGAGGAGUGAUCCUUUAUGUUUCCUUUCACCUAGGAUCCUCCUCCCCUAUAUAUGUAACUAUAUUGUCUCUCAAUUAAUCAAUCUACUAUUUCCACGCAUCUCUAUUGCUUUCAGUUUCAAUAAAAGAAAAUUGAAUAUCUAACUAUUUUUUUGUUUUUCAAGACGUGACACUCAAUUGUUCGUCGAUAUCUGAUGGCAUCAGUGAGGUAGACGAGGUAGAUACUAUUCAAGAAUUGUUGCCAUUCAACAAUGCAAAUUCAACAGAUAAUAUAUUAUUGUUACCGAAAUAUAAGGUGUAUCCUUAAAUCCAUAAUGAAUAGUGUAGUCAUAAACUCCAAGGAAGUUUUCAAAUUAAUCUGAUAAAAAUAAAAAUAUCUAGCCAUUUAUUUAAUGAGAAAUUUUAGAGUGCUUGAAAAAAAUAAGAACCGUCCAUCCGGCGAAAUUGAAUAGUGGAAACAAAGUAAGUAUCAUGAAGUACCUAAAGAAAAAUACCAAUUUCAUGGAACCAAGUAAAAAAUAGCGAGAAAUUACUAUGAUGCUCUUUUAAUUAUGUGUAGAUCUAUUUAAUUUUUUUAAGCAAGAUAAGAAAGGUACCUGACUGGUACUUUACGUUUGAAGAGUUUAGUUACAAUGCUUUUAAAGUACUAGUGACACUUCCAGGUACUUUCCUUUCUUACCCUUUUUACCAAAAAAGAAUUAAAUAUAUUUAAACAUAAUUACAAGGGCAUCAUGAUAAUUUCUUACUAUUUUUGGUACUUGAUCCCACCAAAUUAGUACUUCUUGGUAUUUUUCUUUAGGUACUUCAUGGUACUUCCUUUGUUUCCAUCGUUCAAUUUCACCGGAUAGACAGCUCUCAUUUUUUUUUCAAGCACUAAAAAAUUUCUCAUGUUUGAAAUGUUAGAUUAUCUUUAGGGAUGUGCAUACUCACGGUCGUUCCCCAUAUGGUUACACAAUUUUUUUUCAUAGUUACCAUCUGUAGUUGUCAGACUCGCGAUCUCAUGUCUCGCCUGUAGCACAUUAUAUACACAUCUUUAGUGCCAUUCAAGUGUUGUUUUCAUACAUACUCUUAUACUAACCCACCACUAGCAGAAGCCAAUCGGCCCAGGGCUUCUUGGCCUCCACCGACGCUCAUAUUUGGCAAGUAAUCCUUCGAGAUGACUUAGGGGCUAUGUUUGUGAAGAUAUGGCAAGGAUCACUUCGGGAUCAAAGAGGAAUCAAAGAAGAUCAAGCAGAGAUUUGGAAAGUUAUUGAAGAUCAAUCUCAUCCCGAAGCUACUGACAUGCCAGGCCCACAUGGAUACAAAAAUAAGCUUACAGAACAUCUAAGAAGACUUGGGAACGAAGCAGAGCACGAGACGAGGAAAGGAAGGCCCAGGCCGAUCGGCCUAGAACCCCCUAGGCCGAUUAGCCUGGGGUGUUUCCUCAUCCUCUCGCCUUCCAAUUUCUACCACACAGUCUCCAGGCAAUAAAUACUCCAAAAAAUCACCCGGCACGGGAAGGAAUCAAUUAGAAGUCGGUGAAACCAAGGGAGACACACCAUAGGGAGCUGAGGGCCGUGCAAAGUCUUUGAGGUUGUCUAGGUGAUGACUUAGGCUAGACCCUAGCUGCCAUGGUUGUCCCUGCGUGGCGAAGCCAUGGUGGAGUUCCGAAGCUGAUCCUUGUGAUCAUAAAGGCUUCUGUACACACGAUGGUGAUAUCAAUCUACUCUAGUCUUUACUGUAAUCUACUAUGAUGCAUGCUUUCUCUCAUAUGUUCUCGGCUGGCAUAUGUUUUUAGUCGGAAUAAAUGUAAUCAUGGUGAUUAGUCUAUAUCUUGCGGAUACAUCUUAGUAGUGCGUAGGAAGUUGGUGUGAUUAUCCUUGCGUGGUGACAGCAUGCGGGAGGGAAAAGGCUGAAGAAUUAUGUAAUCUUUAUCAAGGUACGAGAUAGAUUGGUUACCACUUUGGCUGGAGCUACAACAAGAAGACAACAGGCUCAAGCUACCCUUCGGUUGUGCUUUAUUGUAUAUAUAUUUGGAUGUGAUCUACCCUUAUUCAUGAUAUCAAUCUCUACACCAAGGUUACCUUUAUAUGCAAUAAGUGCUUAUUAAUAGGAUUAGAUCUGUAUAGCUAGAUAGAGAACUCUAGUCAGUUCGCUGUUGAUUCACGGAUUGAUAAACCUUGGAUGGAAUACUCUAAGGGAAAAGCUACGAUGAUCUAUGCCUUUACGGUACAGCAUUUGGUGUGCUUAAGUGCCAUCAACAGCCAACGUGUGCCUCCACUGCACUCCCUGAUGACGGCCUGGAUGACGGGGGAGCCACGCCGGCCAUGGCGGCCACAGCGCCGUACACGGUGGAUCCUUGGAGGCGCCUGCGUGCCCCUACUUUGCAAGUCUAGGUCGGAGACCCGUGCACCCGAGCUCCGAGCCCCCCUGCUUCGACCGCGGUCAACGUCCAGGCGAAGGUUGCCAAGCUGCUGCUCCACCUCCUAUCGUGCUUCUGCUACCUCCUCCUGCACCUCCUCCACCUCCAGCCACCGGGCGGCAGUGGUAGCCGCCACGUCUUGGGUCACAACCGCGGCCUGGUGCUGAAAGGAAUCGGUGCUCGUAGCCUUAGAGGGGGAGGUGGUGAAUUAGGCAACUUAAAAACUUAACCUAUGACUUCCACUACUUUACAUGCAUGUAAACUAGACCAUUCUAUACUAGAAGUACAUUCUAUGGUUGAUUUAGUGUGGAACCCUCAUCCCAAAACAAGUUUUACAACCUAUAGCUAAUCCUAUCAAGAUACUACUCUAGGAAAGUAAAGGCACACAAGUUGCAAGUAUGAAAUGCGGAAACAUAAGAGGUUAGGAUGAGGGGAAACAAACUCUUGACAUGAUGAUAUUUAUCUCAUGGUAUUGGUAGGCACUAAGCCACCACUAUUCCACAUUGUUGAAGCACUCACAUAAGAGUAUUGCUUUCCGGUCACCAAAUCUCUCCCAAGGUGCCCCUUGACUUGCCACAAAGGCUCAGCCACUAAGGCUCACGCCAAGUCCCUCGUGACUUGCCACAAAGGCUCGGCCACUAAGGCUCAUGCCAAGUCCCUUGCUCACCUUGAUGUCGUCUCCACUAAGAAGCUUCCAUGAGUCAUCAUCAUCAUCAUCAUCUUCACUUGAGCUUCCAUGAGUUGCCAUCUUUCUCAACUUCUUCUCUUAUUGACUUGAAAGAGCAAGGGUUUGAGUUGGAGAAGAUGGUUCCUUGGGCUUGUCCUUGAGUUGCAUCUUGGGCUUGUCCAUUAGCUGGAGCUCAAAUGCUAUAAUCAUUUUAAGGAUAUUAUUUGGAGUAAACUCAUCAAGCUUCUUCUCAAAGAGAAUUGCCUUUACCAAAUCAUAAUCUGAGCCUUGGAUUGAUUGAAUAAUCAACCCGAGGGUCUUGAAUCUUCAUGGAAGUCAUCAUCCAAGUAGUCUUGCGGCGUCCAGCCCCCGAGCUUAUGCGCCAGGUGAACCGUAGGAGCCACGUCGAGUAGCUUUGUAGUGUUCAGCCCCCGAGCUUGGGAGCUAGCUGAGCCACUGGAGAUAUUCUGAGUAGUGAUUGGUGCUUAGCCCCUGAGUUCGGGAACUAGUUUGUGCCUCUAGAGGCAUGCUUGGUGUCGCGACGAGCGUCGUCGCCAAAGCUUGACCUGAAAGAAAAGGCGCGUACAUUAUGUAGCAUAUUUGUAGGAUACUUGAAACCGCUGAAAUUUAUUCAGCAAUCAAUGUAAACAUUAUGUGCCAUGCUCUUGUUUCAGUCAUACUCUUUCCGAGUAGUUAGCCUGUUACAUUUUAGGCUCAGUCCCCGUUUAGUUGUAGCCACUGCGCGUGUGAGAGCUUUGUCUCGUGCACUCAUAUGGGCACUGCUGUGUGCACAACUGAGAGCUUGGUCUCAUGUAUGUGUGCUAGCAUUUGGUGUCACAGGUGCACCCGAGGCUUUCACAAGUUAAGGCAUGUUCUGCUCGAGAAGAGUAGUGACCUUAAGAGAAGACAAAAAGAAAUAGUCGCUGUUGCAACAAAAAGAGAGCGUGGUAGCGCGAAAGAGUUUGCUGUACUCCGGCGAGUAGAGCGCGUGUUGUGCGUAAGAGCUUCCGGUGAGUAGAGCGCGUGUUGCGUGCAAGCGAAAAAUAAGCUGGAAAAUAACUUAGAAAAAAUAACUUAGCUUGAUUCGUGGAUGAUUGUUGACGAAGCCGUGACGGUCGUUGAUGAAGCCGUGAUGGUUGUUUACGAAGUUGACUAGUCGGAGGCGAUUCUGACUUGUUGUCGACGAUGCAAAGUUUGCCCCGACUAAUUUUUUAGUCGAGAUGAGGAGUUGGAGUAGUCCACCCUCGACUAGCCUUGGAGUCGAGACGAGUAGUAGAAGUAGUCAUCAGCGAGCGUCGCGAUGUGGUCAGAGUAGUCGUCAGCAAGCCGCCCAUAGUCGGCGGAGUCGUUGGCAAGCCAACCGUGGUCGUCGGCGUGCCCGCGACAUAGUUGAAGAAAUCAUCAGCGAGCCGCCCGUAGUCGUCGGCGAGCUCGCGAUGUAGUCAAACUUUCGAGUUGUACUCAAACUUGAAGUCGCUGUUGGACUUCGAGUCGGAGUUGAAGCUGGAGUCACCGUCGGACUCCGUGUUGCGGUUGAACCCGGAGUUGUCGUCGGACUCGGAGUUGUAGCCAGACCCGGAGUCGCCGUCGGACUCCAAGUUGUAGUCGGACUCGGAGUCGCCGUCGGACUCCGAGUUCAAGUCAUGGUCGGACCCGUAGUCGUCGUCGGAGUUCGAGUUCGAAUCACGGUCAAAACCAAAGUCGCCGUCGAAGUACGAGUUUGUAGUCAAACCUUGAUCCGAGGUUUAAUUUGUUGAUUUUCUCAAUGAGAUUUUCUGCAUCUUCUGGAAGAGAGUUCCUAUCGAGGAACUCUUCUCCUGGUUGUUGAUGAUGCAGCGUUGGAACAACCUAGUGCCGUCGGUGUUGCAAAGUCAGGAGUCAAAGAUGAAGGUUGUGCCCGCUUUGAAAGCGAACGCCGGCUCGAAGAUGAGGUCCUUCAAGCUCGCCCUAUGAUCGUGAUGAUCUGCCCCACGGUGGGUGCCAAUGUCGGUGUUUUAUACCGGCCAUCUACCAAGGGGUACCCGAGGUAGUAGAAUGUGUAGCAGGGGAUCGCCGGACCUGGAACUUGAAGGUAAGAGCGAGGACACGAGAUAGGGAUUUAGACAGGUUUGGGCUACUAGAGUAGCAUAAUACCCUACGUCUUGUAUGGGGGUGUUUGUAUAUUGCGCCCUGCGCUUGGGUGUUGAGGUGUGACCUGCCGAGCUAGGUACCCCUGCCCUCCUUUAUAUACUCCAGGGGGCAGAGUACUAGUCGGAUUACAAGGAGGAGUCCUAGUAGGAUUACACGGGAUGAGUCCUAGUAGGAUUAUAGGGGAAUCCUAGUAGGAGUCUAACUUCUUCCUUCCUUGCGGGUAUUGGGAUGUAUCCCUGACAGGAGGAGCGGAAGGCGUGGGAGUGGACGAAGGCAGCGAGUCUCGAGGCCAUGAGUGCGCCAUCGGAUCUUGGAUAGGGAAGAGGGGGGCUGGGGGAGCGCCGCUCCCGCCGGGUAGGGACAGAGAGAGAGAAGAGGGGUAGGUUGAAGAGAUGGAAAGAAAACCCUAGCUCUCAUACCAAUUGUUGGUCCAAACUGAAUUCUUUACAUUGACUCUGAAUAGCGAUUCAUGUUUGGUAAUACAUAUAUAGGAUAAAAGCAAGGGUAGGUAUCUUAGAGAUAAGGCUUGUCGUUGUCGAGAUUAGCGGAUCAAGACUACAGCAAGUGAAUUUGUUUUAUGCGCGUAAGGCUCGGAUGGUUGCGUGAGAGGACACGGGGUUAGGCUGGUUUGGGCAGGAAUAGCCCUACGUCCAGUAUGAGGAGCUGCUUGUGUUACUCACGCAAGGUCUGUAGUAGGGGUUACAAACAGGCGAGAGAGGGGAGCUGAUCCCAAGUCUCUUGGGUGUGCACUGAUGCUCGUGAGGAGAGGGUGUGAGUUCUGUUGGCUUGAGCCUCUCUUGUCUCAGGUCCCCUGGUUCUCCUUUUAUAGCGUAAGGAGGGCACAGGGGUUACAGGUGAGCCAGGCGUAUGGAAAAGUAAAAGAGAUAAGCUAAGUAAAGUAAAACAUAGGGAAAAGGACCGAGUUCCUGGGUUGCCACUUUCCUCUCCGGCCUUUGUCUCUCAUCAGCGUGGCCGCCGGAGGGGGGCAGCUGCCAUUGGAUCCUGUUGGCGAUCCCCCGGUCGACCGUCGUUGCCAGACAUGAUGAUGAUGUUUGGCCGCCGCAACUGUGCUCGUCGUGGGGGCGGCUGUCCUUUGUAGCCCUGCAUGUUGACCGGGAGGUGCGGCCAAUACAUCUCUGCCGACGUACUGAUCGUGAAACUGGGCAGCGCUCCCUCCUAUGCUGGGGGCGCGGGUGAUGAAUGCCCUACGGCGGACAGGAGAGACAACGGACUGGGGCGGUGCCGCUGUAGCCUGUGCGGUCAUGGCUACAGUGUUCCGCCUGGGUACUGUGGCGGGUCACAUCGAGGAGCGCACCAGAGCCGAGGUGCAUUUAUGGUGAGAUUGGUGGGGGCCCACGAGAUUUGCGCCCUCAUCUGCUGGUUUGCGCCCGAGGUGGAUUCUUGUCUUGUGGGCCCGGAUGAGUCCGACCUCCUGUGCCCUGGGUCGGGCGUAUCCGACCCCAGGACCAUGGGUCGGGUGAGGCCAAGCCUUACAGUGAGGGGUCGGGCGUAUCCGACCCCAGGACCGUGGGUCGGGCGAGGUAGAGUGGAAUGCUCCUUGCCCAUGCCGGGUCGGCGGAGGUCACUGUUGCCGCAGAUGGGCCCGGGUGUUUAUGUUCUGUGUUUAGGGGCGUUAUGAGGUCGUUAACAUUUCCCCCCAACAAGACUAGAGAUAAAGUAGCUUUUACACCAACCACUACUAGACUUAUUUCAUCAUGUUAAUUGUUCACCAGGUAAAAAAGGAUCCUAUUGAGUUGGGGCAAUGUACAACUAAGGUGCUAGGAGAGAUAAAUUCUGAGGUGAGUUCUCGUACUUUAGCUGCUACAAAUGAGUUAACUUGAUUGAAUUUAAACAUUAGUACCAUGUGAUUCUUGAAGUACUACAACAAUAUCCCUCAAAAGCUUUUAGGAUCAACUUUUCAUAUGAUAUGAAUCGUCUAUCGAAUUCCGACAUGCAUUCAUGGGGACUAUAGCACUGAUAACAAAUAAACAAUGACUAUACGCGCAAGACCAGCAGCUAAACCUCCAUGAUGGACCAAUGCAAGGGAACAAGAUGUAGAGCUUUGUUGUGGACUCCUUUUACCAUAAGUAUACUUACAGUAGGCGCAGGGGCAAGGAGUCCACAACGAUCCCAUCUACAAGCCGCCAGGAUUAAUAGAAGUUGGUUAGGAUUUGUUAAAGAGUCCUGUACGGAUUGGAUAAGCUAGUUGGUCUGUUAUAUAAAGGCCUUAGUAGAUUGUUUAGGGAUUAUCGAAGGAAUAAACUCUCCCCUGUUCUGGGCGUGAGUUGUUCUUCGACGAUGGCGGAGAAAUCUGUCUCGGUCACCGGUGACAACAACUCGUCUGCAUACCUAUUGCGCUCCAACUCCCAGGCUCACCUGUUCCUACAGUCUCCCCUGCAUUUUCCUCGCCGUCACUCGCGUCGUAUCAAUUUGGUAUCAGAGACAGCUGCUGGGGCAUCGCCAUCCAUGGCCGGCCCUAAGGACGAUCCGGAGACCGACUCAAACAGCUCUCCACCAUCAACUCCCGCCUCGACUCCCAUGAACGUCGCAUCGCCCGCACCGAGAAGUAUCAAGCUGGCGAUGACACUUCCGAAGGCGCCACGGAGGUUUCGCCCGACUAAGCUCACCGCAAUCCGGGCAGCGGCGGCGGCAAUGGCAGUGGUGGCGGCACUGACGGCCACGGCGAUGGCUUUGGUGGCCCUCACAGCGGGCGGGCCCCUCAGCACUACGACAGCCCCGGGCGACCACGCCCACCCAAGCUGUCGUUCCCCAAGUUCGACGGGGAAUCAAACCCCUUGCCUUGGCUCAAUCGGUGCGACAUCUUCUUCCACGGACAUCAAACCAUGGAGGGAGAGAAGGUGUGGAUGGCUUCUCUGCACCUUGAAGGCACGGCGGCCCAGUGGUACUUUCAGAUGGAACAGGAAUUCAGCAUCCUCUCUUGGGCGCGAUUCGCUAAGUUCAUCAACAUGUGCUUAGGGUCGCCCAUCCGUUCCAACGCCUUAGGCAAGCUCAAGGAUCUUCAUCGCACAGGCUCGGUAGAGGAGUACGAGCGGCGAUUUCUGGCGCUCCUCUGCCGCUGCGACAACCUAAUGGCUCAGCACCAGAUCAAUCUUUUCACGUCUGGGUUGGGACAGCCGUUGGCCUCUGAUGUCAAGCUGCAGCGGCCGUCCAACCUCCAGACGACCAUGAGCCUUGCGUGUGCCUUUGAGCUACGUUCCAAGGAGGCGACGUGUGCUAUCUCCGGAACUCUACGGCAAGGCCCCCGUCCCUGCUCCGUCGCUGCACCAUCCGCUCCUUCAUCGGCCCCAGCAACGCCAGAUGAGUCGCCAUGGCCGUGUUUUUGCCGCCUGUCUGCCGAAGAGCUGGCGGAGAAGGGAGCCAGCGGCCAGUGCUACAUCUACCCAGAGAAGUUCUCCAAGGACCACAAGUGCGCCGGCCGCAGUGGCGUAUUCCGCCUGGCCAUGGACGAUGAGGCAGGAGACGUGCAGGUCAUCCCUGAUGACAUCCACAUCUCCCUCCACGCUCUCCACGGCAAUUCCACGGACGCCACGAUCCGUCUCCAUGUCUCUAUCCACGGUGUUCAGCUCACUGCAUUGGUGGAUUCCGGCUCCACACACACCUUCAUCCACGACGAUGUUGCCCGCGCCUCGGUCUCGCCAUCACACGUCGUCACGGACUACGGGUUAAGGUGGCUAAUGGCGAGCACCUCACCAGUCUGGGCAUCUAUGCGUCCGCUCCGGUCUGCAUCCAGGGCGAGGCAUUCUCUGUUGACUGCUACGCCUUGGCAUUGGAUGGCUUCGACAUCAUCCUUAGGGUGACGUGGCUGAAAACCUUGGGGCUGAUCACUUGGGAUUUCAACGACCUCACUAUGGCCUUCCAGUACCAAGGGCGUGACCUGCUGUGGCACGGCAUUGGUGGUGGCAAUGUUGAUUUGGCAGCCUUGACGGCCACCCGGGAUCUCAUGGAUGCCCUUCUGCUCAAAUAUGGCGGCAUUUUUGCAGAGCCCCGUGGCCUUCCUCCGCAACACCUACAAGAUCACUGGAUUCAUCUACUACCAGGUUCUACUCAUGUUGCUUUCUUCAGCCGGGCUGUGACUCCCCAUCACGCCAAGUUACCAGCUUAUGAGCGUGAGUUGAUUGGAUUGGUGAAAGCCGUGCGUUACUGGAGGCCAUACCUUUGGGGUCGGCAGUUUAAGGUCCGGACAGAUCAUCAGAGCUUGAAAUUCCUCCUGGAUCAGCGCUUCUCUACGAUACCGCAGCAUACUUGGGUCAGUAGACUUUUUGGGUACGACUUGUUGGUGGAAUAUAGACCAGGCAAAUUGAAUGCUGCUGCUGAUGCAUUGUCCCGCAGGGAUGAAGAAGUUGGGUCCCUUCUUGCCCUCUCUAUGUCGUCAUUUGAGGUUUUUAAGGCCCUGCGAGAAGAGCGGGUUGGGGAUAGUCGAGCAAUUGACUUGCAGGCUCAACUUGUCGCUGGAACUGCCCCAAGUGGCUGGUCGGAUGUGGAUGGACUGCUUCUCUACAACGGCUGUGCAUAUGUUCCAGAUUGAUCUUCCCUUUGGCAACAACUUUUGGAAAAUGCACAUGCCUCUGGCCAUGAAGGCAUUCAGAAGACUUUACACAGACUUCACUUGUCUUUUUACAGCUCUCUUGCUAGCAGAUUGGUCCGUGAGUACAUCCAUGGCUGUGCGGUGUGUCAACGCAAUAAAUCUGAACACUUGCAUCCUGCUGGCCUCCUUCAGCCGAUUCCUGUUCCUUCGGAGAUCUGGAAUGAUAUUGCUAUGGAUUUUGUGGAAGGUUUUCCUCGCGUGGGCGGAAAAUCGGUGAUUCUGACGGUGGUUGACAGGUUUUCCAAAUUUGCUCAUUUCAUAGCCUUGGGUCAUCCUUACACUGCAAGCUCUGUCGCUCGGGCAUUCUUUGAGAGCAUCGUUCGGCUCCACGGGUUUCCUUGCUCAAUUGUCAGUGAUCGUGAUCCGGUUUUCACUAGCAAUUUUUGGAAGGAAUUGUUUUGUUUGGUUGAUGUUAAAUUGCUGCUCAGUUAGGCCUUUCACCCGCAGACUGACGGCCAAUCAGAGGUGACCAAUCGGACUAUUUCCAUGUACUUGCAUUGUUUGGCUAGAGAUCGCCCUCAUUCUUGGCUUCAGUGGCUCCCUUGGUCUGAGUUCUGCUAUAAUACUUCCUACUAGACUGCCAUUGGUACCACUCCCUUCCAAGUGGUUUAUAGCAGGGAGCCUCGAACCUUGCUGCGCUUACAACCUGGGGCUGCCAGGGUUGCAGCUGUUGAUCGCCAGCUUCGUUAUCGCGAUGACUUCUUGUCCGAGAUUAAACAGCGUCUUCUGUUAGCUCAGGAUGCUAUGCGUCAGCAGCAUGAUAAAAAGCACCGGGAUUUGGAGUUUGCUGUUGGUGAUUGGGUAUGGUUGCGUCUUCAUCAUCGGACUGCUGCCGGGAUCACUUUUGCUCGCUUGACGAAGCUCAGUCCUAAGUACUUCGGGCCCUUUCAGAUUCUUGCUCGAGUUGGCUCGGUAGCCUAUCGUUUACACUUGCCUGCAAAUUCUCGCAUCCAUGAUGUGUUCCAUGUUGCUCUUUUGAAGAAGUUUGUCGGGGAGCCUCCUACUACAGCACAGCCAUUGCCUUUGCCACCCAUUGUUCAUGGUCGCGCCGUGCCUACUCCUGAGAAGAUUGUGCGUGCUCGCCUUUUCCGUGGUGUGUGGGAGGUCUUGGUACAGUGGGUUGGACAAUCGACUGCUGAUGCUACUUGGACACCGGUGGACGACUUCAAGGCGACUUAUCCUUCCUUUCAGCUCGAGGAUGACCUGUUUCUCGGGGAGGGGGGAAAUGUUGUGGACUCCUUUUACCGUAAGUAUACUUACAGCAGGCGCAAGGGUAAGGAGUCCACAACGAUCCCAUCUACAAGCCGCCAGGAUUAAUAGAAGUUGGUUAGGAUUUGUUAAAGAGUCCUGUACGAAUUGGAUAAGCUAGUUGACCUGUUAUAUAAAGGUCUUAGUAGAUUGUUUAGGGAUUAUCAAAGGAAUAAACUCUCCCCUGUUCUGGGCGCGAGUUGUUCUUCGACGGUGGUGGAGAAAUCUGUCUUGGCCGCCGGCAACAACAACUUGCCGGCAUACCUGUUGCGCUCCAACUCUCAGACUCACCUGUUCCUAUAGUCUCCCCAGCGUUCUCCUCGCCGUCACUCGCGCCGUAUCAGCUUAGCAUACGUGAAGAUACUAACUCCAUCCAUACAUAUAAGACAUUUUGACAAACAUAAGGCAAGCAACAUUUGUGAAUUCAGAUUUAGUAGCUAACUGUAUACAACUUUUGCGAUGAGGAAGUGGCACAAGAUUCAUAGCACAUUGAAUGGACCAUAGUUAUAAUUUUUUAACUAGUUUAAAUAUAUUUUUUUAGAAAACUUAGUUCAUUCUCUGAUCCCCGCUACUACAGAUAAUAUCCGAUCACUAAUAGUUCAUAACCACUUAACCAGCAUCACUCUGGUAUUGAACAGGCAAAUGGACAAGUAGGAGUGAGUGACAUAUACUCCAUGAGCUUCACUGCCUCUGCAGUAAUAAGGGCCCAUUAAACUAUUGGCCACUCCAAUCGACAUUUGUCUUUUCAAUGGUAGUCUCCUUUUUGUCCUCAACUAUUGUCUAGAAAGUUAAAAUGUGGUACGAAAAGAUAUGACUUCCAAUUUGGCGAAAUCCAUCCCUAACAGCUCGAGGGUGAAAUCAGACUUUCACAAUAGUUAGAGGACUAAUGUUGAACGUAACAUAUCUUUUAACUGGUGUGAAGUUUUUAUUUUUAUAAGGAGGUGUGAGGUGUUAAUCCUCUUCUACGAAUCACGGUAUGUGAUGGUAAUGUCAGAUUGGAGAACUCUAAACUGUAGAGCAUGUUCAGUUUCAACAGAAAAGGCCUACAUGUCUCAUUGUCUCUCGUACCAGUAUCAUAUGUACCAUCAAAUUUGGUUCUACAAAGUAAACGAGAUGGAUCUCUCUCUUAGUCUCAGCUUAACAAUUGAAUUCCUAGGAAUUUCUUUUAUUUUUUGCGUAUUAACAUGGAAUCCCUUUUUUCGCGUAUUAAUGUGGAAUCCUUGACCCUAUGUGAAUCAGGAUGGAUUCAUGAUACUAUAUUUACAUUGCUAGGUUUAUACUAAUAGUUUCAAGUAUAAAUCUUAAAAACUACAGAUUGUUCGUCCAAACUAAACUACUAAUUUAAAUAAUUGUAUAGCAAACUAAAGUAUUUAACAUAUGCCAUGUCACUAGGUCAGAAAAGAUUUGUGCUAGCUCAUGGGAUUUCCAGUACUAGCGAGUGAUAUUGACAUCCAUAAGCACAAAAGGUUAUGGGCCCACUCCGUCAAAACCUGCCAAAUGCACCUGUGCUGGCGGGUGACAUAAGGACCUGCCAGCACAAAUCCUCAUUUGUGCUAGCAGGUUCUUAUAUCACCCGCUAGCACAAAUACUUUUCAAUUUAUAUGGAUGGGAAGGAUAAAAAAAAUUUAAACUAGUUAAAAACUUUGUUUUACAUAUCACGAUAUAUUUUUAACAUAUAUUAGACUAUGUAUAUGUUGUUGUGUAGGCGUUGCAAAAAAUUAUAAGUGAUUUACUAUUUUCUAAGGUAUAAAUGAUUAUAAGGAUGUUUAUUGGAAUUAAUAUGUAUUUGAACUAAUUUUUUCACAAAUAAGAUCAAAAAAUUUCAGAAAAAUGACGUUAAAGACACAAAGUCCCUGAAAGAUUCACAAAGUUUUUAGGUACAUUUAUCACUUCUAUUAAAACUUUUAGUGAAAAUAAAUUCUAAUAAUAUCUAAACGUGUUCCAAAAACUAUAUAAAUUGGUAUGGAUCAUUUUAUGAGUUCACAAUCUUUGCAUAAAAGUUUCAAUAUAUUGUAAGAAAAUUGGAAUAUAUAUUGUUCACAAAUAUAUACUUCAUCUACAACAUUUCAUAUAACUCAAGUGAGGCUUUAAGCUUAUGAACUAACUUAGUACUAUAGUAAUUUGUGAACUAACUAAUUCAUAAAUACGAUCUCGGAUGAAUACAAAGUUGAUAUUAAAGUUGUAGAUUUAGAGUAGAUCUAAAAUUUUGUAGUUGACAACUUUUUCAUUUAAAGUUUUUUAAUAGCUCAAAAUAUCAUUGUAAACUCUCUAAUUUCAAAAUCUUGAAUUUUAAAAUUUCAAAUGACCUCAAAUGCAAACAAGCUCUAUAUCAAAGUUGUAGUGCUUAACUAGAUAUAAACUUUUAUAGUUGACAAAUAUUUCAUUUAAAAUCGUUUAGCUGCUCAAAACUUCGUUAUAAGGUUAUGAAAGGAACACGUUCUGCUACAUCAGCGAUCCGUGUCGAUUUUUUCUCCCAUUGGCUAGAACCUCCUCUUCCUGCAUCCAUCCCCUCUUAUCCCUUCCCUCUCACUCUCUAUCCUUAUCCAUUCCUCUCACCUCAUUUUCCAAGGGCCAAGGGGAGGGAGCAUCGGGGGAGCAGCAGGAGGGCACGACUGCGCAGGACACCAGCCGGCUGCGAGCAGCGCGGCAUGGCGGCAGGAGGGCACAACACAGCACCCCUCAACCCCGAUAGCUGGUGGCGCAUAGAGGCCCGCGUGGGGCCCCAGUGCUAGAGGCGAUCGCGGCGCCCCUGGAUCCGACUCAAGGGGCCCAACGGCCGGCGGCGGCGCACAGGGCUCGGAGGCUAGCGCGACCCCCUCAACCCCAGCCCUGACGGCAAAGGUGGCCGGCGCGGCGGUGCGGCACCGGCCGCAGCGGGCAGGAUGGCGCGGCGGGCGAGGCACGGCGGCAGGAGGGCACCGCGCGCUGGCCUUUUUUUCCUUUCUUUUUCUUUUUAUAUUUUAUAUAUUUUCUUUUGUUUUUUAUGUAGUAGUGAAUAUGAAUAUUUCAUAUUUAUGUAAUAUUGCUGUGGUAUGUUUAAUGGUAUGAAAAAUUAUAUAUUGUUCAUGUUUUAAUUUGCUUUGUGGUUGGAGAUACAUAUUUUAAAUUAGCAGAAAAUAAUAAUUUUGGAAUUGGUGGGAAAUAAAAUUAGAAAAAUGGUGGGAAAAAUUAAAAAUUCAAAAGGGGAAACGAUCUGUGUUGGCGGGCGUCUUAAGCGUCCGCCAGCACCAAUCCAUUUCUGCUGGCGGGCGCUCACCUGCUAGCAUAUAUGCCCAUUUCUGCUGGCUUAAGGUUGCCGGCGGUUAGGCAACCCACCGGCGCAAAUUUUUUAUAGCGUAGUGUGUUACCAAAAAGUUACGAAUUGAAAAAAAAUUCUAUCACAAAACUGCUGAUUUUUUUUGCAAUUCAUCGUAAAACCACACGUUUGCAAUUUGGUUUCACCUUAAACGUGCAUGGUUGUGUUUCCUUGAUCUGGGCCAAAAUAGUUUUAUGAGUUAGUAAACACUGAUGUAAACCCUACUCUCUGACUAUGGAUCUCCCAUUGAAAUGGACCCCAAUUCCCAUUUCUAAAAAUUCAAGCCUACGAACCUCCAUGACAGUCCCAAGAAGACUAUCACGUGCGAAUCUCUGUCUCAGAUAGUACAAAUCCAUACCAACACAGAAAUAUAAAGCAACAACAUAGUAUAUCAAAAUAACAUGAGUAGCGAGGACAUCUCUAGGGCAUAUGCUGGUAUCAGGACUAAAUCAAGAAAGGUAAAACAUCUACGCAGCGGAAACAAAAGCUAUGGCGAACUCCAUCUCCAGAGGUGACUCAAGCAAAGAACCAUCCCUAGUCUUCUCAUCCGUCGUUGUCGAAGUCAUAGUCGGGCUCCGACCCUGAAAAGUCACCAUCUACCCGAGAAGCGGGUAGGCUAUGUCAAGUCCCAAAAGCAGCAAGCUAAGGAAAUGGGAAAAUAUACUAUAUGCACGGGUAAAACCUAUAUAUGGUUGUUGGGGUUUAUGUAGCAGCAACAGCAAUCAAGGAAGCAGCAAUACAGCACACCUCUGAGGUCAACACCUCAAACAAGGAAGUCGGCACAAAUCGCCGGAUUCUUCACUCAAGGGUCCAGCACCCAAACACACUAGGCGAUGUGAGAGCUCCCUUCCCUCAUAUCUCAACGGCAAACGUCAGCCUAUCUUAAAAGGGGGAGGUAGAAGGAUAAGAAAAGUCUAGUCAGAAGUAGUAGUAGUCAACAGCACUAUCCAUUACCAGUGGACACGGACUAUAGUUAUAGCUUUAUACACUCUUAGACUUCAACUACCGAAUUUAGUACAAAUGUUUAAGUUCAGAAACUUGAGAAAAAAAGAUAAAUAAAGUAUUCACUCCAUUUUGAAAUAUAUGACAUUUAAAACGAAUUAAUCGAAAAAUAUAAAUUAAUUAGUCUGUUCCAAACGUCAAAUAAGGGUAAGAUUAACUUAGAAUGGACGGUUCACAUUAACUUGUACUUGGAGUACCAGCAGAAAAGCAGAAUCUAUACCUAAACAACGGUUUGUUUACCACACGACUUCUUGUUCUAGACGGCGCCGCGUGGCGAAGCGACGGACUUCAGGAUUCGGACGGCGCUGGUUGUAGUAGAAGAGGCCGACUUCUCGUUGCAGAUAGCACCGGUGGGAGAAGUGGCCGUGUUGAAACCCCGACCUUCCAGGCAUCGCUUCCACCGGCCUACGGAUGUCAUCAGCAGCCAUUGACAAACCAGCAACCGGAGCGGCAACGCAGCGGCCUUCAGCGCGCCGUCCCAGGCGAUCUCAUCGGACGUCGUCACGUCGACAGAACCGCCACCGCAUGUGGGCGCGAGCAGCGGCGGGUACAGCAACACGACGAUCUCGGAGGACGGCUACUAUUGGCGCAAGUACGAAUUGAAGGGGAAGAAGUGAAACCUGAGAACCCGUGCAGCAACUAGUCCGGCCGCCCCUCUGCUGUUCGUCGCUAACGUGUGGGUACUAGAACUGAUCUUCCAUAUAGUGCUUUUAUCCCGAUUAAUUUUAGUUCCGAGUCAAAAAUGAAGCACUGAAGACCACCCACGGGAGGGGCUUUAGUUCCUGUUGUAAAGAUCAACUGGGACUAAAGCUCCCGCUUUAGUCCCGGUUGUAACGGCUAAAAAAUCUAACACCAACGGUGGGAGCUUUUGUCCCGGCUGGUAAUUCCAAUCAGGACAAAAGAUUUAGUCCCGGUUGGAAUUUCCAACCGGGACGAAAGGGGCUCACGCGCCCCCCCCCCCCUUCACUCUCCACCUUAUCUCCUCUCUCCCUUUCUUUUCCUCCUCCCAGUGCUAACUCUUCCUCCUCUCCCUUUCGUUUCCUCCUCCCGGUGCUAACUUCUCUCCCUUUCUUCCAGGCGGGCGCGCGGGCGGGCAGGGGCAGCAUGGGCGGGUGGGCGGCGCGAGCGGCCGGACGGGCGUGCGUGGAUGGCGAGCGGCGGGCUGGGCGAGCGCGUGACAGGUGAGCGGGUGGCUGGGCGCGGGCGGUGGAUGACCAGCUGGGCGCGCACGGGCGUCAAAGGGUGGAGGCAGAGGGGUGGAGGUGGGCGGUGCAGGAGCCGAGGCAAGCGGAGGCCGCGGUGCAUUUUUUUAUUUUUUUUACUUUUGAAACUUUUUAGUUCGGUUGGUAACACCAACCGGGACUAAAGAGGAUCUUUAGUCCUAGGUGGAUGAUCCGGGACUAAAGGACCCCUCUCGUCCCAAAAAUUUUAUCCUGGAUGAAUUUUUGAAAGAUUUGAGACCAACUAACCGGAACAAAUGCUCAGGUUUCUACCAGCGGGGCCCAUUUAGUGAGCGGGCCCACGCUUCCACAACCUAAGGCAGAGGGACUCGAUUGCUGCAGGCAAUACUGCUCUUAUCGACAACCUGAGCAGCUGUACACAGAGCCCUUAAUUUUUUUUAACUUUAGAGAGGCCGAAAUAUUUAUAUAUUAGCAUAAAUCUUGUUAUUGUUGAGGCUAUUAUAUACCUGAAUGGUACGUAGCUUCACCGAGCAAUCCACCCAUUUGCUCCUGACUCUCUUCUAUGCUUCAUCAGUGAAAAUAGCCUCCUUUGGUAGCCUCCAUAUGUGAGUAAUGUUUCAGUGUUUAGUUGAGUUUUUUUUUGUAAAAGAAAUGUUAGAUAUAUCUUUUCAAGCAAAAGUUGCAUACAGGAUACAUAUCAUGCGAAUUUAUACAGUACAGUUUUGAAGCGAUACGGUUUGGAUACUUAGAAAAUAACGUAUAUUUAUAGGAAUAAAUAUCUUUUUUUGAGGGUUCAAUGUGGGAGAAUAGUCUCUCACCUGACAUAUUGGAGGAGGUGAACCUUCCGAUUUGUGUUUUUUCUCAAAUAUGCGGUACCUAUCGGUACUUGUUUUUGUUUCUAUCGUUUGGUCGGAAAACAAUUAAUAAAAAUUAAAUUUAAGGAUUGUUUUUUUACUUCCCUACCAAUUUGGUACUUCUUGGUACUUCUAUUUAGAUUUCUCGAGAUGGAUGACUCUUAUUUUUUCCAAUCAUUCUAAAAUUUCUCAAAAAGAUUUAGUUCACCUUACAUUCGAAGAGCACGAUACCAAAGUGAAGUGAUGUCAUAUUCUAGCAUCAUCUCGGUCGGCCAGUAGGUCCAGAGCAGAGAAAAAAAAUCAUACUUACAUGUACUAACUGCUAUGAUAUGUAUGGCCUAAAGUAUAGCCUUAUACGGUAUAUAUAGUAUAGGUGGUCGCUUUGCUGGCGUCGAGUUUUCCUUUACCUUUGUUUCUAAAAUAAACCUGUAAAUCUCUUCUAUAUUAAUAGAAAUGGCACAAUCCGUCCGUUCAAAAAAAAAAAAGUAUGGCCUAAAGUUUACUUUUAGCACAGGGUCCUCAACAUGCUGCUGGGGACGGCCCUGACUACUACAAGUGUACCUUCCCCGGCUGCUUCGCCAGGAAGAAGCUGGAGAGGUCGCUCGACUGCCAGAUCAUGGAGAUCGCGUACAAGGGCAGGGAUAACCACGCAAGGCCGCGGAACACGAGCAGGGGCUCUGCAGGCACGGCGGUGCAGGUGCUGCAGAGCGGCGGCGGCAACGCGUCCGAGCGCAGGUUUGGAGAAAUGCCGGCCAUGUCGACCGUCAGCGACACCGAGGUCAUCGACGAUGGCUGCCGGUGGAGGAAGUACGGGCAGAAGGUGCUGAAGGGGAACCCAAACCCAAGGUAAGAACCCCACAAAAUUUACAGGUCCAUUCUUGUUCUCCCUACGCGUCGUGAAUGUCGCCUUGGGCCUCUGCCUAAUACAGGAGCUACUUCAAGUGCGCGAUGUUCGGCUGCCCGGCGCGCAAGCACGUGGAGCGCGCUUCCCACGACCAGCGCUCCUUCGUCACCACCUAUGAGAGCAAGCACAACACAACCACGAUCUGAAUGCAGCGCGCGGCGCCGGAAAGCAACAGCAGUAUGCCCGGCCUGACGGGGAGUGAGGGGCUGCUGGUACAUAAGUCAUUGACUCUGCAACUGCAACACAAGAGGCAGAGACGACGCGUGCAUUAUGCUGGCAACCCCAGCGUUUGGACCUGAUAGAGGGGGGCAAUGUCUUAAUUUGAUCCAAAAAGGACCAAGGAGGAGCUCAAGCUGGACAUGCAUGUUUUCCCCGCACUCGAUGCUGCUCCCUGACCGAAGAAUCGGAGGUUUAAUGCAGAAUCCGUCAAGUACAAUAAAAUGUAUUUGAAUCUCAAUCAAUAAAAUGUAUUGCGGAAAACAAACCAAAUUCUGGCUCCACGUAAAGAAUGCAGUCAAUUCCCUAAUCACAAUUGUUGCCUUCCAAUCAAGUCUUAGAUCUGUACUUUAACCAGCUACUCUAUCUUUGACCUGUCAAUGUUGGCAAAUCUAUUACCAACAUUUGUAUUGUUUUGCGAAAUCCGAUUACAAGCCUAAAAAAUGAAAUGUUCAUUAGCUGUUUGGAAUUUGUGAAACCAAUAUAUACAACACAAAAGAGCAAAGGAACAUGAUAGACAUUCCGAAUAUUAUGAACAUAGCAAUUUCAGUUUACCAAAUACUUCUAUAUAUCAUUCUUUAACUGAAACACAUAUUUUUAGCUAGACAGGUCAGAGGAACUAACUUUUAGAUCUAGAACCUUAUACAAAUAAAUGUUCACCUCCUAUAGAACCCAGCCUAACUUGGUUGAUCGAGGUUAUGGAUGUACACCCACAACCCAAGUUAACUCCCUGUCGAGGCAAAUUAACGUGCCUAUUUUUUGCUACAAUGCCAGUAGGCCAUGGAUUUUACCGGCACCUAUAUGGUCCAUAUCUUCAAUAAUUUAUUUAUUGAAAGUUACAGCUUGAUAUUGCUAUGCAACGUAAAAUUUAUUAUUUCUGAAGAUGUAAUAAUGCUCAUAACAAGUUUACAUGAAUAGUUCCUUACCAUUCAGAGCCAUCUACAGUGGUAAAUCCAAAACCUUUAACCUCAUCUUCAAACUGAAAUGCUCUCUCAAGCCUGUCAAUGCAAAUAGGCAGCCAACCUUUAGCAUAGUAAUUUUUAUGGUAAACUGAACCGUAUGUACUUGCGCAUUCAAUCUCGUCAUCGUUAAUGAAAAUAGUGUUAGCCUCUCACUAAUAUUGAAUUAAGGGGGUAAUUGGGUCAUCAGCAUAGCCACCCAGGAGUGUAGUCCAUGUGGCGCUGAUCGAGAUCCAUGGUACUUAGGUUAUGACGAGCCAUGUGAAGCAUCUAGGCCUCUAAUUUGGGUUUGGUAAUUAUUGACAACGUUUGUGGACUAACAAUUUCAUUGGAAAUAUGAGUAUAGGUUAGUCCCGGAGAUGAAUUGAGCUUCAAUGGAUGCUAAGGUGAUUGCUUUGAUGAAUUUAUAUUGGAGAGCUCAAGGCAAAGGUAUAUGGUAGGGCUUUUCUAUUUUACCGGUCAAAAGUUGCUUAGUGGAUGAUAAUUGAUCGGGUUAGUAGCUAGGCUAGAUAGCCGUACUAUCAAGUGGGGUCAAUUUCAUUUGCUUGACGGUUCUAUAAUGCCACUUCGUUCAAACAAUUGCGUUGCAUGCAUAUGGGUUUAUCUUGUUUGAAAAGUGAAAAGAAUGACUGGAAAAAUGUGCUUUGAAUAUGGCUAACACGUAGUGUACAGCAGACGGUCUCUUGCAGAGGCGGACCGUUCUUUGACUUAGCCAAAAUUCAAGUUUGUUAUGCUGUGCUGAAAGGACGAAGGGCAUACGGUCCGACCCUAUCGGACGGUUCACCACAAGGGUGGCUGACUGCGGCGAGGUGGCACUACACCACAAGCGCGCGGCAGGUUAAUGUUCACCUGGGCAGACUUAAAAAAAAAUGUUUCACCUGGGCAGAUCAUCAGGUCCAAAAGAGAUAUUAAACAAACAGAAAGGUUAUGUGGUGUUGAAACAGCAGUGUGAGGAAGACAAGACGUGUCAUUCCUUUGUUCGGCUCAACACUGGGCCCUCUUUAUUUGUUUCCUAAUUAUUCAGGAAUAAAACUGCAAUCCAGUCAAACGGUGCAUGUGCUUCCAUCCAUAUUGGGAUCCAGUCAUGUCCAUGUGGCCUUAAUUACCGCAGCUGCUGGCAAGUUUUUUGAUGAAAAGCUGCUGGCAAGUUUAUGAUCGAAUUGCAUGCCCCCAGACAAGAUUGCUGACCAGAUUGCUCAAUUUUUAAGAUGUAUAUCAUAAGGCUGUAACCAGCAUGCAAGUUUUUGUUCCUACACUGCGUUUACUCAUUUUUUUUAUAAUGAUAAAACCAUGUAGCCUAGUAGACUGAAGUUUUCUGUCUACCAUAAGUCGUUAUUGUUAGUGAAAGUAUUAUUUAUUGAAUUGCAAAACUUUCCUAUUUGAAGGAUUGAUUUAUUAGCAGAUAAUCAUUGUUAAUUAUGUAGAGGAGAGACAAUAGGAUCAUCUACUGUAAAACAGAAACCGGCCUUAUCUUUAAUACAGAUGCACUAGGAAAUUCUAGCAGGCAUGCUGACAAAUAAACGUGUAAGGGAGCUUCUUCCCUUGUCGUGGUCAAAGAAGCAUUACCUAUAGGUAGAGUUGUUCCACAAAAAGACACCCCCACGAUUCGCCCCUAAAUUUGUGCCGGUAACUAACAAGGGAAACUUUGGGUGGCAGGCGACAGCAGUUGCUGAACUGUAACUAUGCUGAUCUGAUUUACAUGUGUGAACUGCUGUCCUUGACAGCACAUCCAAGAUCUGAUUCAUAAGAGCAAAGAAGUGGUUAAACGUACGUUCAAUACGUACGCACACAGCAGUCCGGCAUAAAUUCAAUAACUAUUCAAUGAAAAAUAUACCGUUAUAUUCCCGCCUGUCCCGACAAUGGCCAUGUACUGCUGAUCACUACCUGUCAAGUAGAAAGCAACAAGACUUCCGUAAACUCUAUUCAAUUCAGUUGUAGGUUCCGCUGAAUUAAUGCUCCAGAACUGUAAAAUUUCAAUAAAGCAUGUGUUACAACAAAACUACUCCUAAGCCACAGCAUGGAAAUUUGUUUACUCUUUCGAGAGGUGAAAAUAUGUUUUAGCAAGAGGGAAAAGAGAAGGCAACCUUAAUGCUGGCAGGAAAAUUGGGUUCCAAGCUUGCAGAAACACUAGCAAAAGUAUUGGUGUCCAUGGGAUUAAAGGUCACCUGAUGUAGAUCGUACAAGUCUCUCUUAAAACUCCGAGUACAAACCCAGCCCAUAUCCCAGUCCCAUAGCUUUAUCAGAUGGUCGUCAGCCGAGGAAAGAAGAUAAGGUUGAGUUGCAUGAACUGCCAGUGAUCUUACUGCUCCGCUGUGAGCAUCAAUUAUCUUAACAUUUUCUAAUUCAUCAGUAUGUGUGUACACGUGAAUUGUCCCCCGGCUAUCACCUGAUACAGCCCAUUGUUGUCUUGCAAUAAACUUCACUGAGAGGUAACGACGCUUACCCUCUGUUAUAAUGUGGAAUGUCUCAAAUGUGUUUGACUGCCGAUGACAUGAACAUAAGCUAACAAUUUUGAUAUGAACAAAUUAAAAGGUAGUACAACUAUAUAAAUGAGUUGUAUAUAUUCAGUUCUUUUGUAUAGUACUUUAUUUCCACGACAUUUUUAGAAACAAAUAAAUGCUACUUCAUGAGCCAAAUUUUGUAGAAUAAGCUAUAUAUAUGCAGUCACUAUAGCAACUAUAUUGAUAUACUUAAAAUAUAUCUUCAUUUUUGAUAGAUCUUUUUUUUUUGCUGCAACACCGAAGGUGAAACAAAAUCAUUAUCUGGUGAGUAGGCACGUACCUGCAGGUUUUUCUUUGAAAUGCAAACUCCUUUGGCAUGACCGGUCAAAAUCCUGUCACAUAAUUAAAUAAUUAGGAAUGAAUGCAGAAGUUAACUAAUUAUUAACUCAGCCCGAUGUUGGGACAACAAUAAGUAUAUGUUGAACCCUCACCAUGGUUUUGUAGGGUGCACAUCUAUAGAUUUCAGACCUCCAAUAGUAAACAAGGGAAAUCUCGGAGCAACCUAUACAAAGUGACUGUUAGCCUUAGAGAUGCUCAAACAUAAGAAAAUAUAGAAAGAGUAUGGAAAGUGGAGAAAUAAAUCUCAUGUAAACCAACAUUAACUAAAAAAGAGAAAGAAAACAAGGAACUAUUUUACAAGACAUGCCAUAGUAUACUACUCACAUGUGGCUCUCCUUUCCCAUUUGCUGUAUCCGGGUCACAGUUUAUUGUCAAAUUCAAAGGCACCUUGUGUGCUUCGCCUCCUUUCUCUCUGAUCUGUCCACACAGAUUGUCCAGCAGGAUUGUGGUGUUUGAGUGGUUAUCCAUAUCGAUGUGCUUUGGGAUAUGAUUCCGGCUCCAGGUGUUCAUGUACAGGAUUUGAAGUCCAUCCAUAUCUGAAGGUGGCUUCAGUUGCUCUUGAAUUGCAACAUAGAAAACACAAGUGGAAUGUGGCAACACAUAGCAUUCAUUUGCGCAGAUGUACCUCACCGAGUUGUUUGGGAUAAUAAGAAAGAAAAUUUCAUCUUCUGUCUUGUUGAUUAGGCUUACUGUGCACUGGAUGUGUUUGUUUGGUUUGAAUGGUAGGCGGAGCUCCAUGGGAUAGACAUCGAUCAAAUCAGUGUGAAUGUACCCAAGGCUUCUCUGCAAUUAAGAACACAAAAAGUUAAACCUGAAUACAUGUUAAACCAGAACGACGAUUACAAAAAGCUACAGUUAAAUCUGUAGUUUUGUGAUACAAAUUCUUAUAUCUUUAGUUUUGCGAUGACUAUGAGAAACAAUCUAUAGUUUUAUGAAAUUUACUCAAAUCCUGCCAAGCCAACAGUGAUAAUUAGGAAUAUGGAAAAUAGGGUGGAGGGAGAUACAGGAGCGGCAUUCAGCCAAGGGUAUUGGAGUCAGGCAUCCCUACAACAGGUACCUAAUUUGCAAAUUUUCUAGAGGUGUAGUAUUCCCCUUUUUUUGUCAUUCCUUUUGUUCUGUGAAGGGUUAGCUUUCGCAGUAUUGUUAAAAACAUUCAGUGGACUUGGGAGUUACUCAUGACACAAAGAGGCGGGCAUACAGGCUGAUAUUGUAAGAGUAAGUUGGAUCACAAUGACCUUGGGCAUUUAUGGCACAGCAAAUUAAAGAUGAGGUGAUAAAGGUGAAGAAAGAAAAACAUGGCCGGUAAGUUUGGGAUGGCUUAGGACAUGGUUGUUUAGGAAGCGAAGUCUCAAAGAAGGAAAUGAAAGGCUAGGCUUGGUGUGGAAUCUCCAAUAAAUUUUCUCAUACCCCCUCCCCCUCUAAAAAUGCUACAGACAGGAAAGAACUGAUUCUAGGAUCUAACAGUCACCGAAAUACAGUGGUAUUUGUUUAGCUGGAAUUGACUAUAUAUGUGAAAAUAGCUAAGUAGAUGACAUCCUACAAAGUAGUGUUUGUGGGACCAUGCUAUUUGUCAUGACUGAACGUACCUCUGCCACUGACAAUGCAUUCAUGCCAGUUCUGGAUAACUCGUCGGUACAUUCUGCUACAUCAAGCAUCUCAAUUAUUUGCUGUAUAUCUGGUCUUUUUGCUGGGUUCGGGUCCAUGCAAUCUAUGCUUAUUUUAGCACAGACUCGUAUUUGUUCCAACAGCACCUGUGUCAUUGAUAAAAUCUCCAACCUGCUUGUCCAGCUUUCAAGUACCUAUGAGAUUUGAAUGAUUAGUUAUUAUUUAAGAAAAAGAGCAACUAGUUUCCAAACAGGAAUUUGAACGAUAUAUAGUAUUGUUCGAUAAAAAAAUAAUAUAUAGUAUUUCCCAUGAGUGCAGAAACUGAUGGCCAAAUUUCUUAAGCAACAUGAAGUCUUGUGGCCGAGCAGGGGCAGAUCCAUGCCUCAUUGGUGGGCAUGUGGCAUGAGUGAAAAAUUUUGGUAUUGGUUUCCUAUUUUGGCACGUUAAAAUUUCUAAGUUCCCCUAACUUUUUCAGUAGUGCUAAGUCAUUUAAAAACAUGUCAAGUUUUAUGUCUUUGAAAAAGGGUUUUACUUCCAAACGUCAAAUACUACAAUUGACAUUGUGCAAUAAAUCUUUUUGCACUCAAGUUCUACAUACACUCAACUUUGUAAUGUUUCUCUAUAAGAAAGCUAUGUAAAGUAAAUAAAAACAUAACGUCGCAAUAAAUAUCUCUACCUUCUCAACUUCAGAAUAUCCUUUUUGUCCUGUCAGUAUCUCUUGGACUAUAACACCAAGACUAUAUAGGUCAGACUUGAAUGUCAUCACAUGACUAUGGGAUUCUGGCGCCAAAUAUCCCCUGCACCAAAAUUUGUAUGGACUGAUAAGUUAAUUUGCAGGAAAAAAAAAGAGUGUUUUUUUGGUAGGGGUGUUCAAACAUGAGGGACAAGCUCCAACUGGAUAUGUAUUAGAUGAAUAAACAAAAACUAAAUCAGGCCUCACAGAAGCUAUCUUGCCAGUCUGAAAUUUGAGGGAAGCAUUACUUUUUUGCAAGAUAACCAGUCUUACUUGAAAAUUUCCGUGCAAUCUUGUAGAGUUAGGGCCCUUUGUUUCAAAAUGAAGAAGCUACUCCUAGUCGUCUAAAUGCAAAAAAAAAGAAAGGAAACAAAGAAUAAGAGCUUUCUACGGACCAAGCUAGCUUACAUUGAUCCAAAUAGUUGAGAUGUGAUAGCUCGGCUUUGCUGUUCAUCAAAGCACUUGGAGAGACCAAAAUCAACAAUUUUUGGCUCCAUAUUGUCAUCCAGCAGUAUAUUAGCUGGUUUGAGAUCUAAGUGAACAAUACGCUCACCAUGAAGGUAAUGUAAGCCAUCACAAAUUCCCUUGAUUAUUUGGUAGCGCUUUUUCCACUCAAGACCACCAGAUGCGUCUGUAGAGGCAAACAAAUAAAGAGUGUUUACACCCUUGUGUCCUUAAUGAUAUAUGUUCGCUAGUUUAGCACAAAGGUAGAUACUUUGUAUAAUAUAUUGUCCUUUGCAGUAUUGAAUCUGGAAAGAUAUAUGAUUUUUUAAUCAAUCCCACCACAUGAUCCUACCGGUUAUAAAUUCAUGAAGACUCCCUUUAGGAAGAUACUCAAAGCAGAGCAACCUCUGUCGUACAUCUGCCAUGACAAACUUGCCACCAUAGUCACACAUUUUCCCCUGCGUAUCUGCACAAUAUCCAAGAAAUCGAACUAUAUUUUUGUGCUUCACUCUCAUCAAACAACCAACCUCUUGGUUGUAUUUCUUUUCAUCCAUAUCAAGCGUGUUCUUCAGCUUCUUAACAGCAACCAUCUUACCAUUUCCAAGCAGUCCCUGCAGUCAAAAGUCACACCAUUGCGUUCAUCGCACGAACACUAUUUUUUAAACUAAAAAAUCAACUGCAAUUAGGAUGGGGAGUUGAGGAUCAUUCACCUUGUAAACCACCGCAAACCCACCACUACCAAUUUGCAGAUCAUCAGAGAAAUCAUUUGUGAUUGCCUUUAGAAGUGGUAAAGGAAGAUCUGUUGGCUCUGUGUUUCUAUUAAGUAGCAUGUGCUCCAAGAUAUUGUGGGUACUAGCUUCAGAGUCCAUUUUCAAUUACAAAUAACUAUAGCCUUCAAAGUUCAAAUAAGAUAUAGGAAUAAAUUUUAAUGAAACCUGGAAAGAGAACUGCACAGCUAUGAAAAGGAAUUUUGGAACUGAUCUUGGGUGACAUGUAACCAAAAUAUGAGAAUAGGGAGAAAUGAUUCUUUAAUUUGGAGCCUGAACUAUAGAAAACAAUCCCAAAUUUAUCAUAUAAAUGUAGCUUCCUUGACACCUCUAGGUCUAUCCCUCUUUCUAGCCACCCAACACUUUUGGCUAUUAUUUAUCUGACAGGUAUGGGUGCCAUUUCAUUAACUUCACUAUUCGAUCACAAAGAAUAUAUGCUUUCACAUACAUGUUCCCAACUCAAGAAAGACAAUAUUGUUUACCAUGAGAAUAUGCAAUCUGUUAGAUUCUUUGGAUUCAUGAAAACUAUUAAAUGAAAAUACUAGUGUUAAACACAUGCAGGAGCAAUGAAAUGAGUACCUGCUGAAGACAUGCUGCCUGUAGCCCUUUUGGUGGUUAAGGAAACUGAACUAUCAACGAUGCAUUAAAACCCUGAAUCAAAUCAUGGUGAGAAAAUAGUUAAAAACCUGCAGGUACAACUGAAUAUAGGUGAACUGCCAAGCAAUUUAUAAGUAGAAACCAUGACCAACGAAAAUUCAAUGAGUUUGCUGCAGGAAAACAUGUGCUAUCUUGCAAGAAAAUAAUGGUUUCUGGAUUAUGUAAGUCCCUGCUGAAGCUCAGAAACAUGUAAUCUUGGAACGAAAAGAAAAUGUCUAAAGCACAAGCUUCACCCGCUCAACUUCAGCAGUAAAUUCAGUACACUGGAGCAGACCAAACCAGAACGACUUGCACUAGAAUGUUUAAGUUUAUGAAUCAAAUCAAUCAAAGUUCAGUAGAUAAGACGCACCUGUUUGCAACGGGAGGGACAAGAUGGGGACGAAAGACAUGGCUUGAGCUGCAUACGUAUAUGCAUCAAUACCAGAUCUGAAGUCUUCGCCUCUUUUCGUCUUCAUUUCUUUGACCUGAGAGCCUUAACAAAGUCCACACGCUUGGGGGCGCACAUACCACACUCCGCCACAAUUUUUAAUAUAUGUUCUCGUUUCAACAUUUGCUUCUAUACAGACAAGAAUACAAAAUACAUCACUAUCAUUUGGUUUCCUUUCAUCAGAUAGCAAUGUCAGCACUCGCCCAUCCCUCUAUUUCCUAGAAUAAAAUUUAUACAUCUACAAUCUUGCUACCAUCACCAUGUGAACUGGUUGAUACUCCUCCGUUCUUAAAUAUAUAACACCAUUGACUUUUUACUCCAAUUUUUACCACCAAUAUCUAUUGAACGAGUUAGUUAAAUAUACGACGCCGUUAACUUUUUACUCCAACUUUUACCACCAAUAUCUAAAAUACCAUUGACUUUUUACUCCAACUUUACCACCAAUAUCUAUUGAACGAGUUAGUUGAAUAUACGACGCCGUUAACUUUUUACUCCAACUUUUACCAUCAAUAUCUAUAGAUAUUGAACGAGUUAUUGAACGAGUUAGUUAGUUAAAGUAAAAUAUAUAUCAUUAUGUCUAUUGUCAAAUGUACUUUAAAUUUAAAUUUAAUUUAUACGUUUAUCUAUUUGCAAAAAUACUUUUAGAAAAAACGAAUAGUCAAACGGAUGAAAAAAAAUCAACGGCGUCGUAUAAAUUAAAUAGAGGCGGUAGAUAAGAAGCCACUUGGGUUUUUGACCUCUACUAUAUACAGCUGAAGGCUCGGAGAAAUGUUUUGAAAUUGAAACACCUUUAAUAUUUCUCCGCCGCCAGUUCGGCAAUCGGCAGUCCGCCUCCAGCACCCCGCGAACGGCCGCUAACCUAUGGUCGCCAUCGCCAUCCGCUUUUCCGCGCUGUGGAGCAGUACGGCGGAGCUGCGAGCCGGAGAGGGCCUUGGCGCAGGAUCCACCUCCGCGCCGCCAAAAUCGAGCUCAAUCCCCCACCCAACUGCCAAAUCGACAGGGUCGCCACGAAAUCAAACUCCAAUGCCCGGAAAUCGAGCUUCCGGCCACAGGAGCGGACGCCUGGACGCCCAUCCAGAUCCAGCAAUGCGGGUGCAGCUUCAAAUAACGGCAGCAGUAGAGGGAGGUAGGGAGGUCCUCUGGUGCGUGGAUUGAUUUCUAUCUUUGGAGGUACCUGACUCCUCGCUUGUAGGGAAGGAAGGAUUCUGUUGUUCGUUUGUGCUUCAAUUGAUUUUUUUUUUCCUAAGGGAAACAAGAGGAAAAAAAAAAGAAAGGGUGAAAACGAGGAAAGUGGGCUUCCCUUUUCAGUACGGCCCAACACAAGAAGAUGUGGAGCCCAUGAUUGCACAACUACCAAAUAAUUGUUGUCUAUUAAUCGUGUGCGCGCAAGGAAUUCCACCCAACAAACGAUGCCGCACAUCCUGCGCUGCAUCCGUUGAAAUUUCCUUUUCACUCGACAUAGAGGGGCUCAUGCUGUCACCAAAUUCGCUGAUGCCGAUCCGUCUGGAGCUUAUCCCUUCCGCCCUCUAUCUACAGUAGCAUCUCUAAAUCCCGUCGCUUCCAGCCCCUCUCCUCUCUCCCUUCGGCGGCUCGUCAGCGGCGAGAGGGAGGUGGGCCGCCCACUGCCUUCCUUUAUAGAUGUAUAUUAAGCUCGUUCGGCUGGCUGCUUUGCAGCUGGCUUCUGCUGCUCGGAUGGACUUUUUCUGAAGCUUGUGUGUGCUCGGAUGGACUUUUUGCGUUUCUUCCCCACCACCGCCGCCGCCGUUGGGCUUCUGCUCGUCGUCGGCAACAUGGUUGGCCAGGUGAAGCCGAUGCCAUCAGUAUAAAACUAACACUAUCUAGAUCUGUACUAAAACUAGGGGAUAUAAACACGGGAUACCGAACCGUGGUUCCUCCCCUCCCCCUCCUGCACCGGAGGGGCAACCGGAGGCAGGAGGAGGGAACCAGCGACAGCGGCGCCGGGAUGGUGACCGCCUCUGUAUUCGCCGGUCUUGACUGAAUGACUUUAGCAGAGGACUCGGGAAGACGCUGGAACUCUCGCAACGACGCAUGUAGGAAGAAGGGUCACUCCUGUCACCUGGGCUUGGGCUGGUGACAUUUUGCCACGUCCUUUUGUAGAUCCAACAAGAGGAGCCCUGGGAAUAUAUAUGAUUGUUAACUGCUCCCUAACUAGCUUUCUGAUGGAGAAAAUAUGUAUGUUUAAACCAUGCCCAAGAACAGAGCAACAAGUAGGCCCUAUCAUUAUGCCACCACGGACAAUCCAUCCGCAGCAGCAAGCCCGGUCAGAGUUGCUGAGAUCAAAUCCCCUACCUGCUUAGUCAUCUCCAUUAACAGCGGCAGGGCACUGAACCACGAGCAGCAAGAUCAUUUCAACCAAUUCAUGCAGCUGUGUUAAGUUUGAGAUCAUCCUACUCAUCGCUUUUAGCCAGUAAUUAACCGGCUGCAACGGAGAGGGGGUCCUCCGGUACAUUCGUUCGACUGGUGAAAGCCUUAACACUGACCGUGAUGGCUAUUGCCCGAAAUAUCUCCGGCUUGCCUACAGCGCCUACAGCUACAGCUUGUUCGUUGGUGCGCCGUGGACCACACGCACUCCCGAGCGGACCCACGGCUGUAAUCUUUCUCUUUUAGCCAAAUGAUACGGAACGAAGAAUAGAUUAAUAAUAAAAAACAAGGAAUGGAAUAAAGUGGCAAGGAGCAUCAAGGAACGGCUGGUUCACUGCAUUAUUGAGUUGCAUCUCACUGCAGCCCUCCUCACACUGGUACGGUGAGCUCCGGCUGCAGCUGCAAGACGACUAGCAGGUGCGUACUUGCUUCUCUGAAUUCCCGCUUAAUUGAAAGACAAGGCUGAACUCUGAAUUCCUUUCUCUGGGUAUACAUAUGAUCCUCCACAACUGCUUCAGUUUAUUUCUUUUUUGUGAACGUCCUGUGAGGCUGUGAGAUCUAUCAAAUCGGUUUGGCAACUUUCAUCGCAGAGAGAUCUGCUUCUACUGCCAUGGCAUCCCCAACAUCCAGUAUGGUUUCAUCACAAAACUCUACUACUUUUGCAUCUAUUGGUAAUUGGUUUCGUGUUUCUUUCUAAUUUCGUUCUUUCUUUUUUUUUCAAAAGAUUGAUUUGAUAGGAAGUGGUAGGAAACGAAUUGAAGAGAAGGUUUUCUUGGUAGUACCUGUACAAGGCUGCUAGUCUUGAUGUAGAAGAAUAACGCCAUGAAGGGUUGGACAGAUGACCAUCCAAGGAAGCUACAAUACUCACUAGUUAAAGAGAUUACAAAUAAUUUUGCAGAUGAACUUGGACGCGGUACAUUUGGACGUGUGUUUAAGGUACCCCUAUUAAAUUAAAAAUCUCCUUUGUAAUGUUCGUUGUAAAACAUACGAUGUUUUUAAAUUUAUUUACAUUCAUAAUCUCUGACCUCCUUCUAUCUCUUACAGUGAUUGUGGGUAAACCUUUAAACUAAAUAUCUCUUCUUGCCAAGCUAACAUUUGAACCAGGGUCAUGGUAUAAUUAAAAGUGUAGUUUAUAAUCCAAAGCUCUAUUUGUUGCAUAGGUGUCCUUUGAGCCAUGGGAAUGUCUCCAGAAAAACAUAUGUGGAAAAUAUAUCAAAGAUGGUUUCUGUUUCUAGACCUUAUCAUUAGCAGUUUUAAAUAAAAGAACAAUUUGCAAUGAGCUCAUAUCACAGAAAGUAUUACAAAAUAUAUCGCAAAUGGUUUUUAUGUCUAAACCUUGCCACAGAUACUUAGUUUUGAAAGCAAAACAGUCAUUGGUGGCCUUGAGACUAUCUGUAGUAGUGAAUGUUGGAUGAUAUUGUUGUUUAUUGUCUUAACAUCGGUUAUAUGAGGAUGUGUGCAAAAGGAACCGAGCUAAUCGUAUUCAUUUUCAUUUAUAAUUCUCUGUUACUAUAUAUCAGCAUAGAAAAAACAAAAUUAUUAUGUGUAAUUAAAGAAGGUGUUUAAUAGGGGCUGCUUGAUGAUGGAGAAGAGGUUGCUGUGAAGCUGCUUCGUUAUUUCACGCCUGAGAUCAGUGACCAGCAGUUCCAAAAUGAAUUUGGAAACCUUAAGAAGCUCAAGCAUCCUAAUAUUGUACAAUUGUUGGGGUUCUGCGAUGAACCUGAGGAAGAAAUUAUUGAGCACAAAGGAAAAUUAAUACUUUGCUAUAGGAUACGCAGGGCACUAUGUCUUGAGUAUGUGCCCAAUGGAAGCCUUCGCAAGUUUCUUUCAGGUAAGGUGCUCAUGUGUUAUUGCGUAAUAUUAUUUCGGACAUUAAAAAUAUUCUUUGCAUUAUGUAUAUUGAGAAUAUUAUGUUUGUUCUUGUAGGUGGAUGUCUUAGCAAGAAUUGGCCCAUACGCUACAAAAUAAUUAAGGGAAUCUGUGAGGGUCUACAGUACCUUCACAAGAUUCCCAUUUUCCAUCUUGACUUAAAACCUGAUAAUAUACUGCUAGAUGAGAAGAUGUUGCCAAAAAUCACCGAUUUUGGUUUAUCUAGGCUCAUCGGUGAAGGGAACACCAAAAGGACAAUGACGCCUCUAGGGACACUGUAAGAUUAUUGUCUCCUGUGAACUUUUGAUCUGCUAAAUUGUAGUUAUUCCUUAGUCUCACUUUGCUAUGUC